rnacentral:lncRNA from 1 species
CACCUCCUCCCCCAGUUUACCUGUCUCCACCUCCACCCUAUCAUCACUACUACGGUUCUCCUUCUCCUCACCACUACUAAGCAAGUGCAUAAGUUUUGAGGUAAUAAUACCUAUCCAAAACUUUAUCAACACAAACUGCCAUGUAUAUCAUGCUAAGGACGUACACUUGAUCCAUGAAAAUGACUAGUAGAAGAUUUUUUUUAAGAACCAAAGAAAUACAUUAUUUUUUCGGUCUGUUUUCAAGAAUUUGAGCAGUAUACAGAUUAAAGAGUGUUUUUUUUUUUGUAAACUUGCUUGUCAACUUAAAAAUGCACAUAGCUGAAAGCCAACUGAAUAUUUGCAGGCAAAGGAGAAGGCAAUCGGUGUUUGAGACCUUCAAGAAGAUGUAGAAGAAUAAGAAUAAAAGCCCAAUGCGAGGAUGAUUCCAAGUUUCUACGUUACCAUUUCUACAUCUAAAUUGACUUUAGCUCCUGAGUUCCAUGUUUAUGGGGUUUGUACCGUUUUACGUACCAUGCAGUACAUGCUUGCAAGGUUUUCUGUCCUGUUGGCAAACUGCAGGUCCAUAUAAUAAAUGAAUACUAUUUACAUUACGACACUUUUCUCUUUUUCUCUUAUAUUUUGUCUUUAAUAUUGUUGAUCAUUUUUUUUUUAUCAAAAGCAUCAAAUGCUUAGGUAAUUUGGUCUAAUGCUAAUUGUUUUACUUUUAUUUUUCACCUACACCCCUUUUCAACUCAAAGGAUGCUAUAGUUUGUGAUAAUUGUUUAAGACCGAAGCAUGAUACUAAUAAAUAUCUCAUUGAAAGUCAAGGAAACUAACAUUAGGAAAAGUUUAAAUCUUGAUUUGAUGAAACUAUUUAUUCGUGGAAUUUAGAGAUACAAAACUCAAAUUGUGACGGUGUUGUUGCUAAAUUAUUAAGGACAUUAUCACCAUUAUUUUUCCCUGAUCACUAGUUUCAACUGCAAUGAUCUCAAUCUUUUUGUGACUAAUUCUUUCCUUAAUAAUUUAUAAAGACAAAACUCACAAAGAAUAUGUGACUAAUUCUUUCCUUUCGUCUUCUAAAGAAAAUGCCAACUGUUAGUUUAUCAAGGGGAAAAAGGAUCGACAUCAGUUAUUAUUGAAACUAGUAAGGAAUAAAUAAUGGUGAUAAUGUCCUUAAUAAUUUAACAACAGCACCAUCAGAAUUUGACUUUGAGCUUCGGUCUUAAACAAUGAUCACAAACUACAGCAUCCUUUGAGUUGAAAAAGGAAGUAGGUGAAAAGAAAAGUAAAAAAUACAAUUAGCAUUCCCUCAAAUUGUAGAAAGUUAGGUAGCAUUAUAGACAAGUUGAUAGCGGCAAUUUUACAUUUCAAACUUCACCUAUUCAAUAACUAAUUCGAUGGCUUGCUACAUGGUCAAUCUUUGGACCCCUUCCUGCCUCCAGAUAUCCCUUUCCUCAAUCAGGGGCUUCUACAAUUACCAGUUUCAAUUGUAUGGUAUAGUGUAAAUAUCAACAAAUUAGAUGUAGAUGCUAACAUAAUAAAUGUGAAUGCUAAGACAGCAACAUACAAUCGAACCUGCAAUUGUAUGAACCCCAAUCUCGCUUCCUAGUCCACCAUCUUUCUCUAGGUAAUAAUCUCCCUUCUAAUUUAUUCACAAAAUGCACCUUUCAUCACCUCCAAUAGCGUCGACAUGAUCUUUACCCUAGAAGACUAUUCACCGACUCUCAAUUGACGUCAGAAAAUCUAAGAGUAAUUCUACUUUACCCUAAGAUUGAUAUCAACAAGACAAGGACAAUUUAGAAUUAUUACACGCCUCUUCUUAAUAGGAAAAAGAAAUAGAGAAGAAAGUCAGGCCAGGUCUAAUUUCUUUUCAAAGGCAAUACAACAUUACGAAAUCAAGCAUUCAUUCAUACAAAUAUUUCAUAGUCACCGGUUUGCUGAGUAGAAAAAUUUAGACAAAAACUUAAUAUUAUAUUGUUUAAGAGUUAACAAUUUAGAGCUUAAUCUCCUUGUACUUUGGAGUUAACAAUUUAGAGCUUAAUCUCCUUGUACUUUGGACUAAACUUGAACGUGAAAGGAAAUCCCAAAACCAUAUUGGGCAUGAAUUCACACUUAAUAUACCCAAUAAAAGAUGGCGACUGGUGAAAGGCAGUGGAGACUGGUGGAGAGAUUUGAGGAAUAGAAGCAGACGGAAAAGCAACAAAUUUUUGCCGAAAAACGGUCACUUUCAUGGUUAAUUUUGCUACUCUCCAAUUGUACUUGACCAAUUACAACAAUUUCAUGGAGUUUGAUACGUGAAAAGAAUUUUUUAUAAAUUUUAUUUUGAUCCAUAAUGUUAUCUUUACAUAUAUAAAACAUUUUACAAUUUUGAUUUUGGCGCAGCUAACUUUUGGUUAACAAAAAUGCUCAUGUUUAAAAAACCAGAAAUAAAACAAAACAAGAAACAAAAGAAAUAAGAGGGUAGCAUAGACAUUUUGGAUUUUUCCGUUAAUUUGGAUGAUUUCCACCCACGUUCUAAUUUAAUCCAAAACACAAAGGAAUUACGUAGAGGUUUUAAAUAAUCAGGGAGCUUCAUGAUCGAACCCCAAACCACGUGAUAGCAUACAAGAGUUCUAUUUCACUAUCGGUAGACAAAGACUUUCUAUGGUUGAUGUACCGUAGGAAAAAAUCUGCCUAUACAACGUGAUAGCAUUUUUUCAAAAACACAAGAUGGAAAAUUGCCCCCUUAAACGUGGAAAUUCAUGAUCUUUCCUCGAACAAAGAAUACUCACGCCUAUUCAAGAUGGAAAAUUGCCCCCUUAAACGUCUAUUUGUCAAUUCUUGAAAAAAGAAUACUCACGCCUAAAACACGGCCUCUUCAUCUGCAGAAUUCUAAAAAGUUACGUAAACUCUAUAAACAAGUUGAUAGGUACAAUCGUACCCAAGAUCAAGUACAGAUAGUUGUACAUUCACUGCUGCAAUAACUAAUCUGAUGACUUACAAACAUAUCAUGGUCAAUCGUUGAAUGGUAAUGAGUCUUUUGUUAUGCAUUAGUAUUAGUGUGUACACUCUAAUAGAUUGAUACUUAUACUCUUUAAAUUAUCAUAAUAAUACCCUUAAUUAACUUUAACUCUUAAAAAGAAUACGUGUUAAUACACGAGAGUGUGUAACCUGAAUUGUUACUUAUACAUUAGUGUGUAAUAGAUAGGGAUGGCAGUGAGGGCGAGUGCCCGCGGGGGGCUCUCGGGGCGGGGGCGGGGGAGAAUUUUUUCCCCCCGUUUAGAAACGGGGCAGGGGACGGGGGAGUAUACCCCCGCCCCAUCCCCCGCCCCGCCACCCGCAAAAAAAAUUAUAUAUAUAUAAUUAUAUAUAAUAUGUAAUUUAAUUAGUUAUAAACUUAUGAUAAUGAUAUUAUUAGUUAGAUGUAUUAUAUAAUGUAUAUUAGUGUAUGUAAUAUAAUUAAUAUUAUCAAUUAUACGAAUAAUUAGACAUGUCCACUAAUAGAGUUUAUUAAUUAGUUAUACUAAAUUUACUAAUACAUUUGUACUAAAUUUCUAAUUACACUUAAUAGAAUAACACUUUUUUCUAAAAAAAAAAGCACAAACACAAUAAUGAAUUAGUGAUUGUAUUUGUACCAAAAGUGAAAACUUAACUAUUUUAGUUGUAUUUAUUUCAUCAUGUUGGAUUGUAUUCAAAUAAUUUUUGUUUGAUUGUUUUUAUGAGUUUCAAUUGUAAAAUUAAAAUGAAUAAUAACUUGAUGAUGUGUUGAUAUUUUAGUACUUGAUUAUUUAUUGAUUUAACUAUAAUAAAAUUUUAUUUUAUUAAAAUUUAACUAUAAUAAAAUUUUAUUAACCAAACGAGUUAUUAAUCCCGCGGGGGCACCCACGGGGGAAGCGGGGCGGGGCGGGGGAGUGGGAGGCGGGGGACGGGGCGGGGGUGGGGGGAGUUGUAGGUAGCGGGGCGGGGGAUGGGGGAGGGGUCCCCCGCCCCAACCCCGCCAUCCCCCGCCCCGUUGCCAUCCCUAGUAAUAGACUGGCAAGCAUUGUGGUGGUCAUUGAGAACUUACUGGAGAAAUAGUCCUAUAAGCUGUUCAAUGAGCAAUCACAACUUGCUAAUUGGAUGACUAAUAUAGCUCUAGCUGUAAUGUUUUAAUUAAAUUACAUCACUAACGUUGGGAUGACUUUUUAACCAAAAAAAAAUGCCUUAGUUCAAGCUUUUCCCUUUAUUGUGCAUUUUUUAAAGCAUUUGAUAGGCACUGCAAAUCUGUCAUUUUGGACAUUUUAUUAUUGACUAACAAUGAAAGCCGUGACGUCUACCCAUAACCAACACAAGAUUAAAUUAAUAUUAGAAAAAAUAAUUGAGUAAUUGGAAAAAAAAAAAGAGACUCAUUUUCAUUGAAACCCACCGACAAACUAAACGUGUCCAUGGCUUUUGAAUAGUGCAUUCAACGUUUAAUUGUAUAGUCCAGUUCAUUGCAGAUUACAUGGAGUAAAGAUUGUGCUCUUUCCUUUUUCACCCCUUUUGGAAUCGAUACUGUGGAGAAUUGGGUUUUUCCCUUCUUUUUUUCUUUUCUUUCCUUCUGUGCUUUGCAAAACAUAGGUAAAAAUAUGAAAUCCGAAGCAUUCUUUAAUUGGGAUUAAGUAUUGUUGUUGAAAUUAAAAAGAAAAAAGAAAGAACAACAAAAUUCCCAAUCUGGGUUGAUUGUUGAGCUCUAGAUUGGUUGCAUCGUGCUUCCAUAGAAGCUCUCUUAGUGUGAUACACUGCUUUCAAUCAGUUUAACACGGGAAAAAAAAAAAAAGAGAUGAAAAGCAAAUUUGGUGGGGAUAAUUUCAGAAACCUCCCCUGAAGAUUUUGACUAUUCUACUGGUCUCCCUUCAGAUUUUAAAAAUUACACUAAUCUUCCUUGAAGUUAAUUAUCUUGUAACAUUUAAAUUCAAUCAAUAAUUUAAAAAAUGAUAUUAUGAGAGAGAAAAUAAUGAUUUUAUCAUUGCCCCCCAUCUUACUACAUUAUUUAAUUAAUUUAAUAGCAACCCACACAUUAAAGAAAAAUAUUAAAAUUUGUUGUUUAUCAUUAAAGAUCAAAUCGCUUAUAACAUCAAAUAAUAGUAUAUUAUUUAUAUUUUUCACUCAAUAUAAUAUCCAAAUUACUCUUUUCAAUUACAUACCCAUUGUUAGACAAUCAACAACAAAUAACCAAAAAAUUUGCAACCAAAAUAUUACAAAAAAAUAAACUUUAACAUAUAAAUAUUCUUAUCAACAUAUUAAAGUUAGUUACUGAAAUUUUUAUGCUGUUAAACUUCACUCUUUUUGGUUACAGAUUUUUUUGAUUAUUUGUUAUUAAUUAUGUUUGAUGAUGGAUUUAUAAUUGAAAAGAACAAUUUGAAACUUACAUUAAGUAAAAUAUAUAGAGUGAUAUACUAUUUUUUAUAACAUAUGUGAUUCAAUCCUUCUUGAUAGGAUUGGUAAUAGAGGUAGAGGGGGGAGCCGGCUGCAUCCGGUCUACUUUUCAUAGAUAGUACAAUAUUGCGAAAUCGAUCGCAUUCACGCAAUAUUAUUUCCAAGUCAUUGCAUGGCUAAGCUGCAAAAAAAGUACGAACACAUGUUAUUAUAUAGCUUACGAUUCAAAACUUUAGAGCAUAACCCUCCACCUAACACAAUUGAAUAAUGAACAUUCACGUUUGUCAAAUCUGUCAAAGCACAGUUUGAGGACAACCCAUUCCAACCUGCAAAAGAUUUUUUACUUUUCUAAAGUUGUUGAGAGCUGUAAAAAGACUUACCAUGCUUGCAUCCUCCGAGCCUUGGGAGUUAAAAAUGAAGGCACUGAGUGCUAUAAAAAGGGGAAUAGAGGCUGCCUAGAAGCAUAUCAGCCUAAAACAAGAAUUUGUAGUUAAGAUGGGAAGCAAAGCAAAAGCAAUGGGGUCUGGGCUGACUCCUCUUCUUGCCACUGUUUUAGUGGUGUUUGUUGCUCUUGGCUUGCCCUCACAAACUGCAGCUGAUGAUCACUACAAGUAUUCAUCUCCUCCUCCUCCUUACCACUAUCCCUCACCACCACCACCAGUGCAUAUACCUCCACCUCAUCCUGUUUACAAGUACAAAUCUCCACCACACCCCCAGUACAAGUAUAAGUCACCACCACCACCUCCUCAUCCGGUAUACAGUCUCCUCCGCCACCACACACCCAGUUUACAAGUACAAGUCACCACCACCACCUCCUCAUCCGGUACCACACCCAGUUUACAAGUAUAAGUCUCCUCCGCCACCAGUUUACAAAUACAAGUCUCCUCCACCACCACCUCCAGUGUACAAAUACAAGUCUCCACCACCACCAGUUUACCACUACAAGUCUCCACCACAGUUUACAAAUACAAGUCUCCACCACCACCCCCAGUUUACAAAUACAAGUCUCCACCACCACCAGUUUACCACUACAAGUCACCACCACCUCCUCCCCCAGUUUACAAAUACAAGUCUCCACCACCUCCUCACCACUACUAAGCAAUUGCUUCUGAGGUAAUAACACUUGUUCAAUAUACCCACUUCUGCAUGAUAAAGCAUAUCUCUAUCAACACAAACUGUCAUGUCUAUCAUGCUAAGUGCCUUCACUUCAUCCACCAAAAUGACUGCUAGAAAAUUUUUUUUAUGUUACCAAAGAAAGGCAUCAUUUUUUCCCUCUGUUAUCAAGAACUUGUACAGUAUAUAGAUUAAAGAGUAUUUUUUUAACUAGCUUAUCAACUGAGAAAUGCAUAUAGCUGAUAGCCAGCUGAAUAUUUGCAGGCAAAGGAGAAGGAAACCAGUGUUUGAGACCUUCUUGAAGAUGUAGAAGCAUAAGAAUUAAAGCCCAAUGUGAAGAUGAUGAUUUCAAGUUUUUCUACGUUACCAUUUCUUUAUCUAAAUUGGUUGUAGCGCCUUAGUUCCUUUGUUUAUGGGAUUUGUAUCGUUUUACGUACCAUGCAGUACAUGUCAUGUUUGUAAGGUUUUCUAUCCUGCCGGCAAACCGCAGGUUCCAUGUAAUAAAUCAAUACUAUUUAUAUUACGACACUUUUCUCUGUUUCUCUUAUAUUUUGUCGUCUUUAAUAUUCUUAAUCAUAUUUUUAACAAAAAUAUUCAAACACUUAGGCAAUCUGGUCUAAUGCUAAUUGUAUGUUUUACUUUUCUUUUUCACCUGCUCCCCUUUUCAACUCAAAAGGAUGCAAUAGUUUGUGAUCACUGUUUAAGACGGAAGCAUGAUACUAAUGAAUAUCUCAUUGAAACUCAAGGAAACUAACAUUGCGAAAAGUGUAAAUCUUGAUUUGAUGCAACUAUUUAUUCGUGGAAUCUAUAGUUACAAAACUCAAAUUCUGACUGCGCCAUUGAUAAAUUAUUAAUGACGCUAUCAUCAUUAUUUAUCCCUAACUAGUUUCGACUACAACUGAACCCAAUAUUUUCCCCAUGAUAAAAGUUUUUGACUAUUUUACUGGCCUCUCUUCAAAUUUUAAAAAUUACACUAAUCUUCAUUGAGAUUAAUUAUCUUGUAACAUUUAAGUCCAAUUAAUAAUUAAAAAAUGAUAUUAUGAGAGAGAAAAUAAUAUAAUUUUAUCAUUGCCCCCCAUCUUGCUAUAUUAUUUAAUUAAUUUAAUAGCAACCCACACAUUAAAGAAAAAUACUAAAAUUUGCUGCUUUUCAUUAAAGAUCAAAUUGCAUAUGCCAUAAAACAUAGUAUAUCAUUCUAUAUGUUUCACUUAAUGUAAGAUCCCAAUUGUUCUUUUCAAUUACAAACCCAUUGUCAAUAACAAAUAACCAAAAAAUUUGCAACCAAAAUAUUACAAAAAAAAACUUCAACAUCAUAAAUAUUCUUACCACCUCUAGUGCAUUCACCCUCAUAAAAUAAUUCAAGACCCUACUGUCAUAAAAUGACUGAUCAACUCCCGUAAACCUAAUUUGACAACAUUUAAAUGGAGAACUUUAGCUAAAAGAAUUAUGGUCAAGCUAAAGAAAAAACCAGUUAUUUUCCAACAUAUGCAAUCAUUGAUCAGGGAAAAAAAAAAGAGCAAAAAGACAUCUUCAAUCAUUUAAUAGCUUACAGGGCAAAUUAACCCCUAAGCGAAAACUGGUUGCUCUAGAAUCAAAAUUUUACUUUAGUUACCCAGGCAACUUUUUUGUUGCUUUUUUUUUUUUUUUCCUUUAGUUUUGCCCCCUCUGUCAAGCUUAUAAAAUUAUUAAGAUAAUAAAAGUGCCUUGAAUAGUAUUAAUAUAUCCAUUGACUUGAGCUGUCGUCAGUUUGCGAUUCCAUGAGGCCUUUUCAAAGUACUCAGAAAAUGGGGAGUCAUGAAAUCCAUUUGUUCUAUUCAUUGCUAAGAUGCUUUUCUCUAUAAAGAGACUUCCUAACGAAAAUACUUUGUAGAUUUCUUUACUCCAAGUGGUGCAUGGAAAAUUAAUAUUUUCAAUUAUCAAAUAAAAUUCCCUUUUUUCGGCGUAGAUUUCAUCCAUCCAGCUGUUAACACAUUCUAUAAAUCCGAAUUGACUAAUCUUUUCGUUUCCAUUUUCCAACUUGCGAAUACGGCAUAUAGUGUCUGCUAAACACUAUAUAUUCUCUGCCAAAUAUGAAUACAUAUCACUUUUCUGAGCAAGUGCAGAGUCAUUAUCAUUUUUAUUCCCACCUAACAAAUUAGGGAUAAAAAAGUUAAUAAUCUUUACAUGCUAUCAGGUCACAAGUUAAUAAUCUUUUAAAGAACAUGUUAAAUUAAUUUAUUGGUAUGAAUAGUAGUCAAAGAAGUAUGUUAAAGUUAGUAAUCUUUAAAAUAAUAUGUUAAAAUCAUUCGUACAAAUUAGUCAGAGAAGUAGCAUAAACACCGCGAUGCAAUUAAUACUUUCAAUCUCAAGGUCUCUAUUAUGGAAAUUUGCAUCGGUCAAUAUACACUUGGCAUAAUAUAAUCUCCCAACUCAUUUCUUUACAAAUGCACCUUUAAUCACCACCAAAAGGUGUGGACAUGAUCUUUACCCUAGAAAACUAUUCACCGACAGGCAAAUUGACGUCAGAAAUACUGAGGAAUUCUAGUUUCCUUCGGGUUCAUGCCAUGUUGUAUCCUUCAACUGUAACUCGAUUUCUAAGCUGUAAUUUGUGACAUAAUAGUCCUUAAACUAUGAAACCCUUCUUACUUAAUUACAAUGGUUAAUACAAUGCCCGUGACUAGACAAGUAUGAAGCAACCAUAACAGAAAAAAAAUCCAAAAUUAGAGAAAAGAAAGAAGUUUCGCGACCACCACCAGUUUACAAGUCACCUCCACCACCUCCUCCAGUUUACAAGUCACCUCCACCACCUUACCAUUAUUCCUCACCACCACCUCCAGUGCAUUCACCCCCACCACCACCAGUUUACAAGUCUCCGCCACCACCUUACCAUUAUUCCUCACCACCACCUCCUGUGCAUGCACCUCCACCACCAAUUUACAAGUCACCUCCUCCAGUUUACAAGUCUCCACCACCACCUUACGAUUAUUCCUCACCACCACCUCCAGUGCAUUCACCCCCACCACCACCAAUUUAUAAGUCUCCCCCACCGCCUCCCCCAGUAUAUAAGUCACCACCACCACCUCCUCCAGUAUACAAAUCACCUCCACCACCUCCUCCAGUUGACAAAUCUCCACCACCACCAAUUUAUAAAUACAAGUCUCCUCCACUACCUCCUCCAGUGUACAAGUCAUCACCACCACCUGCUUACAAGUCUCCACCUCCUCCAGUUUACAGUUCCCCACCACCACCAAUCUACAAGUCUCCACCUCCACCCUACCAUUACUACUACAAUUCUCCUCCUCCUCCUCGUCACUACUAAGCAAUUGUAUCCAAGUUUUUGAGGUAAUAACGCUUAACCAAUAAAUUAACUUUCGCAUGAUAAACCUUAUCUCUAUCAAGACAAACUGCCAUGUGUAUCAUGCCAAAUACGUACACCUAGAUCCAUGAAAAUGAAUGGUGAGGAGGGCCAUUUAGGCUCGGAGCGCCCUAGGCCUAGUUCCCCACCAUUUCCUGAAGUGCCGCCUCGGGUAUUAUCCUGGAAGGCGAUCGCGGCCCAUUUACCACCUCGGCUACAAUGUCAGGUCGUAACACCGAGGUGGACAUUGAAUGACAACUACGAAAAGGGGAGAUGUGAUCUCUGACACCUGAGCAAAGGCUGCUCUGACCCGCCGCCUGAAUCUGACAGAAUGUCCCAUCACGUCUCUUCAUGGAGACCGGUCAAGUCCACCUGAUCCACUGACUAUCUCAGAUCUUUUGGGACCCGUGCAAACAUCUCCUCUCUCCUAUCAGUCCCCUAUAAAUACACGAUACUUCUACUGAAAAAGGAGAUGACCAAUUUCUGGUAAAACACACUCCACUCAUUAUUUACUUCUCUAUAUCCGAACUGACUUAAGCUUCGGAGUUAUACCGGGGGAUCCAGCCCCUUUCUUAUCCAAGCAGGUGACUUCGUCCAAGAGAGUUGCCCAAGGUAAAGAUAUUCUUCCAAUUGAGGUGACUCACUCCUGCGGGUCGAAAAUCACCUCUUCAAUUGGCGCCGUCUGUGGGAACCGCAAAGAUAUUAGAAGAUGAAGCCUGCGCGUUCUAGAAGCAGAAAAGCUCUCACUAUCGAGGCUGGGCAAAGCAAUGCAGCUCAACAAGAAAAUAUUUCUGAAGGGCAGGAGUCCCCAAGGACUCAGCCCGCAAACGAAAAAGCCAUAACCCGUAUGGCCGAGUUUGUGACCGAGAACCCCAACAUCUUUGAAGAGUUGGGAAGAUACCUGAAGAGGCAAGGCAAACAAAAGGCCGAGUCCUCUAAAAGGAUGUCAGAUGGGUCUCUUGAGGACUCAUCUGAGGAGGAGUCGGAUGGAAGGCACUUAAGCCGAAGUGCCUCAAAGCGAGCAUUUUCUAAGGCCACUUCUAAGGUAGCCUCCCUGACCAAGGCGUUUUCCCGAGGGCUCUUGGGCCGACGACCCGAGGAAGAACCUCGGCCCUUGGGAAUACCCGGGGUGGACUGCAUGAGGGCUCCACCGUUCACGGAUGAUAUAAACGAGGAAAGGCUUCCUCCCAAUUUUAAGCUCCCCGCAGUACAAUCUUACGAUGGCCGAGGUGAUCCCGAGAAUCACAUCCAUACCUUCAUCUCGGCCUUCCAAAUAUACUGCAUCCCAGACCCUGUCAUAUGUCGGGCCUUUCCAGUAUUCCUCAGAGGAACUGCUCGAAAAUGGUUCUGAGCUCUAGAACCUAGGAGCAUUUCGACCCUGGGUGAAUUAGUGGAGAAGUUUCUCCACCGAUUUGUCUCCUCCCGACCUACGACUAGGACCUCGGCUUACCUGCUCACCGUGCAGCAGAACCCGGGAGAGUCACUCCGGUCGUACGUCCGGAGGUUCCAUGAGGAAAGCGUUCAGAUACCUGACCCCAAUGAGCAGGUAACCCUCGCUGCCUUUACCCAUGGACUCGUUGCCGGGGAGUUCAAUACGGGGAUCCAUAAAAAAUACCCCCGCACACUGCAUGAAUUGUGGUUGAAGGUUGAAAAGGGCAUACAGGCCGAAGACCUCCAUCGCAUGAAGAAAGAGGUCCAAGCCACCCGUCCAAGGGCUGAGCCCAGAAAGGGAAAAGACGCUGGCCGAACUGAAGUAGGGUCGGGAAGUGGCUUCCGAAGUCCUGGCCGAGACCGCCGCAGCGUGUUCGACAGGAUAUCCAAGGGGAAGUCACCUAUUCCCGAGUCCGAGUUGACUCCUUUAAAUACUACCCGAUCUCACGUGUUGUCCGUGAUGGAACAAAACAACCUCGGCAAGGGCCCGCCGAGGAUGUUUGGAAGCAGAGACAAGAGGAACUCGAACCUCUACUGCUUGUAUCAUCGUGACAUUGGUCACGAAACUGAGGAUUGCAACGAUCUCAAGAAGGAGAUCGAGAACCUCAUUAGACGGGGACACUUGAAACAGUUCAUCCGCAGAGGUGGAGGUCACCAACGUGACGAAAACCGGCAUGACAAAUGAGGUGACCAACGCCGAGAUGAGCGGCGGAGCUCCAGAAGCAGUUGCCGACCUCCUGAGGAUCCCAGGGAGACGAAAAGGCCUCCCCCAGACGGAUCUUCGGGACAUGGGCCAACCAUUGCCCGGGUCAUUAACACCAUUGCCGGAGGUCCGACGGGAGGGGACAGUCAGAACUCCCGGAAGAGAACCUAUAAGCAGGCUAACCCGGAUCAGGCCGAGUCGAGUUCUCGCCUGUCCGAGGUGAUCACCUACGGGCUCAGUGAUCCCAUCCCAGCUGCAUCCAGCAGUCAUGAAACCUUGGUGAUUGAAGUCCUCACCAAUAACUACAUUGUGAAAAGGUCUACAUAGACCCGGGAAGUUCAGUUGACGUCAUGUACCUCCGUACCUUUGAGAGCCUUAAAAUGGCUAAGGGGUGCAUGACCCCGCUGAGAACCCCUCUUGUAGGGUUCGGGGGACACGUGGUGCACCCCGAAGGGAUGGUGACUCUGACAGUGACCAUAGGGCAUCACUCUCGCUGUAGAACCGUCCCUGUCAAUUUUGUGGUGGUUAAGGCUGACUCCCCAUACAACCUACUUUUAGGUCGGCCUACGCUCAAUGCCUUGCGGGCGGUCUACUCCACCUACCACCUGAGCUUCAAGUUUCCUACCCCAGCAGGGGUGGCCGAGGUCAGCAGCGACGUCUGUGCUGUCCGGGAGUGCUACCUCGCCACCCUACAAGCAGCCUCCCCGUCUACCUCCGGUGCGAGGUCCGAGAAGAGGUCAAAUAUCCUCUCAAUAGAUAGCAUCGAUCCUCAGUGAGCUGAGAAGGUCCCGAGGCUGGAGACUGGGGAUGAGGUGGAAGAGAUUCCCCUGGACCCCACGAAACCUGAUCAGACAGUUCGCGUUGGUACCCGAUUGCCCGGUCCUAUCCGAAGAGGUAUGAUGGACCUCCUCAGGGAAUACCGGGACGUCUUUGCUUGGGCCGCCGAAGAGGUCCAAGGAGUCCCGCACCAUCUCAUGAUGCAUGACUGAACGUCGACCCCCAAGUCCGUCCGGUCAAACAGAAGAGAAGGCACAUCGGCCCUGAGCGCAGCCAAGCUGUUGGUGAGGAAGUGGACAAGCUUUUACCCGCUAAAAUAAUCCGAAAAGUCCAAUACCCGAUCUGGUUGUCUAACUCGGUCAUGGUCAAGAAGGAUACGGGGGCUUGGAGAAUGUGCGUCGAUUUUACCGACCUCAACAAAGCCUGCUCCAAGGAUUGCUACCCCUUGCCCAAAGUCGAUACUUUGGUAGACUCAGCAAUGGGCUACGAGAUCCUCUGUUUCUGGGAUGCAUUCAAAGGCUAUCACCAAAUUGGGAUGAGUCAAGAAAACCAGGAGAAAACGGCCUUCUACACCGACCGCGGCACGUACUGUUAUACUACCAUGCCAUUCGGGUUGAAGAAUGCCGGAGCCACUUAUCAACGCUUGGUCAACCAAGCAUUCAAGUCUCAAAUCGGCCGGAAUGUUGAGGCCUAUGUAGAUGACAUCCUCCUCAAAAGCCAGACGAACUCCACCUUCCUGGCCGACUUGAAGGAGGUCCUUGACAUCCUGCGGAAGGUGAAAAUGAUGCUGAACCCCAAGAAAUGUGUUUUUGGGGUCACCUCGGGGAAAUUUCUAGGUUACCUCGUCUCAAGGCGAGGUAUCGAAGCAAAUCCGGAUAAGGUGCGAGCCAUCCAGGAGAUGUCUCCACCCCGGUGCGUCCGCGAUGUCCAAAGGCUGACAGGGCGAUUAGCCGCCCUGAAUCGGUUCUUAUCGCAGUCGGCAGCUAAAGCACUGCCCUUUUUCAAAGUGUUGAAGAAAGCUGACCAUUUCUCCUGGACGGAAGAGUGUCAACAGGCGUUUGAGCAGUUGAAGGAUUACCUUCACUACCUUCCAACGCUCACCUCACCUCGUCCGGGGGACAAAUUAAUCUUAUACCUUUCUGCUGCGGCCGAAGCGGUGAGUGCCGUGCUGAUAAGGAAGGAAGGGGUCCAAAUGCCCGUCUACUACGUUAGCCGAGUCCUCCGAGGUCCAGAGACCAGGUACACACAAGCAGAGAAACUUGUGCUAGCCCUGAUCCACGCCGCCCGCAGACUCAAGCCCUACUUCCUAGCUCACCACGUCUGCUUGAGGACUGAUCAACCACUUCGGCAGAUUUUGACACGACCAGAGGUUUCGGGACGUCUUACCAAAUGGGCCAUUGAGCUGGGGGAGUACGACCUAACUUAUGAGCCUCGCACAGCGAUCAAGGCCCAGGCUCUCGCAGACUUCGUAGCCGAGCUCACCUUUGACGAGGUGCAAGGAUCCGUCCCGGCUGCCACAUCGGCCACAGUUGAUGUGGCCACCACUGGGCUCCAGCGGUGGAUCCUACACGUGGACGGUUCGUCAACAGUGAGGGUAGUGGAGCAGGCUUGCUCCUCGAAGACCCCCAAGGAGAAAUAUGCUAAUAUGCCUUAAGAUUUGACUUCGCUGCUUCAAACAAUGAAGCUGAAUACGAAGCCGUCAUUGCUGGACUGCAGCUAGCUCGCAAGCUCGGGGCCGCACACAUCUUGGUUUAUAGUGAUUCCCAACUCGUCGUGUGCCAGAUAUUAGGUGAGUACGAAGCCAGGGACGAGGUGAUGCAUCGUUACCUCUCCAAGGUCCUCCAGUUGGCGACUCACUUCGAGUCUUUUGAAAUUCAAAGAAUACCGCUAUCGAAAAACAGAAGGGCUGACGCCCUCUCCCGGCUUGCCUCAACCUCUUUCUCUGACCUGAACAAGACGGUUCUCGUUGAAGUUCUAGCCGAACCAGGAUAUGUAGCCGAGGUAGUAUACCCCGUCUACCCUGGGGACACCUGGAUGGGUCCCCUGACUCGAUUUUUCAGCCAGGGUGAGCUCCCCGAAGACCGAGCUGAGUCACGGAAGCUCCAACGAAAAGCAGCACGGUACAUUCUCCGACAAGGCCUUUUAUACAAAAGGUCUUACCUCGGCCCUUAGUUGCGAUGUAUCACGCCCGAGGAAGGCCAGAGAAUCCUCCAAGACAUACAUGAGGGGCUCUGUGGUGCUCACGUCGGCUACAGAAUGCUGGUAAAAAAGGCUUUGUUACUUGGGUAUUUUUGGCCCACUAUGAGGAUAGAUGCCCAGGUCAUGGUCCUUUGCUGCCCCUCCUGCCAGCAUCACGCUCCUGAGCACCACCAGCCGACCAAUUUAAUGAUCCCUAUCACCUCGUCAUGGCCAUUUGAGCAAUGGGGAACGGACAUAAUUGGCCCCUUUCCCAGAGCUCCAGGCAAUUAUACCUACGUGGUGGUAGCAGUGGACUACUUCACCAAAUGGGUCGAAGCUGAACCCCUAAAAAAUAUCACUGGUGCGGCAGUCCAGAAAUUCUUCUGGAAGAAUGUGGUUUGCCGCUUCGGCCUACCCCGGGUGAUCAUCUCGGAUAAUGGCCGACAGUUCGCCGAUAAUCCUUUCAAGGCCUGGUGUGAGAACCUCGGGGUCAAACAGCAUUUCACUUCGGUGGGACACCCCCAAGCCAACGGACAAGCCGAAAACUUCAAUCGCACGCUCCUCCAUGGCCUCAAGACCAGGCUCCACCAGGCUGGAUCGUUUUGGAUGGAAGAGCUCCCCAGUGUGCUGUGGUCCUACCGAACUACGCCGAGAUCAGCAACCCAGGAAACCCCGUUUUCCUUAACCUACGGGUCAGAAGCUGUUGUUCCAGCCGAAUUCAUCACCCCGAGUCCACGAAUGGCCGCAUAUGCUGCCGAAGUCAAUGAAGAAGAACGGCGAGUUGACCUCGACCUCGUCGAAGAGAAGCGUGAUAUGGCCGCGGCCAAAGUUGCUGUUUACAAAAAUAUCGUAGCUGGCUACUACAACGCUCGGGUUAAACAUUUGCGGUUCAGUCCGGGAGACCUGGUGCUCAGGAAGAACUCAGUCAGCCGGGCUGAACCUCAGGGUAAACUAACCCCCAAGUGGGAGGGACCAUACCGUGUUGUUGAGUCCAGCCAAAAUGGAUAUUGUAAAUUGGCAUACCGAGAUGGGUCUCUGAGUGCCCCGAACUUGGCAUGCUGAAAAUCUUAAGUUGUACUACCCUUGAGGGUAUGUGCUUUUAAUCUUGAGUUAUUUCACACUUAUUUUCAUUUCAUUAUAAGUGAAAAAUAAGGGGACAAAGUAGCAGUAAAGAGGAAAACCGAAUUUAAUUAAAAAGAAAGCAAGAAUAUGAACUCAAUUCCAUUGAAUUACAUAAAAGUAGAAAGCCGAGGUCACCUUUAAUUAGGAAGAAAGCAAGAAUAUAAACUCAAUUCCAUUGAAUUACAUAAAAGUAGAAAGCCGAGGUCACCUUUGACCUCGGCCUACAAUGACAAAAAAAAAAACAAGUGCCUCUAGGCACUCCCUACCCUGACAUCCUGGCCCCCCGUGGUCGCGCCACCCGUUUCGGCACCCUGUCCACCCUCAGCUCCUCCACCGGCCUGGUCGUCUUCAGUACCAUCUAGUUCAAACUCCUGGAGCCAUUUGUUGAAUUCGGCUCGGACUUCGGUUAGGUCUUUCUCAGUCCGGAUGCCCUCAGCCAUGCUGUCGCAUAGCUCCUUGGCAUCCUCGUUAUAGUGCGAAGUGCUCUGAAGGGACUCCAGUUGUUCAGAGGGAAGAAAGGAUGCCGCGUCAUUAAUAGCCGACGUGUACCCGAACAUGAAGCUUGGCCGGGUGAGCUCGCCGAGGUCACGGAUGAAGGACUCUGACGUCCGGAAGGCUUCCACAGCAGUGACCCCGGCCUUGUCCAUGGCCUCCCUGUUUGACUGUUCUUCUUGGGCCCUCCUUUUUUUCUCCUCAUCAAGAGCAGUCACCAGGGAAUUGUUCGCGACCUCGGCCCUUUUGUUAGCCGCCUUGGCCUUGUCACGCUCCAACUCGGUUGCCUUCAGUUUUUCUUCCAACUCGGCAAUUCUCUUCUGGAGCUCGGCAGGAGGCUCAUAGUUUUCCAUGAACUUUCCAUACCGUUGAAUCAUCUCGACAAAAAAAGCCGUGGUAGAGGCCCAUGACACCGAGGCGCUCUGCAUCAACUCCCCUGCGGAGAGCUUCCUAGCAUAAGUGCUAUCUCGUGGCAGCACUGAAUGCACCAAGAGCUCCUGAGCGACCAAAGGGUUCUUGCAGCGAUCGUUGAAAUUAAUCUCCCACUCUGGACACCAGUGUGAUCCGGGGUGUCUCUUGUCCUCCUCAGCUGCCUUGAAAGGCACAUGAUGGAGUUUGAACAAAGAUGACCCCGUGACGGGGUUCUCCGGAAAUAUGGUCACACCCUGACCCCGGGGGGGAGUGGCAAUCGUGACCCAGCGAGAAGGGAUUCCCACCGGAAUUGCCGAGGCUCGGGAACCUCCCGGAGUGGCCGAGGUGUGCGAGCCCUCGCCCACGAUCACCACGGCAGGCUCGCGGUCGCCCGACGCCGCGGUGGUUUUCUUAGCCGGCCUGGAAGAGGACCCUGCAGUGUCCUUGCGCUUUUUGGGAGCUCUUUUGACCACCUCGACAUCUCCCGAGGUUAUCAGGUCGAAAAUCUUCGUCACUGCAAAGUAGGAGACGAAGUCAGUUAGAAUUCAAGAGGGAUAAACUAAAAGGGAAGAAAUGGAAAAAUACAAAGUCUGUGAAGCCUAGUCGAGAGUAAGACAGGCUGGUCAGAGCUCGUCAAGGCUCAACUGAUCCCGCCUUCCACGAGCACCACUUCGGGAAAAUCCCAGCAGUUUAUCCUGAGGCCCGACCCCGUUAACUUCUGGAAGUUACGCUCUUCUAACUUCCCUGGAGAUAUCUCCUUGAUCGAGGUGGGAGGCCUCCACCAGAAUCCGCGAGGGAAGUCAUCGGCCGAGACGAAGAAGAAGUUUUGCUUCCACUCCUUUAUUGAGUUCGGAGCAUCAACCACCAACUUCGGAACUUUGUUUCCGAAGUAGAACCAUCCUUUUUCACUUCUGCUGUUCUUGAGUGAGUAACAGCGGCGAAAGAGGUUGACCUAAGGUUGUAUCUCCUGAUGUCGGCAAAGUAGCUGGAAGCCAACGAGAAUGCGAAUAGCGUUAGGGGUGAGUUGAGUGAUUCUCACCCCCCAGUACCUCAGGCAGUCCCGAAGAAACCUCGUCGUGGGCACUCUGAGUCCGGCCUCCAGCUGUUCCUGAUAGAUAGUCACCUUGCCCUUUGGUGGCAGUGCGGCUGACUGAUGCGGUUGGGGUAUGUAAAUACUAUAAUCCCUUCUCCAGGGAUACCUGCGGACCACCUCGGCUAUUGAGGCUUGUCCCAUACCACUACUGAAGAACGGCAUCUGGCCGUAGUCGAGAGUUGCCACGUUUGGAGGAGUGGAAGGUUCUUGUACUCCCUCGUCUCUAGGGAUCUCAAUCCCGAGGUCAUCGUUGUAUAGGACCUCGGGCUGGACCUCGAUCUCCUCGGGCUGCACCUCAACCGCCUCAGCUCGGCGUGAUGCCUCGGCACCUCCACCCUCAGCUUGGUGAGAUGCCUCAGCACCUCCGCCCUCGGACGCGGUCCUUUCCUGGGAGGGGUCAGGCCUCUCUGCCUCAGUGAGGUCAGGUCUCACUGUCUCUUUGUGCGUACGAGCUGUUCUAGCCAUUGUAUCAGAAGGGGAAGAAGUGAACUUACUUAGAAUCUGCGACUGGAAGAAGAUGCCGAAGUAGACGUGGUUUAGAAAGGUUGCCGAAGUGAAAAGAGAAAGAAACAGAGUUCUGGGGUGAUUCUUGAUUUUUGGUGAAGAGUAAAACGGUGAAAAAAGACCACUAUUUAUAGGCCACCAGGGUGAAACCCAAGAGACGGCACCCUCUCUCUUCAUUAAUGGGAGGACUGUUCGUCUGCCAACACAGCUGACAGCCGUCCCUUCAGUUAUCACUCAGUCCCAUCUAUGCGGUCAUGACGUGUCCGUGUUCCGUGUUUUAUACGCUUCUCAGCUUCGGGAAGUAACGACCACGGCGGAUGCCCAUCUCGCCCUUCUCAAAGCUUGGGGGGCUUAGUGAGGAGGGCCAUUUAGGCUCGGAGCGCCCGAGGCCUAGUUCCCCAUCAUUUCCUGAAGUGCCGCCUCGGGUAUUAUCCUGGAAGGCGAUCGCGGCCCAUUUACCACCUCGGCUACAAUGUCAAGUCGUAACACCGAGGUGGACAUUGAAUGACAACUACGAAAAGGGGAGAUGUGAUCUCUGACACCUGAGCAAAGGCUGCUCUGACCCGCCGCCUGAAUCUGACAGAAUGUCCCAUCACGUCUCUUCAUGGAGACCGGUCAAGUCCACCUGAUCCACUGACUAUCUCAGAUCUUUUGGGACCCGUGCAAACAUCUCCUCUCUCCUAUCGGUCCCCUAUAAAUACACAAUAUUUCUACUGAAAAAGGGGAUGACCAAUUUCUGGUAAAACACACUCCACUCAUUACUUACUUCUCUAUAUCCGAACUGACUUAAGUUUCGGAGUUAUACCGGGGGAUCCAGCCCCUUUUCUUAUUCAAGCAGGUGACUUCGUCCAAGAGAGUUGCCCAAGGUAAAGAUAUUCUUCGAAUUGAGGUGACUCACUCCUGCGGGUCGAAAAUCACCUCUUCAAAUGGUAGAAAGUUUUCUUAAGAACCAAGAACAGCAUUAGUAUUCCCUCUGCUUCCAAAAACUUGUGUAUUAAAUAGAUUAAUGAAUUGUUUAACAUGCUCAUCUACUUGAAAAUGCACAAUACCCAUAACCCACUGAAAUUUUUGCAGGAAAAGGGAAAGAGAAUCUGUGUUUGAGAGCUUCAUGAAGAUGUUGAAGAAUAAGAAUAAAAGCCCAAUGCGAGGAUGUUUUCAAGUUUUUCUAUGUCCACUUUAAUUUGUAAAUUGAAUUUUACAACUCAAUUAAUUCCUUGUUUGUGAGGUACGUAUUGUUUUACGUACCAUGCCGUACAUGUUUGUAAGGAUUUCUAUCCUAUUGGCAAAAGUCGGUUCCAUACAAUUAAUCAAUUCAUUUCACUUCUAUUGGCUCUACUAUUUAUGCAUGUUACGACACUCUUUCCCUUAUAUUUUGCCUUUAAUAUUAUGAGUCAAUAGUAAUAAUGGGCCUUUUUCUUAAAAUUAUACUAUUAUACAUAGGUAGUUUGGUCUAACGCUAAAUUCAUGUUUGUCUUUCUUUUAUUCCCUUUACAUCUCAAAGUAUACUAUAGUUUGUAAUCAUUGUGGUGAUGAUAUUACCAGCUGGUACUUAUAGUUUAAGGCAGAGACAUGAUAUUAACAACUAUCUCAUUGAAACAUAAGUCAAAAUCAUGACAAGUGUGAGUCUUGGUUAAUGCACAAUUUGUUAGUGGAAUUUAUAUUUAUAAAACUCAAAAAAAAUUUUUGACAAUGCUAUUACUAAUUAAUUAAGGACUUCAUUGCUAUAAUUUAUCGCUUACUAGUUUAAACUAUAAAUGAUCUCAAUACUUUUCUCCAUGAUGUCGAUUUCUUUAGACUACGAAAGGGAAAAAUUAGUGACAUAUCCCUUACUGAUUACAACAUCAGCAAAAAUUAGUUAUAAACUUUUCCGGUGGUUUUAAAUCCCUCGGGCACUAAGGUUUUUUGCACAUCGAGUGAAUUAAGGAACAUAGGCAAUUCGUUCUGCAUACCAAGUCCUUGUUUAAGAUGCACGUACUAAAAUGCAUCCACUUCAUUAAUUUGGAAAAUUGCCAUAGUUUUUUUUAAGCAUUUUGAUUUUUUACAUGAUUCAAAAUUUUCUUAUUGGAUACAAUCACUUUGUGUCAAGAACACAUUUUCAAUCAUCUUUUUUAUCUUCUCAAUAAGAAAAUAAAAAUUUAUUCAUGCUUUUCUAACAUAUCCAAUCAUUGAUCUGAAAAAUAAAGAAUUAAAAAAAAAAGACAUUUUCAAUCAUUGCUUACAGGGCAACUUCCCCAUGUGAACCUCUUCAAACAAAGCCAAUAAUAUGAAGGAACAUCUAAAUACACUUUUGCCCUAAAGGCUGGUUGCCUUGGGGUCAAAAUUUAACCUUCGGGAGUAUAAUUACCCGCCAAAUUUAUUAUUUUUUAUGGGUAUAUAGUUCCAAUUUUGCCUCCUGUUAAGCUUAUAAAUAUAUUACGACCCAGAAAAUAAAGGAAUCUUGAAUAGUAACAUGUCCAUUGACUUGAGUUGUCAUCAAUUUGGCUACUUCGAUUCCAUGAGGCCAAUCCAAUUCACACUAGCUAGAGAAAAUGGUGAUAAAGGCACUUAGAAAUUUAUAUGUAAUAUUGAUUGGUAGUAACUGAUAAGUAUAUAUUUUACGUGUUUUAAAUAUGUUUUAUUAGUUAGUUUUGGUGUGUUUUAACUACUUUUAUAACUAAUUAACUAGGAAUCUAGUGAAAAUAUGCAUUUUGUGGUUUGAAGUGUGAAAAUUGUAUUUCUAUGGAUUUUAAUGGUGAAAACUUCAUGUUUUUGUAGGUUUAAUGAUUCAAUCAUCAAAUGACAUGAUUUGAGAAGAUAAUUAGAUGAUUGAUGAUGUUUUGAAGUGAUAAAAAGAGAAUACAAAGUGCAAGAGAGGAAAUGCAAUCAAGAAUAAAAGAAGAAAAUUUUUGUAGCUUUGACAUAUUGUGGUAUUUUGGCAAUAUAUUGAGCUACAAUGAUUGGAUUAAGGUGAUUCUUAAACCAUUUGAAGCUAAGAUAUAGAUCUACAUUUGGUAUGAAGGCAUCGAAACCCAUGUCAGUCAUUUUCCUUGUCAAAAUGUUGAAAUACAGAAGUGCAACUCUGUUCUCGAAAGCUAAAACAGAGCUCUGGCUAGUCGAGGGUAUUUUCAUCAUUUCUUAGUCCACAGAGCUCCAAAUGAGAUGAUUCUUAAGGCAUUAGAACCCUAACUCAAAGAGCUACAACUUUCAUAUUUUGUACAAGAGUUAGUUCGGCCUCCAUCAUUCAGAAAAUAGUAGUUGAAGUGGUGCCAAAUGCAUAGAAGUGAAAACGCGAGCUAUCAAUACUCGACCUGAAGUCGCGUAUUCCUGAGGUCAUGCAUUCUCUUCUAUUUUCUGCAACUUGCCCUGCUUUCACAUAAUUUUUUCAUCUCAAUUCCAACUAUCAAUUUCGGCUAUAUCUGAUCAAGAAAAGUGUGGAAAGUUUGAAAGACAACUCAUAGGAGUUUCAAGAGUCAAAAAUUACAAUUAGAAACAACUCAUUUGGCUCUUGAAUCCUCUAUAAAUAGAGGCCUUUGAAGAACAUUUUCACAACUUUGGAAGGUUAGAGAAACUCCACAAAAACAUAGUCUUCACUAGAAUUUCCUUAGUUCAUUAGUUAGGGUAGUAUAGUAUAGUUAGUGUAGCUUUUCCUUCUUGUAUUUAUAGUUAGGUUUGAAUGAAGAUUCAGGAGCAAAGAUAGAGAGGUUGAUCUCAUGUGACAAGGGUGAUAUCUCUUCUACUACUUUCUCUUUUGUAUUUGAUUUCAUAUUUAACUAUACUACAAAUUUGGCUUUGUUUUUUUUUUUUAUCAUGUUUAGUUAAAGUUUAUGCCUAGAGUAUGGAUGACCUUUCUAUAUCUUGUUUGUGAUAUUUAACUGGUUAUUUGAUGAUGUUAUUUUUGAGCAAGUUAUUUAUCACUUUUGCUUUUCUAAUCGUGAUUAACUGGCCAUUAGUUGUGAUUAUCUAAAAGUGUUAAGUUUGUAAUGAGAAUUGGAGUUUAACACUAGUUCAAGGAAGUGAUAAAUUUAGGGAGUUCACUCAUGAGAGUAGAGGAACACCUUUGUGACCUAAGUGACUUGUUUCAUAUAAUUUCAUAGAAAAAAUGAACUUGUAAUUAAUUUCAUAACCACGAGAGUAAGUAUGGUUUAGCUAUAUGUAUAGUUGAUUCACUACGAGAGUAGGUUUCACAUACAUUAGAAAAUUACAUCAUAACUAGUCAAGAUAAUAUCAUUCAUUUAAUCAGUAAUCUCAUUUGCAUGAGUAGUAAGGCAUUCCAUAUCUCUAGGAGGUUUUUAGUAUUAUUUUCAUUACUUUUAUGUUUAUGGUAGUCUAGAUAAUAAUGGAGUUCAAAAACUACUAGUAAUUGAAAAUUUUCCCUGUGGGAUCGACCUUUAAUACCCUAUACUCGCUCUCGACUCGUAUACUUGCGAAAAAUCACGUGUGCGGUAUUUAGAAUUUAUAAAUGUAAAACUUGACUGUAGAUGAACUAAUUGAUAUAUGUAUACCCCGCACUCGUCAGUAACCAGCUUGUAUUGAUCCCAUUAUUGUGGAUAAUUGUGCUCUUAUGAAAAAAAAUUAUAAAAAAAUUAGCAAAAUUUAUGAUAACAAAUUAAAUUUAUUCAUACAAAUCAGUGAAAGAAGUAGAAUUUUAAAGACCAUGAUGAAAUUAAUACUUUCAAGGGCUCUAUUAGGAAGACUUCACUUGUUGGUGAAACUACACUAGCACAGUUAUAUGCACAUUUACUGUUUUGGUAUCUAAUUUCCUUGCCUUAAGUUGGGUGCAGAUGUUUAUAUUACAAAUAGAUGGUAUCAUAAAAUUGUUGUAUUCACGUUUGUUCUUUUUUUUUCUUCCUUAAGUUUUUUUCUUUAUUCUCGUGACUUCAAAAAUACGAACUCAAGAAAUUGGCUGCUUAAUCAAUAUGUCAUACAGGCUUCGCUAGUGAGGUAUAACUUCACAACUAGAGUCAAUAGAAAUUAUCAAAUGAUUUUUUAACAUCCAAAUUAAGCAAUAAAUUUUGUUUUCAUUUUAUGACAUAUAAUAGUACUACUUCAUGAGAGAUUUUAUAGUUUCUUUUAGGUAUCAUACCUACAAGUGAUAUUUGUCAUUGGAUAGUGACAGAAGUGUUAAUGAUUGUAAGAUUAAAUAUUGUUAAAUAUUGAAAUUUAAACUAUUUAUCUUUAUUGAAAGAUACAAGUUAAAGAAUCGUUCAAGGGGGCAAUUUUCCAUCUUGUCUUUUUGAAAAAACGCUAUCACAUUGUAUAGGCAUGAUAGGUUCAAAUUUGUCAUUAAAUUUAUGAUUGAUUUCCCUUUUAUUCAAGCCAAAUAUUGUUUUAAUUAUCAAAUUCUACUUAUAUUUGGUUAAUUGUACUAAUUGUAGGGCGGUAGAGCAAAAGUUGCUAAAAAUAGGUGAUUUUCUGCAAAUUGGUUGUCAAGGCUGAAGGAUUUGGGAUUCGCAUGUUCAAGGCCUGUUUCCAAGUUUGAUUCAAACUCUGGACAGUUUUAGAGGAAGAUUUGGAAGAUUUGAAAUUUCAUUAUUAGUUUUAUGGUUGAAUUAGGAAUCUUGGAAUAAUUUCUUUUGUGAUUUAUUUUUCUAUUUAGGAGACUAGUUGUUAUUUAGUAGUAGACUUCAAUUAGAAAACAAAGAGAAAAAGAAGGCCGGAAUCCCGCUUGAUUAAUACCUUGGCCAGGGAACAAUCUCGGUGGGGAGGACGGCCACUUAGCCUCUCAAUUCAUCUUGCUUUUCGUUAGUUUGAGAGGAAAACCAAUUGCAACUAGAUUCAAUGGAGUCUGGCAGAAUUUCUUCUAGGAUGCGUAGCUAAAUCCUCAAUUUUUAGUCGAAGGUCAAUUUGAAAAUUCGGUUCCAAAUAUCUGUGAAAUCGAAUUAUUUUACUUAUUUCUUUUAUUUAUUGGUAUUCGCACGUUUUCUGAUUUAACUUUUUAUGAUUGUUUUGUUAUUUGAAUGUCAAGGGUCCGAUAUUCGAAUUAACUUAAUAAUCUACUGCCAAAUUAACCGGUUAAAUCCGUAAUUGUUUGAUUGAUUAAUAUCAGUGGCGACUAGCGUGAUUGGUCCCAUGUUAGGAAAACGUCUGAUCUAAUUUAAACAAACCGUCGUAGCGUGUUUGUUGAUUAGGGUUGGACUUUUCUAAUUCUUAAUUCAAUUGAGAAAUUAAAUCUCCCGGUCGUACCUAAGAUUAUUUUUUUGUUAGCGAAAUAGUUAAUGGUCGUACCUUGACUAUCGAAAAAGUAAGGAAGAGUUGAUUGUUUAUCGCGUGUACGACAACUAUAAUCAAUCUAUUAAUGAGUAAUUGAAUUAUCUUUGCAUCAGUAAUCAGUUGAAUGGACCGUGUCUGAAAAGUUGUACCUUUGGCUAGAGUCUUAUCUGUUGUUGAUUCAUUCAUAUCUAUCUUCAUGCGUUGUUUUAAUUUAGUUAAUUAGUUAUUUUUAUAAAAACCCCUCAUCUCUGGACUCUAAAAGAAAUAAAUUAUUUCUAGUUCCUGUGGAUUCGAUCCUACUCACCGCUAUAUACAAAAUUUGUAUUUUUUUGAAUAAAUAAUUAUUAUUACACAGGCUUGACACCUGUCAAGGCAAAAUUUCCUUAACUUCAUCAUCUGUAGACGUAAACUUUCUACGGGUGAUAUAAUAUAAGGAAAUUUUGCCUAUACGAUGUGAUAGCAUUUUUUCAAAAAAGACAAGAUGGAAAAUUGCUCCCUUGAACGGAAAAAAUCAUGAUCUUUCCUCAAACUAGUCUACUAGUCAAUUCUUUACAAAAGAAUACUCGCUCCUAAACAUAGCCUGUUCAUCUACACUGUCCCGCAGAAUUCUAGAAAGUUAGGCAAAACUAGACAAGUUGACAGGUAUAAUCAUACCCAAGAUCAGGAACAAGCAGUUGCACAUUUCAAAAUUCGCUGCUGCAACAGCUAAUUUGAUGACUUACAACACUACACGGUCAAACUUUGAAUGGCAAUGGAUCUUUUGUUGUACGUCAUGAUGUAAUUUUCAUGUUACAUACAUUAAUAGGUUGAUAUCUAUAUUCUUUAAAUUAUCAUGAUAAUACCCUUAAUUAGAUUUAACUGAUAAAAAGAACACGUGUUAAUAUACAAAAGUGUGUAACGUGAAUGUUACAUUACUGUAUUGCAGAAGACCUAUAGUCUCUUCAUAUCUCUUCCUGCACGUAUCAAUUCGUUUCCUCUAGAUAAUAAUCUCCCAACUCGUUUCUUUACAAAUGCACCUUUUAUGUUUUAUUACCUCCAAAAGCCUUUACAGGGUCUUUACCCUAAAAAUCAAUUCACCGACUCGCAUUUGAUGUCAGAAAUUCUUAAGACGAAUUCUACUUUACUCAAAGAUUGACUGUUAAUAAUGAGACAGCGACCAUUUUGUAUUAUUAGACCGUCCUUCUUGAUAGGUAAAAGAAAUAGAGAGGAAAGUGGGUCCGUAUAUGGUCUUUUAUUCAUAGAUAAUACAACAUUACGCCAUCGAGCAUUCACACAAUAUUUCAAAGUCAUAGCAUGCCUAAGGCCCUGUUUGAUAGCUCAAUUUCGUAAUUAAAUUUAAUAGAUUCAAAUUUUAACACAUUUAAAUCAUUUGAUAACAAAAAAUUGAAUAUUUAAAUUAAUUAAGUAACACUGAACUUUCUAAACAAAACUUGCUUUCAAAAUUAAGUGAUAAGUUAUUCACUUAUCUUUGAAUGUGAUAUGCACUCAAAUAUAUUAAAUUUAAUAAUUUAAUGGAUUCAGAUUUCAGAUUUCAGUUUUAUUACACACCCUAAGUUGCAAAAUAAUACCAAAACUUGUUAUUAUAUAGCUUGAGAUUCAAAAAUUUAGAGCAUAAUUCUCAACCUAACACAAUCGAAUAAUGAAUAUUCACGAUUGUUUCAAAGUACAAUUUGAGGACAACCCAUUCCAACGCGUACACGAUUUUUAACUUUUCUAAAGUUGUUGAGAGCUGUUAAAAGAGAUUUACCAUGUUUACAUCUUCCAAGUCUUGGAAGUGAAAAAUGAAGCCACUGAGUGCUAUAAAAAGGGGGCUAGAGGCUGCCUAGAAGCAUAUCAGCCUAAAACAAGAAUUUGUAGUAACAAUGGGGAGCAAAGCAAAAGCAACGGGGUCUAGGCUGACUCCUCUUCUUACCACUGUUUUAGUGGUAUUUGUCGCCCUUGGCUUGCCCUUGGAAACUGCAGCUGAUUAUUACAAGUAUUCAUCUCCUCCUCCUCCUCCUUACCACUAUUCUUCACCACCACCUCCAGUGUAUUCACCUCCACCAACCCCUGCUUAUAAGUUACCCCCACCAUCUCCUCCAGUUUACAAGUCCUCACCACCACCUUACCACUACUCACCACCUCCGGUGUAUUUACCUCCACCAUCUCCAGUUUACAAGUCACCACCACUACCCCCUCCGGUAUACAACUCCCCGCCUCCACCAGUGUACAAAUACAAGUCCCCACCACCACCUCCUCCAGUUUACAAAUCUCCAUCGCCACCAGUUUACAAAUACAAGUCACUCCCACCACCUCCUCCGGUAUACAAGUCUCCUCCGCCACCUGUUUACGAGUACAAGUCUCCUCCACCACCUCCUCCAGUGUACAAGUCCCCACCACCUCCAGUUUACAAGUACAACUCACCUCCACCUCCUCCCCCAGUUUACCUGUCUCCACCUCCACCCUAUCAUCACUACUACGGUUCUCCUUCUCCUCACCACUACUAAGCAAGUGCAUAAGUUUUGAGGUAAUAAUACCUAUCCAAAACUUUAUCAACACAAACUGCCAUGUAUAUUAUCAUGCUAAGGACGUACACUUGAUCCAUGAAAAUGACUAGUAGAAGAUUUUUUUUAAGAACCAAAGAAAUACAUUAUUUUUUCGGUCUGUUUUCAAGAAUUUGAGCAGUAUACAGAUUAAAGAGUGUUUUUUUUUUUGUAAACUUGCUUGUCAACUUAAAAAUGCACAUAGCUGAAAGCCAACUGAAUAUUUGCAGGCAAAGGAGAAGGCAAUCGGUGUUUGAGACCUUCAAGAAGAUGUAGAAGAAUAAGAAUAAAAGCCCAAUGCGAGGAUGAUUCCAAGUUUCUACGUUACCAUUUCUACAUCUAAAUUGACUUUAGCUCCUGAGUUCCAUGUUUAUGGGGUUUGUACCGUUUUACGUACCAUGCAGUACAUGCUUGCAAGGUUUUCUGUCCUGUUGGCAAACUGCAGGUCCAUAUAAUAAAUGAAUACUAUUUACAUUACGACACUUUUCUCUUUUUCUCUUAUAUUUUGUCUUUAAUAUUGUUGAUCAUUUUUUUUUUAUCAAAAGCAUCAAAUGCUUAGGUAAUUUGGUCUAAUGCUAAUUGUUUUACUUUUAUUUUUCACCUACACCCCUUUUCAACUCAAAGGAUGCUAUAGUUUGUGAUAAUUGUUUAAGACCGAAGCAUGAUACUAAUAAAUAUCUCAUUGAAAGUCAAGGAAACUAACAUUAGGAAAAGUUUAAAUCUUGAUUUGAUGAAACUAUUUAUUCGUGGAAUUUAGAGAUACAAAACUCAAAUUGUGACGGUGUUGUUGCUAAAUUAUUAAGGACAUUAUCACCAUUAUUUUUCCCUGAUCACUAGUUUCAACUGCAAUGAUCUCAAUCUUUUUGUGACUAAUUCUUUCCUUAAUAAUUUAUAAAGACAAAACUCACAAAGAAUAUGUGACUAAUUCUUUCCUUUCGUCUUCUAAAGAAAAUGCCAACUGUUAGUUUAUCAAGGGGAAAAAGGAUCGACAUCAGUUAUUAUUGAAACUAGUAAGGAAUAAAUAAUGGUGAUAAUGUCCUUAAUAAUUUAACAACAGCACCAUCAGAAUUUGACUUUGAGCUUCGGUCUUAAACAAUGAUCACAAACUACAGCAUCCUUUGAGUUGAAAAAGGAAGUAGGUGAAAAGAAAAGUAAAAAAUACAAUUAGCAUUCCCUCAAAUUGUAGAAAGUUAGGUAGCAUUAUAGACAAGUUGAUAGCGGCAAUUUUACAUUUCAAACUUCACCUAUUCAAUAACUAAUUCGAUGGCUUGCUACAUGGUCAAUCUUUGGACCCCUUCCUGCCUCCAGAUAUCCCUUUCCUCAAUCAGGGGCUUCUACAAUUACCAGUUUCAAUUGUAUGGUAUAGUGUAAAUAUCAACAAAUUAGAUGUAGAUGCUAACAUAAUAAAUGUGAAUGCUAAGACAGCAACAUACAAUCGAACCUGCAAUUGUAUGAACCCCAAUCUCGCUUCCUAGUCCACCAUCUUUCUCUAGGUAAUAAUCUCCCUUCUAAUUUAUUCACAAAAUGCACCUUUCAUCACCUCCAAUAGCGUCGACAUGAUCUUUACCCUAGAAGACUAUUCACCGACUCUCAAUUGACGUCAGAAAAUCUAAGAGUAAUUCUACUUUACCCUAAGAUUGAUAUCAACAAGACAAGGACAAUUUAGAAUUAUUACACGCCUCUUCUUAAUAGGAAAAAGAAAUAGAGAAGAAAGUCAGGCCAGGUCUAAUUUCUUUUCAAAGGCAAUACAACAUUACGAAAUCAAGCAUUCAUUCAUACAAAUAUUUCAUAGUCACCGGUUUGCUGAGUAGAAAAAUUUAGACAAAAACUUAAUAUUAUAUUGUUUAAGAGUUAACAAUUUAGAGCUUAAUCUCCUUGUACUUUGGAGUUAACAAUUUAGAGCUUAAUCUCCUUGUACUUUGGACUAAACUUGAACGUGAAAGGAAAUCCCAAAACCAUAUUGGGCAUGAAUUCACACUUAAUAUACCCAAUAAAAGAUGGCGACUGGUGAAAGGCAGUGGAGACUGGUGGAGAGAUUUGAGGAAUAGAAGCAGACGGAAAAGCAACAAAUUUUUGCCGAAAAACGGUCACUUUCAUGGUUAAUUUUGCUACUCUCCAAUUGUACUUGACCAAUUACAACAAUUUCAUGGAGUUUGAUACGUGAAAAGAAUUUUUUAUAAAUUUUAUUUUGAUCCAUAAUGUUAUCUUUACAUAUAUAAAACAUUUUACAAUUUUGAUUUUGGCGCAGCUAACUUUUGGUUAACAAAAAUGCUCAUGUUUAAAAAACCAGAAAUAAAACAAAACAAGAAACAAAAGAAAUAAGAGGGUAGCAUAGACAUUUUGGAUUUUUCCGUUAAUUUGGAUGAUUUCCACCCACGUUCUAAUUUAAUCCAAAACACAAAGGAAUUACGUAGAGGUUUUAAAUAAUGAGGGAGCUUCAUGAUCGAACCCCAAACCACAAGGCGAUUUACUAUAUUUUACUCUUAAAUUUUGGUUUCAUCUCAUAGCAUACAAGAGUUCUAUUUCACUAUCUGUAGACAAAGACUUUCUAUGGUUGAUGUACCAUAGGAAAAAAUCUGCCUAUACAACGUGAUAGCAUUUUUUCAAAAACACAAGAUGGAAAAUUGCCCCUUAAACGGGGAAAUUCAUGAUCUUUCGUCGAACAAAGAAUACUCACGCCUAUUCAAGAUGGAAAAUUGCCCCCUUAAACGUCUAUUUGUCAAUUCUUGAAAAAAGAAUACUCACGCCUAAAACACGGCCUCUUCAUCUGCAGAAUUCUAAAAAGUUAGGUAAACUCUAUAAACAAGUUGAUAGGUACAAUCGUACCCAAGAUCAAGUACAGAUAGUUGUACAUUAACUGCUGCAAUAACUAAUCUGAUGACUUAUAAACAUAUCAUGGUCAAUCGUUGAAUGGUAAUGAGUCUUUUGUUAUGCAUUAGUAUUAGUGUGUACACUCUAAUAGAUUGAUACUUAUACUCUUUAAAUUAUCAUAAUAAUACCCUUAAUUAACUUUAACUCUUAAAAAGAAUACAUGUUAAUACACGAGUGUGUGUAACCUGAAUUGUUACUUAUAAAUUAGUGUGUAAUAGAUAGGGAUGGCAAUGGGGGCGGGUGCCCGCGGGGGGCUCUCGGGGCGGGGGUUGGGGCGGGGGGGAAUUUUUUCCCCCCGUUUAGAAAUGGGGCAGGGGACGGGGGAGUAUACCCCCGCCCCAUCCCCCGCAAAAAAAAAAUUAUAUAUAAUAUGUAAUUUAAUUAGUUAUAAACUUAUGAUAAUGAUAUUAUUAGUUAGAUGUAUUAUAUAAUGUAUAUUAGUGUAUGUAAUAUAAUUAAUAUUAUCAAUUAUAUGAAUAAUUAGACAUGUCUACUAAUAGAAUUUAUGAAUUAGUUAUACUAAAUUUACUAAUACAUUUAUACUAAAUUUCUAAUUACACUUAAUAGAAUAACACUUUUUUCUAAAACAAAAAAGCACAAACACAAUAAUGAAUUAGUGAUUGUAUGAUAGGGUGUAAUUUUACUAUUUAUUUUAUUAUUAAUUUCCCCUAUCACCUGACCUGAUGUGGAUUAAUUGCUGGAUUCUGCUCACUUUUAGUACUUUGUAUUUAUUUCAGGGAGUAGAACGGAAAUUUGAUAACAGGUGCUAAUUUGGCAGAAAAAGAGUCCAGAUGAUAGAGCUUGCCCCAAGGGCAUUUUUGGAAAGGAGAACUUGUGCCCAUCUUGGUAAUUUGGGAGAAAAGGGAAACAGACAAAAUGGGUCUAACAUGGAUUGGAAGCGGCCGCACAGUAGCAGGGAAGAGGGCAGACGUAAAAGCAAUUGCAGGGGGGAAAAGGAGUUUUUUUAGUUUUUAGCUUAGCAUCUGAUUUUCCCUGGGAGACUUUUGUUAAAGAUUUCCUUUUGGCUGAUAUUACGCAUGGCAGAUGGCUUUUAACUUAUUCCUCCAUCUUUGACUUUUCUUCUUUAGCUUGUGGCAGUGGAUUGCUACUUACGAAUGUCAGCACUUAGCCAUUCGUGGCUUUUGAUCUUUUCUUCCUUAGAAAUUCUGAGUAACCUCUUUUCCUUUGUGCGCCAGACGAAGUGAAAACUAUAAACUUUUGUAGUUUUUCUAUUCAUUCAAUAUAUUGAGACGAGUUGGAUUCUACCAAAUUUCAACGGACAUGGCCGCUGGUUUCUCUUCAAUUUUAUAUGGGCUUUGUUCAUCCAACAUGAACUAAUUUCACCACUCUAGUCAAGGAGCAACGAAGGCUCUGAUUUGCCUAAAAAUUGUGAGAUCGUUUUAAUUUAAUCUUUUCCUUUUAUUUAUUGGUAUCCGCACAUUUCUUGAUUGCUAUGCUUAUGGUUAUUUAAUUAAUUGAUUGUCUUGGAUCCAGAUAAUUAAUUGAUCUGAUAGCCUAUUGUCAAUUAGGGCAUUUAAAUCCGUAAUUGUUUAAUUGUCCUGAAAUAGUGACAACUGGCACGAUUAGAUUCGUGCCAGGGGGGAUAUGCGGGCUAAUCUAAAAUAACCCUGGUAGUGUGUUAUUUGGUUAGAAUAGGGCUCCUCUAAUACUAAGGCAAUUGGGGAAUUAAAUUCUACGGGCGUACCUAGGAUUAUUUCUUAAUUAGAGCAGUGAUUAACGGGCGUACCUUGAUCACCGACACAGUAAGGAGGGGUUGACCGUCAUCGCUUGUUUGGCAGUUAUAACCUAUUUAUCAGUAAAUAAUUGGGAUUGCCUUGCAUCAAUGAUCAAUUAGGUGAACCAUUGUUGAAGUUACUUCUUGGUUAGAUCUUUAGUUAAUAUUACCUUGAUUUUGGUGAAUUGCCAUUUGAUUUUUAGUUGCCUACUUUAUUUUAUUUUUAAUUGUUUCCUUGCUUUAAUUGAGUUAGGCCUUUAAUUAUUGUUAUUCUAAGUUUAGUGAAUUGUGGUUUAAUUCCUAAUUAGUUAUUUAUUUUUACUUUCUUAUUUGAAUUUAUUUGCUUGUUAUCAUUCCUACGAAAUCACCCCCCUGUGUUACUUUGGAUUUCUUAAGAAACAAAUAUACCCAAUCCCUGUGGAUACGACCCUACUUGCUCUGUUCACGAAUUCAUAAUUAUUUGUGAAAAGAAAUAACCAUUCCACUCGGGUAUAUCGGAUCAAGCAAAUUCUUCGGGAACAGGGUGAAUCAAGUAACCCAAUGCACACCUAGAGUCCCUGCUCCAGUACUUGGAAUUGGGUUUUGGUCAUUUUAACUGGCAAUUAGGUUUAAUUUUAUUAUUGCACAGGCUGACGACCCUGUCAAUUUUUGGCGCCGUUGCCGGGGACUGGCGUUAUUAUUUGUUUCUUUUUAAAUUCAUUCUUUGUCCUAAUUUUCUGGUUUUCUUCUAGUGUAUGCCUCGAUCUUCUCGUACAGGUAAUUUGAUUUUUGACCCUGAGGUAGAGAAGACCGCAUGUAGAACGAGAAAGGAAACCAGACAGCUCAGAGAAGAGCACUCCAGUGCUACAUCUCAGAGACCCGAGUCAGAAGUUGAACUAACAGAUUCGUUUGGUAACACUUCGAGUGACUCUGACCAGGAGGAAGACACCAUGGCUAAUGCACGAACAUUAAGGGAGUUGGCUGCUCCUGAUUUAACUCAGCAGCCUUUAUGCAUUACUUUCCCCACUUUAAAUGAUAACAUUCCAUUUGAACUAAAAUCUGGUCUGAUUCAGCUUUUACCCUCUUUUCAUGGUUUACCAGGUGAAGAGCCGUAUAAGCAUCUGCAGGAGUUUGAUGUCGUGUGUAAUAGUAUGAAACCCUCGGGAAUCACAGAAGAGCAGAUAAAAAUGAGGGCAUUCCUCUUCUCCUUGAAAGAUUCUGCGAAGGACUGGCUGUACUACCUGUCACCAGGUAGCAUCACCACGUGGGACCAAUUGAAGAAAAAAUUUUUGGAUAAAUAUUUUCCUGCGUCCAGGGCUGCAAGUCUAAGGAAAGAAAUUUGUGGGAUCAAGCAGCAUCCAGGGAAGUCACUUUAUGAGUAUUGGGAACGGUAUAAGAACUUGUUGCGCAGGUGCCCCCAACACCAAAUAAGUGAGCAAUUGAUCAUACAGUAUUUUUAUGAGGGGCUCCUUUUUAGAGACAGGAGCAUCAUUGAUGCCAGGGGGGAGGGUUGGGAUGGGUGGUACGGGGGGAGGGAGUGUAAGCAAGAGGUCUCGGGUUCGAGUCCUCCCGCUUACACACAAAAAAAAAGAUGCUGCAAGUGGAGGGGCACUGGUAAACAAAACCCCUCAGGAAGCACGGGAGUUAAUAGAGGGGAUGGCAGAGAAUUCACAACAAUUCAGUACAAGAGAGGAUGUCCCAAUACGUAAGGUGAAUGAGGUAGAGACACCCUCUAUGCAGCAGCAGCUAACUGAGUUGACCGCGUUUGUUAGGCAACUGGCUGUGAGAAAUGCAUCACAAGCCAGGGUGUGCGGGAUUUGCACUGGUAUGGGUCAUUCUGCAGACAUGUGCCCAAUGAUUCAGGAAGAAACUGCAGAACAGGUGAACAUGGCUGACCACGCGCCCGCGCCAAGGAAGCAGUACGACCCUUACUCAAGCACCUACAACCCCGGGUGGAGAGAUCAUCCCAACCUCAGUUAUGGAGAAAAUAGGCAGCCCAACAUUACACCGAACAGGCAGUCUAACUUUGUGCCAAAUAGGCCACCAGGGUACCAGCAGCAAUAUCAACCCCGACCACCUCCGUCCCCAAGCUCUGGCCCAUCUUUGGAGGAGAUGAUGAAACAAAUGAUGACAACUAUGGCUCAAAAUCAGCAAAUGACGGAGGCAACCAUUAUGCAAAAUCAGCAAAGGACGGACUCCGAAAUGAAGGAUAUAAGGAAUCAGAUAAGUCAAAUGGUCACAACAAUCAACCGUUUGGAUUCCCAGAACCAAGGUAAAUUGCCAUUUCAGCCCGAAUUAAAUUCGAAGAACGUGAGCGCAAUGACCCUAAGGAGCGGGAAAGAAAUUCAGGGGUCUGAACCUGUGAUCCCUAAGGAUAAGGAUGAGGAAAAGAUCGAAAAUGAGCUUGAAAGGGAGGACAGCAAUGGUGCAGAUCUAAAGGUACUUCCUGACCCAAUAAUUACAGCUAAAACUAACCCGCCUCCUUUUCCUAGCAGGUUGGAAAAAUCGAAAAAAGAGGAUAAGGAGAAGGAGAUCUUGGAGGUUUUUCGCAAGGUUGAGAUAAAUAUCCCCCUCUUAGACGCAAUCAGACAAGUACCAAAAUAUGCCAAGUUCCUAAGGGACUUGUGUGUCAACCGAAGGCAGUUGAGGGAAGAUGAACGGGUUAUUGUUGGGGAGAAUGUGUCAGCAGUCCUGCAGAGAAAGCUCCCACCAAAGUGCGGGGACCCAGGUAUGUUUACUAUUCCCUGUAGGAUAGGUAAUACUGUGAUAGAAGGGCCAUGUUGGAUCUGGGAGCAUCAAUUAAUCUCAUACCUAAAUCUAUCUAUGCUUCUCUAAAAUUAGGUCCAUUAAAAGAAACUGGAAUAAUCAUUCAAUUAGUUGACCGAACUAAUGCAUAUCCUGAUGGGUUGGUUGAAGAUGUGUUGGUAAAAGUUAAUGAUUUGAUGUUUCCAGCUGAUUUUUAUGUACUUGAUAUGGAUGAUGAUCACUCCCCUGAUCCCUCACCUCUGUUAUUGGGUAGACCCUUUAUGAGCACAGCACAGACGAAAAUUGAUGUUAAUAAGGGUAUCUUGUUCAUGGAGUUUGAUGGGAAAAUUGUGCAUUUCAAUAUCUUUGAUACUAUGAAAUAUCCCUCAAACUCCAACUUUAGCACAGUUUUCUCUGUGAGUGCUAUUGACCCUGUAGUGCAGGAAGUGUUUGAAACUGAUGGCAGGGAUGAGUUGGAGGUGGCUUUGACCAAGCACCUCGAGUUGGAGACAACUCCUGAGGUGGAAUGGAGCGAGGACCUAAAAUGCACAAUAGGUGCAUUACACUCAUUGCAGUCCACCACGAAAAGGUAUGAAGUCUUACCUAUUUUUACUCCCGAACCUCACCAGAGGGUGUUGCCAUCUGUGGUGCAGGCACCUGUACUAGAAUUUAAACCUCUAUCAGAGCACCUGAAAUAUGCAUAUCUGGGUGAUAAUGAGACACUCCCGGUGAUUAUCUCAUCGACACUGUCAAAAAUCCAGGAGGAGAAACUGAUCCGGGUCCUUAGAGAGCAUAAAGAGGCGAUAGGUUGGACAAUCGCAGAUAUUAAGGGGAUCAGCUCGGCCAUCUGUAUGCACCGGAUUAGACUAGAAGAGGAUGCCAAACCUGUUAGGCAGGCUCAAAGGAGGCUCAACCCCCUAAUGAUGGAAGUUGUAAAGAAAGAAAUUUUAAAAUUGCUAGAUGUGGGGAUUAUUUUUGCAAUAUCAGAUAGCCCUUGGGUAAGCCCGAUCCAGGUAGUCCCAAAGAAGGCAGGGGUGACGGUGGAGGCAAACCAAACGGGUGAGCUCGUGCCAGUGCGCAAACCCACUGGAUGGAGGCAGUGUAUAGACUACCGUAGGCUAAACGCCGUCACCAAAAAGGACCAUUUCCCUCUCCCUUUCAUUGACCAAAUGGUUGAACGUUUAGCUUGUAGAGCUUAUUAUUGCUUUUUGGAUGGAUUUUCAGGAUACUUUCAGAUAGCAAUUGCUCCAGAGGAUCAAGAGAAGACAACCUUCACGUGCCCGUUCGGGACCUUUGCUUAUAGACGAAUGCCAUUUGCGUUGUGCAAUGCACCUGCAACAUUCCAGAGGUGUAUGGUAAGUAUUUUUUCUGAAUAUGUGGAGAAAAUUAUUGAAGUUUUCAUGGACGAUUUCAGUGUGUAUGGUGAUAGUUUUGAUACGUGUUUAGAUAAUCUGAAAUUGAUCCUGAUAAGGUGUAUAGAGACUAAUCUUGUGCUUAAUUGGGAAAAAUGUCAUUUUAUGGUUGAGCACGGGAUAGUCCUGGGUCAUAUUGUAUCGUCUAAGGGCAUAGAAGUUGACAAGGCUAAAAUAGAUAUUAUUUUUGCAUUACCUUACCUCGCGAGUGUGCGGAAGGUGCGUUCUUUUCUUGGACAUGCAGGUUUUUAUCGAAUGUUCAUCAAGGAUUUUUCAAAAAUUGGAGCCCCGUUAUUCCAACUCCUACAAAAGGAUGUGACCUUCGAAUUCGAUGAUAAGUGUGAGGAAGCCUUCAACAAGUUGAAAGAAUUGUUGACCUCACCCCCAAUUAUCCAGCCCCCUGAUUGGAGUCUACCAUUUGAGAUCAUGUGCGAUGCCAGUGAUCAUGCCGUAGGGGCUGUAUUGGGGCAAAGAGUAGGGAAGGCAGCUCACGUCAUCUACUAUGCAUCCCGAGCAUUGAAUGGAGCCCAAUUGAAUUACUCCACUACUGAAAAGAAGCUUCUUGCAGUUAUUUUUGCUUUAGAAAAAUUCAGGUCAUAUUUGCUAGGUGCUAAAGUAAUUGUAUUUUCUGACCAUGCAGCAUUAAGGUACCUAAUGACCAAGAAAGAUGCCAAACUGAGGCUCAUUAGGUGGAUAUUGCUACUGCAGGAAUUUGACCUGGAGAUACGGGAUAAAAGGGGCUCAGAGAAUUUAGUAGCUGACCAUCUGAGUCGUAUACCCGUUGGAGAGGAUAAUGAACCAUUGAGGGAUGCGUUCCCUGAAGAGCACUUAUUUUCUUUAAAUUCUCAGUUGCCUUUGUAUGCCGAUCUGGUCAAUUAUUUGGUAACUGGUAAUUUUCCUGCAGGUUGACCAAAAUCGAAGAGGGAUAAAUUGAAGAGCGACGCCAAGUAUUUUAUUUGGGACGACCCGUACCUAUGGAAGAGGUGUGCAGAUCAAGUGAUGCGGAGAUGUGUAAGUGAAAUGGAAUUUCAAUCGAUUUUAGCUUUUUGUCAUACUUUUGCCUGUGGAGGUCAUUUGGACCCAAGAGAACUGCUCAUAAGGUUUUAGAAAGUGGAUUUUAUUGGCCUUCAUUGUUUAAGGAUGCCUAUGUGUUUUGUAAGUCAUGUGAUCGCUGUCAAAGGGUAGGUAAUAUACCCCGUAGAGAUCAAAUGCCCCAAGUCCCGUUGAUUUUUAUUGAAAUUUUUGAUGUCUGGGGUAUAGAUUUCAUGGGGUCUUUUCCUACUUCAUUUGGUUUUUUAUAUAUUUUGCUGGCAGUUGAUUAUGUGUCUAAAUGGGUGGAGGCUAAGGCCACUCGAACUAAUGACUCGAAAGUAGUUGCAAAUUUUGUCAGGUCUAAUAUUUUUGUGCGAUUUGGAAUGCCUAGUGCUAUUGUCAGUGAUAGGGGAACGCACUUUUGCAACAAAAUCAUAGCUGCGUUGUUUCGCAAGUAUGGUGUACUCCAAUGGGUCUCAACGUCGUACCACCCUCAGACCAAUGGUCAAGCGGAGGUGUCGAAUCGAGAGAUCAAGUCUAUCUUGGAGAAAAUGGUGCGCCCCGAUAGGAAAGACUCGAGUCAAAGGCUGGAGGACGCACUUUGGGCCUAUCGGACGGCGUACAAGACUCCUAUAGGGAUGUCACCGUACAGGUUGGUAUUUGGGAAGCCGUGUCACCUUCCAGUGGAGUUUGAGCACAAAGCUUUUUGGGCGAUAAAGUAAUGCAACAUGAAUUUAGAGGAAGCCGGUGCCCAACGAAAGUUGGAUUUGCAAGAAUUAGAAGAGAUCCGGAACGAGGCUUACGAAAAUGCACUAAUUUAUAAGGAGAGAAGCCGGAUAUUUCAUGAUCAACAAAUUUCAAGAAAAUCCUUUGAAGUUGGUCAGAAGGUCCUACUAUACCAAUCCAGGCUCAAGCUAUUCCCAGGUAAACUACGUUCCCGUUGGAUUGGACCUUUUCUUGUUACUCAUGUUUUUCCAUAUGGUGCAGUUGAAAUCCGGAGCGCUAAAACAGACAACAAAUUUGUGGUGAAUGGACACCGUCUCAAGCAUUACUACGAAGGAUUUUCAGGUGAAAAGGUGGAGACAAUAAGUCUAGACGCGCCACCGUGUCCUAAUCAGUGACAUUUUACUAUGUCUAGCCAAAGACAUUAAAGACAGGCGCUCAUUGGGAGGCAACCCAAUUGUCCCUUUUAAUUAUUUGUUUGAUUUCGUGUGAUAGUUUAAAUAUGUUUUCCUUGAAUUCGACUGAUUUUGGGUUUCAGUUUUCGUUUUUGCUGAAUUGUAGGUGACCUUCAGUCUUGACGCGCCCGCGUGAUGACAUGCAGGAAGCUCACGAUCAGAAUCGUCUGAAAGCUCUCUUGCCCUUUUGACGCACCCGCGUGAUGACGUGCAGGAAGCUCACGAUCAGAAUCGUCUGAAAGCUCUCUUGCCCUCUUGACGUGCCCGCGUCACGUUCGCAGGAAAGGUACGGGUUUCAAAAAUUUAAAGAAAAAAUAAUAAUAAUAAUAAUUUAAAAUUUUGAAAUUAACUUCCGUAAAAAAAAAAAAGAAGAAAAAAAAUUUCACCGUGGCUUAAAUAGAGCCUAAAGAAGAGAAAAAAGAAACAAUUUCUUUCUUUUUUUUUUCUUUUUCUUCUUUCUUCCUUCUUUCUUUCUUUCUUCUUUCUCUUUUCCCUCUCUCUUCUCCCCUGUUUCUUCUCCCCUGUCCGUCGCCCGUGCGCCCCAUCGCUGCUCCACCUCCACACGCACGCCGACGCUGCGAGCCACCUGCGACCCCAGCGCCAGAUCUGGACCAUCGCCGAAACCCGCAGCCUCCGCCACCUCCACCUGAGCUCUGCCUCGCGCGCAACCCAGCUGCUCUGCGCCCGAAGCUCCACCGCCGCCACAGCCUCCCCACGCAGCUCCCUGCUCACGCGGCCACAAGCCCAUUGGAAACGGGACAGAGACUGCCGCCGAGCCACUUGCCCGCGUGACCGCCGCUGUUUUCCACCACCUCCCUCACGCGAGCUCUUUCCCUCUCAGCAGCAAUCCACUUCACAGCGCACCCGCUGCGCGCCGUCGCAGCCCUCGCAGCUCCAGCCCGUCUGGUCUAGUCCGCCGCGCGCACCAACCACCCACGGACGCUACCCCCAUCGCUAACCCACGCGGCCUCCACUCCAGUCUGUCCGCCGCCGCUGCUCGUGUCUCCCUUGCGCACCUCACGCCACCCGCUACUGUCCCCUUCCGUUUGGUUAGCAUCCACGGUGGAGGUAAUUGGAGGUUAUUUUCUCAAUUGUGUGACUUCCGCCUGUGAUACUGGUUGCAUUAUUUUUGCUGGGAAUUGCUACUUCUUUUGGGUUGGGUUCAACUGUGCAAUUAAUUGGCCAACUGGAGCCAUUUGUUGGGAUUUUGGGUGAGCUGAAAUACUGCAUUUGUGUGUUACAUUGGGAGGUUUAUUGGGUACAUUCUAACCGCUGUUUUCCAUUGUUACUCUCGCUGGGGUGUCUAUUAAAUUGCGAUUGAAGUAUUUUGGAUAUUGCAUGUUGAGAUUGAGGUUUCAUUGAAUUUGGCCUACGUUCUGCCCCCAGUGGUACUGGUGGGAAUAUUUUCAAUUGAAUUUGUUACCUCUAGUUGGUUGGCUACAUUAUUAUGGUCGAAUUCCUAAGUUGUCGUCAUUGCAUUUGUUGAUCUUGAUUUGGGGCAUUAACCGGCCAACUGGAGCCAUCUGUGCGUUUUUAGGCGCUAUUAUUGGUUUCUUCUCCCUUAACUUUGUCAACUAUAUUUGGUUGGGUAUUUGGUUGACUGCCACGGACUUGUAACUGUGUUUUGCUUCUAAUUGACCAGUUGCACAGCAGUUUUUUUUUAAUUGAUAGGGUGGUUAUACCUCUGGAUAUUUGUAUCCACUGGUUUGAGGACAUGGUGAGACCAAAAUCCUCCUCUAGGUCUAGGACCCCUAGAACCUCGCAAUCCCAACCCCAAGCCUCUACUCUAGUCAAUACCCCUAUAAAUCAACCUACUGCUCCCGGUGUCCGAACCUGGUUAGGUAGGGGUAGAGGUGCCCACGUGGCUUCCGCCACUCACUUGGGAGGGCAUUUGGAAUUCACUAGAGCCGCCGAUCAGCGACGCUAUGCUCAAGCUUGUGAGCGGCGUAUCAUUCCGUGCAAAUGCGCGGACCACAUUACUAUGGUUUUUCUGGGGAUCCAAGGGGAGGUUGAGCGCAUGUACACCGCCAUUGGAUGGCGCCCCUAUCUGGAUAUUUUCCAGCCAGCCUUUGUCGAGUUGACUAGAGAGUUUUACACCACUUUUAAGUUUGAAUUACCGACUAGGUAUACUGUUGCGACUCCCGAUAUCAUUCACUUCCGUCUCAUGGGCCAGGAAUUCAAUUUCUCUAUCACCCAGUUCAAUCUGGCUUUCGGUUUCAUCACUCGGGAGUAUGCAGAGACUAGGGAAUACGGUGAGAGUGCCUGCGAUUUUGUGGAACCUUUCCUUACCGCCUACCGUGAGGUGUGGGAGGACAUGUCUGUGGACAUGCAGCGUUACGAUCCCUCUCGGUCUCGGAGCUCCUUUCUAGAGGACCCGAGUGCUCGGUAUGUUCAGCGGCUUUUAGCAUAUAGCUACUCGGGCAGAAAGAACAGCUUCGGUAUUAUCUCUCGGCCGGAGCUCUUCUUCCUUUGGUGUAUGAAGAAUGGGUUCAAGGUCAAUUUGGGUUGUUGGUUGGCGGCACAGUUCAAGACCGUCAUGGCAAAGAAGAACAAGCCGUUGAUUCUUGGGUCGUAUAUCACGUACUUGGCGGUCCAGCUAGGCGUUCUGAAUCUACAGGAUCACGAUUUGCACUUGGCCUGCGACAUGGAGUAUCUCACUGCUGACCGGCUAGAGAAGAUGGGGGUUCUGGAGCUUGUCGAUGGCCACUACCGAUUUGUGCCCCCGGGACCGCCCCGCGCCCCGCCUCGCUCUUCCUCCACCCAUUCGGCCCCAGUUGGCGGUGAUCCUGGCCCGUCGACAUCCGCUCAGCUCCCUCCACCAGCAGGGGCUGAAGAUUGGCACCAAAUCAGGACGCAGAUUCAGAAUUUGGACGCCCGGAUGAUUAGCAUCGAGAGCAACGUGGCGGCUAUAUCACAGAAUCUGGCGGCAUUCCUGCAGCACUCGGGUUUCCCGCCCCCAAUCCCACCUCACCCUCCACUAUGACCCGGUUUCAGGGAAGUUUGGUUACUUUCUCCCUCACUUUUGUUGUUUUUUGACACAUUGAGGACAAUGUGUCCUAUAGGUGUGGGGGGGUCUAUAGUCUUUCUAGUUUUUAGUAGUUGUUAGUUUUUAGUUUUUUAGUAGUUUUAGUUUUAUUUCUAGUUGCGUAUUUUCUUUCUUUUCUUAGUGCUUAUUCCCCAUGUGAAAAGAAAAAGAAAACAAAAAAAAAGAGAAAAAAAUGUUGGUUUAUUGACUCUAACUCUACUUUUGCCAAGUUUUUUUUAAAUAAAAAUGUAUCGGGUUAAUGUGGUUGGAUCCAGAAUAUCUCCCUGGUGAAUAUCGGAUUGCUUGGCUCUUUUGAUUUCUGUGUUAAUUUCUCUAGGCAUAGGGAAUGACUGUUGGCAUUUUAAUGUGAACUGGUCCAAUAUUGACUCCAGUUCUCUAUGUUUGGCAAUAAUGAGGCGAGCUGUUCCUAUUUUUGGUUCUUAGUGUUGUUAUUAUGUGUUUUUGGCUUUGUUUGGCUGUGAAUAAUCUGGACUGUACUCCGCUAUGAGUUACUACUGAGUAACCGAGGAUCGGCACCUAAAAGUGUCGAUUCUCGCGUCAAAAGGUGGUACUUUAUAUGAGUACGUGGUCGUAUAGCAGUAGGAGCUGAGUAACCGGGCUCCUUCAUCUAAAAAUGUUGGAGUUCGCGUCAAAAGGCCCCGACGGCUAACGACUAAGUCUUUUUGUGUUAAUUAUUAUUGCUUUGAAAAACAAAAAAAAAAAAGAACGAAAAAAGAGAGAAUAAAUAAUAGGAAGGCUUGCCGGUUUAUGGACUUAAUAUGGAGACUUGUGUGAAUAUUUGGACCAUUAGCUAAUAAAUGUUGUGCGCCAUUCCCUUUUCUUAGAGUAGUUAACCUGGAAAUUGAAGGAAUUUGCAGUUUAGGGGCUAACCGGGGGGGAGGCUUCUUGGAUUUUAAUCACCAAUGCUCGAUAUAUGUUUUUCUCUUGAAGAUCUUGGCAAUAUAGGAGAUUGGACAAUGGCCAUCAUCGAAUUUUGGUGUUCGUUUACUAUUCUUAUGCUUGAGGACAAGCAUGGUUUAGGUGUAGGGGGAAUUGAUAGGGUGUAAUUUUACUAUUUAUUUUAUUAUUAAUUUCUCCUAUCACCUGACCUGAUGUGGAUUAAUUGCUGGAUUCUGCUCACUUUUAGUACUUUGUAUUUAUUUCAGGGAGUAGAACGGAAAUUUGAUAACAGGUGCUAAUUUGGCAGAAAAAAGUCCAGAUGAUAGAGCUUGCCCCAAGGGCAUUUUUGGAAAGGAGAACUUGUGCCCAUCUUGGUAAUUUGGGAGAAAAGGGAAACAGACAAAAUGGGUCUAACAUGGAUUGGAAGCGGCCGCACAGUAGCAGGGAAGAGGGCAGACGUAAAAGCAAUUGCAGGGGGGAAAAGGAGUUUUUUUAGUUUUUAGCUUAGCAUCUGAUUUUCCCUGGGAGACUUUUGUUAAAGAUUUCCUUUUGGCUGAUAUUACGCAUGGCAGAUGGCUUUUAACUUAUUCCUCCAUCUUUGACUUUUCUUCUUUAGCUUGUAGUAGUGGAUUGCUACUUACGAAUGUCAGCACUUAGCCAUUCGUGGCUUUUGAUCUUUUCUUCCUUAGAAAUUCUGAGUAGCCUCUUUUCCUUUGUGCGCCAGACGAAGUGAAAACUAUAAACUUUUGUAGUGUUUCUAUUCAUUCAAUAUAUUGAGACGAGUUGGAUUCUACCAAAUUUCAAUGGACAUGGCCGCUGGUUUCUCUUCAAUUUUAUAUGGGCUUUGUUCAUCGAACAUGAACUAAUUUCACCACUCUAGUCAAGGAACAACGAAGACUCUGGUUCGCCUAAAAAUUGUGAGAUCGUUUUAAUUUAAUCUUUUCCUUUUAUUUAUUGGUAUCCGCACAUUUCUUGAUUGCUAUGCUUAUGGUUAUUUAAUUAAUUGAUUGUCUUGGAUCCAGAUAAUUAAUUGAUCUGAUAGCCUAUUGUCAAUUAGGGCAUUUAAAUCCGUAAUUGUUUAAUUGUCCUGAAAUAGUGACAACUGGCACGAUUAGAUUCGUGCCAGGGGGGAUAUGCGGGCUAAUCUAAAAUAACCCUGGUAGUGUGUUAUUUGGUUAGAAUAGGGCUCCUCUAAUAUGUAAGGCAAUUGGGGAAUUAAAUUCUACGGGCGUACCUAGAAUUAUUUCUUAAUUAGAGUAGUGAUUAACGGGCGUACCUUGAUCACCGACACAGUAAGGAGGGGUUGACUGCCAUCGCUUGUUUGGCAGUUAUAACAUAUUUAUCAGUAAAUAAUUGGGAUUGCCUUGCAUCAAUGAUCAAUUAGAUGAACUAUUGCUGAAGUUACUUCUUGGCUAGAUCUUUAGUUAAUAUUACCUUGAUUUUGGUGAAUUGCCAUUUGAUUUUUAGUUGCCUACUUUAUUUUAUUUUUAAUUGUUUCCUUGCUUUAAUUGAGUUAGGCCUUUAAUUAUUGUUAUUCUAAGUUUAGUGAAUUGUGGUUUAAUUCCUAAUUAGUUAUUUAUUUUUACUUUCUUAUUUGAAUUUAUUUGCUUGUUAUCAUUCCUACGAAAUCACCCCCCUGUGUUACUUUGGAUUUCUUAAGAAACAAAUAUACCCAGUCCCUGUGGAUACGACCCUACUUGCCCUGUCCACGAAUUCAUAAUUAUUUGUGAAAAGAAAUAACCAUUCCACUCGGGUAUAUCGGAUCAAGCAAACUCUUCGGGAACAGGGUGAAUCAAGUAACCCAUUGCACACCUAAAAUCCCUGCUCCAGUACUUGGAAUUGGGUUUUGGUCAUUUUAACUGGCAAUUAAGUUUAAUUUUAUUAUUGCACAGGCUGACGACCCUGUCAUUGUAUUUGUACCAAAAGUGAAAACUUAACUAUUUUAGUUGUAUUUAUUUCAUCAUGUUGGAUUGUAUUCAAAUAAUUUUUGUUUGAUUGUUUUUAUAAGUUUCAAUUGUAAAAUUAAAAUGAAUAAUAACUUGAUGAUGUGUUGAUAUUUUAGUACUUGAUUAUUUAUUAAAAUUUAAUUAUAAUAAAAUUUUAUUAACUCAACGAGAAAAAUUUUAUUAAUCCCGUGGGGGCACCCGCGGGGAAAGCGGGGCGGGGCGAGGGGAGUGGGAGGCGGAGGACGGGGCGGGGGCGGGGGAUGGGGGAGGGGUCCCCCGCCCCAACCCCGCCAUCCCCCGUCCCGUUGUCAUCCCUAGUAAUAGACUGGCAAGCAUUGUGGUGGUCAUUGAGCAACUUAUAGGAGAAAUAGUCCUAUAAGCUGUUCAAUGACCAAUCACAACUUGCUAAUUGGAUGACUAAUAUAGCUCUAGCUGUAAUGUUUUAAUUAAAUUACAUCACUAACGUUGGGAUGACUUUUUAACCAAAAAAAAAAAGCCUUAGUUCAAGCUUUUCCCUUUAUUGUGCAUUUUUUAAAGCAUUUGAAAGGCACUGCAAAUCUGUCAUUUUGGACAUUUUAUUAUUGACUAACAAUGAAAGCCGUGGACGUCUACCCAUAACCAACACAAGAUUAAAUUAAUAUUAGAAAAAAUAAUUGAGUAAUUGGAAAAAAAAAAAAAAGAAGAGUCUAAUUUUCAUUGAAACCCACCGACAAACUAUACGUGUCCAUGGCUUUUGAAUAGUGCAUUCAACGUUUAAUUGUAUGGUCCAGUUCAUUGCAGAUUACAUGGAGUAAAGAUUGCGCUCUUUCCUUUUCACCCCUUUUGGAAUCGAUACUGUGGAGAAUUGGGUUUUUCCCUCCUUUUUUUCUUUUCUUUCCUUCUGUGGUUUGCAAAACAUACGUAAAAAUAUGAAAUCCGAAGCAUUCUUUAAUUGGUAUUAAGUAUUGUUGUUGAAAUUAAAAAGAAAAAAGAAAGAACAACAAAAUUCCCAAUCUGGGUUGAUUGUUGAGCUCUAGAUUGGUUGCAUCGUGCUUCCAUAGAAGCAAGAUUUGUAAAAUCGGAAUCCUACAUAGGAUCGAUUUUAGUUUCACAGGAUCGGAUUGUAAAAUCGUAAGAUCCUACCAAAAGCUCUCAAUUGCAAUUAAAGGUUGCAAUUCUUUAAUAAAUUACAAAUAUACCACAAAUAUUUUCAUUUACUUGCAAAAUGGAGCUUCGUAUUUCACAAAUUUACAAAAAAAUUGUAGGAUCGUACGAUCCUACCGAUCCUACGAUCCUACACGAUCCUACCGAUCCUGCUACGAUUCUAUGCGAUCCUACAAAGAUUAAUAUGAUUUGCGACUCUGCAUACGAUCCGGAUCGAUUUUGGUUAUCCGGAUCGUAGGAUCGUAUGAUCCUACGAUCCGGAUCGCGAUUUUGACAACUAUGCAUAGAAGCUCUCUUAGUGUGAUACACUGCUUUCAAUCAGUUUAACACGGGAAAAAAAAAAAGAGAUGAAAAGCAAAUUUGGUGGAGAUAAUUUCAGAAACCUCCCCUGAAGAUUUUGACUAUUCUACUGGUUUCCCUUCAGAUUUUAAAAAUUACACUAAUCUUCCUUGAAGUUAAUUAUCUUGUAACAUUUAAAUUCAAUCAAUAAUUUAAAAAAUGAUAUUAUGAGAGAGAAAAUAAUAUGAUUUUAUCAUUGCCCCCCAUCUUACUACAUUAUUUAAUUAAUUUAAUAGCAACCCACACAUUAAAGAAAAAUAUUAAAAUUUGUUGUUUAUCAUUAAAGAUCAAAUCGCUUAUAACAUCAAAUAAUAGUAUAUUAUUUAUAUUUUUCACUUAAUAUAAUAUCCAAAUUACUCUUUUCAAUUACAUACCCAUUGUUAGAGAAUCAACAACAAAUAACCAAAAAAUUUGCAACCAAAAUAUUACAAAAAAAAUAAACUUUAACAUCAUAAAUAUUCUUAUCAACAUAUUAAAGUUAGUUACUGAAAUUUUUAUGCUGUUAAACUUCACUCUUUUUGAAUACAGAUUUUUUUGAUUAUUUGUUAUUAAUUAUGUUUGAUGAUGGGUUUAUAAUUGAAAAGAACAAUUUGAAACUUACAUUAAGUAAAAUAUAUAGAGUGAUAUACUAUUUUUUAUAACAUAUGUGAUUCAAUCCUUCUUGAUAGGAUUGGUAAUAGAGGUAGAGGGGGGAGUCGGCUGCAUCCGGUCUUCUUUUCAUAGAUAGUACAAUAUUGCGAAAUCAAUCGCAUUCACACAAUAAUAUUUCGAAGUCAAUGCAUGGCUAAGUUGCAUAAAAGUACGAACACUUGUUAUUAUAUAGCUUAAGAUUCAAAACUUUCGAGCAUAACCCUCCACCCAACACAAUUGAAUAAUGAAUAUUCACGAUUGUCAAAUCUGUCAAAGCACAGUUUGAGGACAACCCAUUCCAACCUGCAAAAGAUUUUUUACUUUUCUAAAGUUGUUGAGAGCUGUAAAAAGACUUACCAUGCUUGCAUCCUCCGAGCCUUGGGAGUUAAAAAUGAAGGCACUGAGUGCUAUAAAAAGGGGAAUAGAGGCUGCCUAGAAGCAUAUCAGCCUAAAACAAGAAUUUGUAGUUAAGAUGGGAAGCAAAGCAAAAGCAAUGGGGUCUGGGCUGACUCCUCUUCUUGCCACUGUUUUAGUGGUGUUUGUUGCUCUUGGCUUGCCCUCACAAACUGCAGCUGAUGAUCACUACAAGUAUUCAUCUCCUCCUCCUCCUUACCACUAUCCCUCACCACCACCACCAGUGCAUAUACCUCCACCUCAUCCUGUUUACAAGUACAAAUCUCCACCACCCCCACCACCACACCCAGUUUACAAGUAUAAGUCACCACCACCACCUCCUCAUCCGGUAUACAAGUAUAAGUCUCCUCCGCCACCACCACACCCAGUUUACAAGUACAAGUCACCACCACCACCUCCUCAUCCGGUACCACACCCAGUUUACAAGUAUAAGUCACCUCCACCACCUCCUCAUCCGGUACCCACAGUUUACAAGUAUAAGUCACCACCACCACCUCCUCAUCCGGUAUACAAGUAUAAGUCUCCUCCGCCACCACCACACCCAGUUUACAAGUAUAAGUCACCACCACCACCUCCUCAUCCGGUGCCACACCCAGUUUACCACUACAAGUCACCACCACCACCUCCUCAUCCGGUACCACACCCAGUUUACCACUACAAGUCACCACCACCUCCUCACCCAGUUUACAAAUACGAGUCUCCACCACCACCAGUUUAUAAGUACAAGUCACCACCACCUCCUCCACCAGUUUACAAGUAUAAAUCUCCUCCACCACCACCACCAGUUUACCACUACAAGUCUCCACCACCUCCUCCCCCAGUUUACAAAUACAAGUCUCCACCACCUCCUCACCACUACUAAGCAAUUGCUUCUGAGGUAAUAACACUUGUUCAAUAUACCCACUUCUGCAUGAUAAAGCAUAUCUCUAUCAACACAAACUGUCAUGUCUAUCAUGCUAAGUGCCUUCACUUCAUCCACCAAAAUGACUGCUAGAAAAUUUUUUUUAUGUUACCAAAGAAAGGCAUCAUUUUUUCCCUCUGUUAUCAAGAACUUGUACAGUAUAUAGAUUAAAGAGUAUUUUUUUAACUAGCUUAUCAACUGAGAAAUGCAUAUAGCUGAUAGCCAGCUGAAUAUUUGCAGGCAAAGGAGAAGGAAACCAUGUUUGAGACCUUCUUGAAGAUGUAGAAGCAUAAGAAUAAAAGCCCAAUGUGAAGAUGAUGAUUUCAAGUUUUUCUACGUUACCAUUUCUUUAUCUAAAUUGGUUGUAGCGCCCAAGUUCCUUUGUUUAUGGGAUUUGUAUCGUUUUACGUACCAUGCAGUACAUGUCAUGUUUGUAAGGUUUUCUAUCCUGCCGGCAAACCGCAGGUUCCAUGUGAUAAAUGAAUACUAUUUAUGUUACGACACUUUUCUCUGUUUCUCUUAUAUUUUGUCUUUAAUAUUCUUAAUCAUAUUUUUAACAAAAAUAUUCAAACACUUAGGCAAUCUGGUCUAAUGCUAAUUGUAUGUUUUACUUUUCUUUUUCACCUGCUCCCCUUUUCAACUCAAAAGGAUGCAAUAGUUUGUGAUCACUGUUUAAGACGGAAGCAUGAUACUAAUGAAUAUCUCAUUGAAACUCAAGGAAACUAACAUUGCGAAAAGUGUAAAUCUUGAUUUGAUGCAACUAUUUAUUCGUGGAAUCUAUAGUUACAAAACUCAAAUUCUGACUGCGCCAUUGAUAAAUUAUUAAUGACGCUAUCAUCAUUAUUUAUCCCUAACUAGUUUCGACUACAACUGAACCCAAUAUUUUCCCCAUGAUAAAAGUUUUUGACUAUUUUACUGGCCUCUCUUCAAAUUUUAAAAAUUACACUAAUCUUCAUUGAGAUUAAUUAUCUUGUAACAUUUAAGUCCAAUUAAUAAUUAAAAAAUGAUAUUAUGAGAGAGAAAAUAAUAUAAUUUUAUCAUUGCCCCCCAUCUUGCUAUAUUAUUUAAUUAAUUUAAUAGCAACCCACACAUUAAAGAAAAAUACUAAAAUUUGCUGCUUUUCAUUAAAGAUCAAAUUGCAUAUGCCAUAAAACAUAGUAUAUCAUUCUAUAUGUUUCACUUAAUGUAAGAUCCCAAUUGUUCUUUUCAAUUACAAACCCAUUGUCAAACAUGAUCAAUAACAAAUAAUCAAAAAAUUUGCAACCAAAAUAUUACAAAAAAAAACUUUAACAUCAUAAAUAUUCUUACCACCUCUAGUGCAUUCACCCUCAUAAAAUAAUUCAAGACCCUACUGUCAUAAAAUGACUGAUCAACUCCUGUAAACCUAAUUUGACAACAUUUAAAUGGAGAACUUUAGCUAAAAGAAUUAUGGUCAAGCUAAAGAAAAAACCAGUUAUUUUCCAACAUAUGCAACCAUUGAUCAGGGGAAAAAAAAAAGCAAAAAGACAUCUUCAAUCAUUUAAUAGCUUACAGGGCAAAUUAACCCUUGAGUGAAAACUGGUUGCUCUAGAAUUAAAAUUUUACCUUAGUUACCCAGGCAACUUUUUUGUUGCCUUUUCUUUUUCUUUUUUGGGUAUAUAGCUCCAGUUUUGCCCCCUCUGUCAAGCUUAUAUAAUUAUUAAGAUAAUAAAAGUGCCUUUAAUAGUAUUAAUAUAUCCAUUGACUUGAGCUGUCAUCGAUCGGUUUGGGCUACUUCGAUUCCAUGAGAACAAAUGGUAAUAAAAGUACUCAGAAAAUGGGGAGUCAUGAAACCCUUUUGUUCUAUUCAUUGCUAAGAUGCUUUUCUCUAUAAAGAGACUUCCUAACGAAAAUACUUUGUAGAUUUCUUUACUCCAAGUGGUGCAUGGAAAAUUAAUAUUUUCAAUUAUCAAAUAAAAUUCCCUUUUUUCGGCGUAGAUUUCAUCCAUCCAGCUGUUAACACAUUCUAUAAAUCCGAAUUGACUAAUCUUUUCGUUUCCAUUUUCCAACUUGCGAAUACGGCAUAUAGUGUCUGCUAAACACUAUAUAUUCUCUGCCAAAUAUGAAUACAUAUCACUUUUCUGAGCAAGUGCAGAGUCAUUAUCAUUUUUAUUCCCACCUAACAAAUUAGGGAUAAAAAAGUUAAUAAUCUUUACAUGCUAUCAGGUCACAAGUUAAUAAUCUUUUAAAGAACAUGUUAAAUUAAUUUAUUGGUAUGAAUAGUAGUCAAAGAAGUAUGUUAAAGUUAGUAAUCUUUAAAAUAAUAUGUUAAAAUCAUUCGUACAAAUUAGUCAGAGAAGUAGCAUAAACACCGCGAUGCAAUUAAUACUUUCAAUCUCAAGGUCUCUAUUAUGGAAAUUUGCAUCGGUCAAUAUACACUUGGCAUAAUAUAAUCUCCCAACUCAUUUCUUUACAAAUGCACCUUUAAUCACCACCAAAAGGUGUGGACAUGAUCUUUACCCUAGAAAACUAUUCACCGACAGGCAAAUUGACGUCAGAAAUACUGAGGAAUUCUAGUUUCCUUCGGGUUCAUGCCAUGUUGUAUCCUUCAACUGUAACUCGAUUUCUAAGCUGUAAUUUGUGACAUAAUAGUCCUUAAACUAUGAAACCCUUCUUACUUAAUUACAAUGGUUAAUACAAUGCCCGUGACUAGACAAGUAUGAAGCAACCAUAACAGAAAAAAAAUCCAAAAUUAGAGAAAAGAAAGAAGUUUCGCGACCACCACCAGUUUACAAGUCACCUCCACCACCUCCUCCAGUUUACAAGUCACCUCCACCACCUUACCAUUAUUCCUCACCACCACCUCCAGUGCAUUCACCCCCACCACCACCAGUUUACAAGUCUCCGCCACCACCUUACCAUUAUUCCUCACCACCACCUCCUGUGCAUGCACCUCCACCACCAAUUUACAAGUCACCUCCUCCAGUUUACAAGUCUCCACCACCACCUUACGAUUAUUCCUCACCACCACCUCCAGUGCAUUCACCCCCACCACCACCAAUUUAUAAGUCUCCCCCACCGCCUCCCCCAGUAUAUAAGUCACCACCACCACCUCCUCCAGUAUACAAAUCACCUCCACCACCUCCUCCAGUUGACAAAUCUCCACCACCACCAAUUUAUAAAUACAAGUCUCCUCCACUACCUCCUCCAGUGUACAAGUCAUCACCACCACCUGCUUACAAGUCUCCACCUCCUCCAGUUUACAGUUCCCCACCACCACCAAUCUACAAGUCUCCACCUCCACCCUACCAUUACUACUACAAUUCUCCUCCUCCUCCUCGUCACUACUAAGCAAUUGUAUCCAAGUUUUUGAGGUAAUAACGCUUAACCAAUAAAUUAACUUUCGCAUGAUAAACCUUAUCUCUAUCAAGACAAACUGCCAUGUGUAUCAUGCCAAAUACGUACACCUAGAUCCAUGAAAAUGAAUGGUAGAAAGUUUUCUUAAGAACCAAGAACAGCAUUAGUAUUCCCUCUGCUUCCAAAAACUUGUGUAUUAAAUAGAUUAAUGAAUUGUUUAACAUGCUCAUCUACUUGAAAAUGCACAAUACCCAUAACCCACUGAAAUUUUUGCAGGAAAAGGGAAAGAGAAUCUGUGUUUGAGAGCUUCAUGAAGAUGUUGAAGAAUAAGAAUAAAAGCCCAAUGCAAGGAUGUUUUCAAGUUUUUCUAUGUUUCCACUUUAAUUUGUAAAUUGAAUUUUGCGACUCAAUUAAUUCCCUGUUUGUGAGGUACGUAUUGUUUUACGUACCAUGCCGUACAUUUUUUUUUUCCAACAAACGGUAUCAUGUUAUAGAUAUUAACACUUGACCUUACAAGGAUUAGUUACAAAAAGGGGAUACUACCCUCAACUCUGUCCUAGCUAAAUCAGUCAGCCAUAUUGGGAAAUUAGUUUCCCAUUCAAUAUCAUGUACAAGCUUCACAGCAUAUUGUGCUAAUUGAUGGCUGAUGUGAUUUUCAGUUCUAGGUAUAAACACAAAAGAACAUUUUUCAAAAGCUAGACUAAGUUCCUGCACAUCUUCUAAGAUAGUUGCAGUCGUGUAGUCAUACUCCUUGCGUUUAGUAAUCUGCUCUACCACUGAUUUGCAGUCUGUAUGGACUAUAAUUUGUGUCCAACCUGCUUGGGUAGCCAUCAGCAGAGCAUUUCUCACAGCCCGAGCUUCCACUUCACUUGCCGAUCCCUUUCCCUGUGUGACAAUUCCUUUUGCUUUCAAAAGCUGUCCUUUCCAAUUUCUUGCUAUAAUCCCUUGUCCGGUCCUGACUCGUUUAGCUGAUAUCGCUGCAUCGGUAUACAGCCUUAUCUCUUCCUUCCUUGGCCGCACUCUCCUGGUAGGUAAGGCAUCAUUCAGCUUCCCUGCGAUCUCCUUCUGGUCUGUACUCCCUACCUGUUCAAACUCAAGCCAUUCCUCCUGUGCUUUCCUUACUAUUUUUACUGGAUCCUGGUUGGCUUGUUCAAAAAAUUUUUUGUUCCUGGCUUUCCAAAUUUGCCAAAGGAUAUUGAUAGUAAGACUAACUCUCUCCUGACCUUGGUUCAGUGCCAGCGAUUGUGUGACUUGUUCCCACCAUAACCAAAAGUUAUAUUGCAUACCCAGUAAUCCAUCCCACCUGACCGGUGCUAGCUUCCACGUUUCCACAGCCUUUUCACAGAAGAAAAACAAAUGCUCAAUAGUUUCCAUAUCUUCACCACAGCAACCACAUCUGCCUUCCCCUCUAUGUAGCCUUUUCGACAUCUGUUCAUUGACUGGCAGACAAUUUUGUAAGCACUUCCACAUGAAGUGUUUUAGUUUGGCCUUCACCUUCAAAUGCCAUAGCUGCUUCCACACAUUUCGUUUUCGUAUCUCCCAACUUGUUUCUGCCUCUUGGCCUGUCCUUGUACCUGCUUUUCCUUCCCGUUGCCUUGCUAAAGCAUAACCAGAUUUCACGCUAUAAAUUCCAGCUUUGGAAUGCCCCCAUACCAACCUAUCCUUUCUUCUUCCUAUACUUGUUGGAAUUCCCUUUAUGUGCUCUGCAUCUUUUGCACAAAACCACUUGAGAAGCAAAUCAUUUUUCCAUUUCCCUUCCUCUAUCAGCUCACUUACCCAUUCCAACUUGCAUCCCACAGGUUGUGUGGUUGAUGCAAAGCCGGUAUCUGAACCAACUAUCCAUCUGUCCCGCCACAUGUUGACUGACUUGCCAUCUCCAAUUCUUUUCCAAAGACCAUCAUACAGAAAGGAGGCUGCACUAUGAAUACUCUUCCAACACCAUGAGGCUGAAGAGACUGGCUUCUUGUCCAUCCAUUUUUCAUCACUCAUAUACUUCGCCUUCAUUACCUUACUUACUAACAAAUUUGGAGCCAUUAAGAAUCUCCAAAUUUGUUUUGCCAGUAAUGCUGUGUUGAAGGCCUCCAAAUCUCUAAAGCCUAAACCUCCUCUUCCCUUAACUUCUAAGAGCUUCUUCCAGCUUGCCCAAUGUACACAGGUACCCUUUUCUCCCUUCCCCCACCAGAAACUCGCUAUUUUACCUGUGAUUUGUCUACACAAACCCCUUGGAAGUCUAAAGCAAGCCAUCACAUAUGUUGGCAUAGCCAUAAUCACUGAUUUGACCAGAAUUUCUUUCCCUCCUUGGCUCAACAGUUUUUGUUUCCAACCUUGCAACUUGUUACUAAUUUUGUUCUGGACAAAUGCAAAGACCUGUGUCUUUGAUCUUCCAAUUGCCAUUGGGAGUCCUAGGUAGGUUCCAUUCCUUGCCUCUUUAAUGUUAUCUAAUACCUCCCUCACUCCAUUCUUCCUUUGAUCAGUGGUAUUUUUGCUAUAGAAGAUAGCUGACUUUUCAAAAUUCACCACCUGUCCGGAUGCUUGACCAUAUCUUUCCAAUAUGCUUUUGACCUUCCUCGCCUCCUGCUUGGUUGCUUGGCAGCAUAGUAGAGAAUCAUCUGCAAAAAAUAGGUGAGAAACCAUCGGACUGUCCUUGCAUAUUUUGAUCCCUGUAAUUUCCUUGUUCAUCAUAGCUUUAUGGAUCAAACAUGAAAGACCUUCAGCGCAUAUAAUAAACAAGUACGGGGAUAGGGGGUCUCCUUGUCUAAGCCCUCUACUCGGUUGAACACAGCCUACCUUUUGCCCAUUUAAGUUGAAGGAGUAAGUCACAGUAGAUAGGCAAGACAUGAUCCAUUUAACAAAAAUUGGACAAAACCCCAUUUUCAUCAUAACUCUCCCCACAUAUUUCCAUUCGACUCUAUCGUAAGCUUUGGACAUGUCCAGUUUAAGAGCCAUAAAUCCUACCCUUCCCUUUCUCCUAUUUUUCAAAAAAUGCAGGAUUUCAUGUGCAACUACUACAUUAUCAAGAAUUUGACGGCCUGGGAUAAAAGCGGAUUGAGAGGGACUAAUACAAUGAUGCAAGACACCUUUCAAUCUAUUAGCUAUGAUUUUAGAAAUGAUUUUAUACAGGACAUUGCACAAGCUAAUAGGUCUAAAAUGCACCACAGAUUCAGGAGUAUCAACUUUAGGAAUCAACGAAAUAAUAGUAUCAUUCACAGCUUUGAGCAAAUGCCCAGUAUGAAAGAAACUCUUAAUAGCUGCUACCACAUCAUCCUUGAUAAUAUCCCAAUAGUGUUGAAAAAAUAGAGGAGACAUACCAUCCGUUCCUGGUGCUUUAUUAGGGUGCAUCGAGAACAAAGCUUUCCUGAUCUCACUUUCCUCCACUUGUCGUAUCAGUUGUCCAUUCAUAUGACUCGAAAUAGUGCUUGGAAUUUCAGCUAGAAUGUCCUCAAAGCAGUCCGGGUUAGUAGUGGUAAAAAGGUCUUUAUAGUACUCACAAAGUUCCUCCUCAAUCUCAUGUUCCUCCUUGCACCAUGUCCCAUCUUUUUUCUGCAAUAUAGUGAUCUUAUUUCUCCUCCUCUUUGCCAUGACCGAAGAAUGGAAAAAAGCUGUAUUCUUGUCCCCUUCUUUGAGCCACUUGUUCCUGGAUUUUUGACUCCAAAACAUCUCUUCCUCUGCAUAAGCUUUAUUCAAUUGUGCUUUUAGUUCAGCCACUUGUACUCUUUUCCCUUCAUCCUUUCUUGCUUUCACUUCAGCCAAUUUCUCCUUUAACACUUUAAUUCUAACCUUUGAGUUUCCCUGCACCUUUUUCCUCCAAUCCAGAAUAGCCAUGCGACAUUCCUUUAUUUUUGUAGCCACUCUAAACAUCCUGGACCCUGACUUCACCUUUGUCCAUGCUCCUUGAAUCACCCUUUUUGCUUCUGGAUUUAGCGUCCAUCGUUGAUCAAAGUAAAAUCUCCGUUUUCUCCUUGUGUUUUCCGGGUUUGUAUCCACAAGAAGCAUUAGAUGAUCAGAGGCUUCAGUAUCUAAAUGAGUACACUGUGCCUUUUCAAAUCUUUGCAGCCAUUCGGUGCUGCAUAAACAUCUAUCCAACCUCUCUUUCACUUCCCCAUCCCCCUCCCAACUAUUGCACCAAAUCCACGGGACCCCUUGAUAACCUAAGUCAACCAGGUUAUUGUCUUUGAUAAACCUGUUGAACUCCCUAAAACAUCUUUCAGCUCUAUCCCUUCCUCCCCACUUCUCCUCACUAGACCUCAAAUCAUUAAAAUCUCCUACAAUGAUCCAGCCAUCCCCCCAGUCCCUCAUCCUGUCCUCUAAAUAUUUCCAUUGUGCUUUUCUAAUGUUACUAUCUGUGCUUGCAUAAACACACACUAGCCCCCAGUAUCCUUUAGUAUCCUUGUCCUCAACUCUAGCACUAAUACACCAAUCAGUACUUACAAUCUGGUCUAAAAUCACCUCAUUGUUCCAGAAUAAUGCUAGACCGCCUGCUUUACCUAUUGAAUUCACAAAAAAGCUAUUGUCAUACUGAAUCUUCCUUUGAACCUUGCCCAUAAACCCUUCCUGAUUCUUAGUUUCACAAAGGAACACCACCUUAGGAGAGUGGAAGUUAGUCACUUCCUUUAGUUGGGGACUUGUCAAGGGGCCUCCUACACCUCGACAAUUCCACACCACAACCUUCAUUUACACUUUGGAGGCUUUCCGGGGCUAGCCUCCAUUUCCCCUAUUGUACUAACAUUUAUUAGAUCCAGUUUCAUAACCUUUACCUUCGGUACAUUAUCAUCAUCCUCCUCUAUCGGUUGUGUUCCCUGAAACAUACCAUCAGCCUUCCUUUUAGCACACGAAACCUGCGUUACUUGUCCAUUUGUAUCUGCCUUUAAGGAUGUUUUAGCCGGCCUCCCUCUUCUUUUAAAACUGCUUCUUUUUUCAGCUUUGUUAUCUUCUUCCCCUGGAGUAGCCUCCUUUCUUGGCAUUCUUGCAUUUGUCUCCUCCUGCUUUAUUGACCCUACCCGCAAACUUUCACAUUCCUGUUUUGAGCUGUCCGUUUCCAUAUCCUCAUAAUCUACUGGUGGGAUUACGCUGCUCCCUCCUUUACUCCCUUCCUGUACCCUACCCUCCUUUUCACCAUUUCCCUCCAUUAAGACCACAGCCAAACUUUCCACCCGUUGGUUUGCCUUUCCAUACUGCCUGCUGUCUUUUAGAAUCUCAUCCCACCUCUCUUCAUAUUGUCUCGUCAUCAUUUUCUCCUUAUCCCCCCUUUCCUUUCCCCCCAAGACUCUACCAUUUUUUCCCCCAAGAGUUAAUGUAUCUCCAGCCAUUUGUACUCCAGUUUGAACUUCACUACUAGGAGACCCUGCCCCCACCCUCCUUGCAUCAAUUUCACUUACUCCUUCCAGCCGUCCCUUUAAGGGAGAUACCAUUAUAUUUCCAGCUCUCAUCCAGGCACCAUAUUGUUCCUCUCGCUUCUCCCCCCCACCCUUCCUACCACAGUACAAGUCCUAUCACUAUGCCCAAUGAUACCACACCUAUAACAGAAAUCAGGGCAGCGUUCAUACCUGAACUCAACCCACACUGCCUGGUUCUUACAGUUGAUCUUUGUCCCUCUAACCAGUGGUUUCGUUAUAUCUACCUCAGCCAUAAUCUUCAUGUGGCGACCCUCUUUCCCACCACUUCCUGGGAGAAUCACUCCCCUCACUGAUUUAAAGAUCCCUCCUAUUUUCAAACCCACUGCUCUGCUCAACCAGUGCACCGGUAGGUUCCAUAGUUGAAUCCAAAGAAAGGAAUGCUGGAAAAAGCUGCUGUUUGUAUCAUACCCCUCUACCCACUCCUUCACUAUCAGCAACUGGUUGUCCAUGACCCAAGGCCCUCCAGAUAAGAUCUUUUUCUUUUCCCCUUCAUCUCCCAGAUGGAAAUGGAAUAAGUUAGGACCUAACUCAGUCACUUUCAUCUUUGAGGGGUAUCCCCAUGCAUGAUUUGUAAAGUUCUUUAACCCCGUAAAGUUGGCAAUUUUUUCACCAAUCAGCUUUCCUACCAGGCUUCCUUGACACUCAGAGACGCCUUCUUCCAGGUCCUCACCACUCAGAUCGACACCUCCUAACUCUGUUUCAGACAAGUCAAAAUUUUGAAAGGCUCUUUCUAAAGCAUCCGCCAUUGCUGUGACGAGAGCUCCUUGAGAAACCAAGCACUAUUUCUGAGCUAUGAGUGACCCACUGACAGACCUGUGAAGAAUUGCAAAGACAGACAAAGCUGUGUUAUCCGUACACACUAAAAACCAACCAGAAAAACAGAGAGGAACUCGACAGAAAAAGCACAGGCACAAGAAGAAACGAAAGAAAAAAGAAAAACCAACAAACCACUAUCCCACUCCCGACCACAUAACAGCAUUAAAGAAAGGGACACAAAUACGACACUCCAACUUCCGAUCACAUGCUCUGACUCAAUGGAUCAUAUCUUGCCCAAAGCGUUUACUCCUCCAACCGAUUCCAAACCACUACAGACAUUGUCUCCCAUUUUGAAGCCGGAAGAAAGGUGGCUUCUGGACAGGGAACAUGAAAGCAAAGGUUGAACUAAAGAUUUGAUUUUAGAUCUGAAAAUUACGCUGUAGGAAAAAGUGCUAUGUGUUUGUACCUCACCCACUCUCCCACACCGAGGAGGGGAACCUCUAAAGUUAGAGAGAGAAGCUCUCAAGUUAGAGAGAAGCUUUGGAAGUUAAUUACCAACGUACCAUGCCGUACAUGUUUGUAAGGAUUUCUAUCCUAUUGGCAAAAGUCGGUUCCAUACAAUUAAUCAAUUCAUUUCACUUCUAUUGGCUCUACUAUUUAUGCAUGUUACGACACUCUUUCCCUUAUAUUUUGCCUUUAAUAUUAUGAGUCAAUAGUAAUAAUGGGCCUUUUUCUUAAAAUUAUACUAUUAUACAUAGGUAGUUUGGUCUAACGCUAAAUUCAUGUUUGUCUUUCUUUUAUUCCCUUUACAUCUCAAAGUAUACUAUAGUUUGUAAUCAUUGUGGUGAUGAUAUUACCAGCUGGUACUUAUAGUUUAAGGCAGAGACAUGAUAUUAACAACUAUCUCAUUGAAACAUAAGUCAAAAUCAUGACAAGUGUGAGUCUUGGUUAAUGCACAAUUUGUUAGUGGAAUUUAUAUUUAUAAAACUCAAAAAAAAUUUUUGACAAUGCUAUUACUAAUUAAUUAAGGACUUCAUUGCUAUAAUUUAUCGCUUACUAAUUUAAACUAUAAAUGAUCUCAAUACUUUUCUCCAUGAUGUCGAUUUCUUUAGACUACGAAAGGGAAAAAUUAGUGACAUAUCCCUUACUGAUUACAACAUCAGCAAAAAUUAGUUAUAAACUUUUCCGGUGGUUUUAAAUCCCUCGGGCACUAAGGUUUUUUGCACAUCGAGUGAAUUAAGGAACAUAGGCAAUUCGUUCUGCAUACCAAGUCCUUGUUUAAGAUGCACGUACUAAAAUGCAUCCACUUCAUUAAUUUGGAAAAUUGCCAUAGUUUUUUUUAAGCAUUUUGAUUUUUUACAUGAUUCAAAAUUUUCUUAUUGGAUACAAUCACUUUGUGUCAAGAACACAUUUUCAAUCAUCUUUUUUAUCUUCUCAAUAAGAAAAUAAAAAUUUAUUCAUGCUUUUCUAACAUAUCCAAUCAUUGAUCUGAAAAAUAAAGAAUUAAAAAAAAAAGACAUUUUCAAUCAUUGCUUACGGGGCAACUUCCCCAUGUGAACCUCAUCAAACAAAGCCAAUAAUAUGAAGGAACAUCUAAAUACACUUUUGCCCUAAAGGCUGGUUGCCUUGGGGUCAAAAUUUAACCUUCGGGAGUAUAAUUACCCGCCAAAUUUAUUAUUUUUUUUAUGGGUAUAUAGUUCCAAUUUUGCCUCCUGUUAAGCUUAUAAAUAUAUUACGACCCAGAAAAUAAAGGAAUCUUGAAUAGUAACAUGUCCAUUGACUUGAGUUGUUAUCAAUUUGGCUACUUCGAUUCCAUGAGGCCAAUCCAAUUCACACUAGCUAGAGAAAAUGGUGAUAAAGGCACUUAGAAAUUUAUAUGUAAUAUUGAUUGGUAGUAACUGAUAAGUAUAUAUUUUACGUGUUUUAAAUAUGUUUUAUUAGUUAGUUUUGGUGUGUUUUAACUACUUUUAUAACUAAUUAACUAGGAAUCUAGUGAAAAUAUGCAUUUUGUGGUUUGAAGUGUAAAAAUUGUAUUUCUAUGGAUUUUAAUGGUGAAAACUUCAUGUUUUUGUAGGUUUAAUGAUUCAAUCAUCAAAUGACAUGAUUUGAGAAGAUAAUUAGAUGAUUGAUGAUGUUUUGAAGUGAUAAAAAGAGAAUACAAAGUGCAAGAGAGGAAAUGCAAUCAAGAAUAAAAGAAGAAAAUUUUUGUAGCUUUGACAUAUUGUCGUAUUUCGGCAAUAUAUUGAGCUACAAUGAUCGGAUUAAGGUGAUUCUUAAACCAUUUGAAGCUAAAAUAUAGAUCUACAUUUGGCAUGAAGGCAUCGAAACCCAUGUCAGUCAUUUUCCUUGUCAAAAUGUUGAAAUACAGAAGUGCAACUCUGUUCUCGAAAGCUAAAACAGAGCUCUGGCUAGUCGAGGGUAUUUUCAUCAUUUCUUAGUCCACAGAGCUCCAAAUGAGAUGAUUCUUAAGGCAUUAGAACCCUAACUCAAAGAGCUACAACUUUCAUAUUUUGUACAAGAGUUAGUUCGGCCUCUAUCAUUAAGAAAAUAGUAGUUGAAGUGGUGCCAAAUGCAUAGAAGUGAAAACGCGAGCUAUCAAUACUCGACCUGAAGUCGCGUAUUCCUGAGGUCAUGCAUUCUCUUCUAUUUUCUGCAACUUGCCCUGCUUUCACAUAACUUUUUCAUCUCAAUUCCAACUAUCAAUUUCGGCUAUAUCUGAUCAAGAAAAGUGUGGAAAGUUUGAAAGACAACUCAUAGGAGUUUCAAGAGUCAAAAAUUACAAUUAGAAACAACUCAUUUGGCUCUUGAAUCCUCUAUAAAUAGAGGCCUUUGAAGAACAUUUUCACAACUUUGGAAGGUUAGAGAAACUCCACAAAAACAUAGUCUUCACUAGAAUUUCCUUAGUUCAUUAGUUAGGGUAGUAUAGUAUAGUUAGUGUAGCUUUUCCUUCUUGUAUUUAUAGUUAGGUUUGAAUGAAGAUUCAGGAGCAAAGAUAGAGAGGUUGAUCUCAUGUGACAAGGGUGAUAUCUCUUCUACUACUUUCUCUUUUGUAUUUGAUUUCAUAUUUAACUAUACUACAAAUUUGGCUUUGUUUUUUUUUUUUUAUCAUGUUUAGUUAAAGUUUAUGCCUAGAGUAUGGAUGACCUUUUUAUAUCUUGUUUGUGAUAUUUAACUGGUUAUUUGAUGAUGUUAUUUUUGAGCAAGUUAUUUAUCACUUUUGCUUUUCUAAUCAUGAUUAACUGGCCAUUAGUUGUGAUUAUCUAAAAGUGUUAAGUUUGUAAUGAGAAUUGGAGUUUAACACUAGUUCAAGGAAGUGAUAAAUUUAGGGAGUUCACUCAUGAGAGUAGAGGAACACCUUUGUGACCUAAGUGACUUGUUUCAUAUAAUUUCAUAGAAAAAAUGAACUUGUAAUUAAUUUCAUAACCACGAGAGUAAGUAUGGUUUAGCUAUAUGUAUAGUUGAUUCACUACGAGAGUAGGUUUCACAUACAUUAGAAAAUUACAUCAUAACUAGUCAAGAUAAUAUCAUUCAUUUAAUCAGUAAUCUCAUUUGCAUGAGUAGUAAGGCAUUCCAUAUCUCUAGGAGGUUUUUAGUAUUAUUUUCAUUACUUUUAUGUUUAUGGUAGUCUAGAUAAUAAUGGAGUUCGAAAACUACUAGUAAUUGAAAAUUUUCCCUGUGGGAUCGACCUUUAAUACCCUAUACUCGCUCUCGACUCGUAUACUUGAGAAAAAUCACGUGUGCGGUAUUUAGAAUUUAUAAAUGUAAAACUUGACUGUAGAUGAACUAAUUGAUAUAUGUAUACCCCGCACUCGUCAGUAACCAGCUUGUAUUGAUCCCACUAUUGUGGAUAAUUGUGCUCUUAUGAAAAAAAAUUAUAAAAAAAUUAGCAAAAUUUAUGAUAACAAAUUAAAUUUAUUCAUACAAAUCAGUGAAAGAAGUAGAAUUUUAAAGUCCAUGAUGAAAUUAAUACUUUCAAGGGCUCUAUUAGGAAGACUUCACUUGUUGGUGAAACUACACUAGCACAGUUAUAUGCACAUUUACUGUUUUGGUAUCUAAUUUCCUUGCCUUAAGUUGGGUGCAGAUGUUUAUAUUACAAAUAGAUGGUAUCAUAAAAUUGUUGUAUUCACGUUUGUUCUUUUUUUUCUUCCUUAAGUUUUUUUCUUUAUUCUCGUGACUUCAAAAAUACGAACUCAAGAAAUUGGCUGCUUAAUCAAUAUGUCAUACAGGCUUCGCUAGUGAGGUAUAACUUCACAACUAGAGUCAAUAGAAAUUAUCAAAUGAUUUUUUAACAUCCAAAUUAAGCAAUAAAUUUUGUUUUCAUUUUAUGACAUAUAAUAGUACUACUUCAUGAGAGAUUUUAUAGUUUCUUUUAGGUAUCAUACCUACAAGUGAUAUUUGUCAUUGGAUAGUGACAGAAGUGUUAAUGAUUGUAAGAUUAAAUAUUGUUAAAUAUUGAAAUUUAAACUAUUUAUCUUUAUUGAAAGAUACAAGUUAAAGAAUCGUUCAAGGGGGCAAUUUUCCAUCUUGUCUUUUUGAAAAAACGCUAUCACAUUGUAUAGGCAUGAUAGGUUCAAAUUUGUCAUUAAAUUUAUGAUUGAUUUUCCUUUUAUUCAAGCCAAAUAUUGUUUUAAUUAUCAAAUUCUACUUAUAUUUGGUUAAUUGUACUAAUUGUAGGGCGGUAGAGCAAAAGUUGCUAAAAAUAGGCGAUUUUCUGCAAAUUGGUUGUCAAGGCUGAAGGAUUUGGGAUUCGCAUGUUCAAGGCCUGUUUCCAAGUUUGAUUCAAACUCUGGACAGUUUUAGAGGAAGAUUUGGAAGAUUUGAAAUUUCAUUAUUAGUUUUAUGGUUGAAUUAGGAAUCUUGGAAUAAUUUCUUUUGUGAUUUAUUUUUCUAUUUAGGAGACUAGUUGUUAUUUAGUAGUAGACUUCAAUUAGAAAACAAAGAGAAAAAGAAGGCCGGAAUCCCGCUUGAUUAAUACCUUGGCCAGGGAACAAUCUCGGUGGGGAGGACGGCCACUUAGCCUCUCAAUUCAUCUUGCUUUUCGUUAGUUUGAGAGGAAAACCAAUUGCAACUAGAUUCAAUGGAGUCUGGCAGAAUUUCUUCUAGGAUGCGUAGCUAAAUCCUCAAUUUUUAGUCGAAGGUCAAUUUGAAAAUUCGGUUCCAAAUAUCUGUGAAAUCGAAUUAUUUUACUUAUUUCUUUUAUUUAUUGGUAUUCGCACGUUUUCUGAUUUAACUUUUUAUGAUUGUUUUGUUAUUUGAAUGUCAAGGGUCCGAUAUUCGAAUUAACUUAAUAAUCUACUGCCAAAUUAACCGGUUAAAUCCGUAAUUGUUUGAUUGAUUAAUAUCAGUGGCGACUAGCGUGAUUGGUCCCAUGUUAGGAAAACGUCUGAUCUAAUUUAAACAAACCGUCGUAGCGUGUUUGUUGAUUAGGGUUGGGCUUUUCUAAUUCUUAAUUCAAUUGAGAAAUUAAAUCCCCCGGUCGUACCUAGGAUUAUUUUUUUGUUAGCGAAAUAGUUAAUGGUCGUACCUUGACUAUCGAAAAAGUAAGGAAGAGUUGAUUGUUUAUCGCGUGUACGACAACUAUAAUCAAUCUAUUAAUGAGUAAUUGAAUUAUCUUUGCAUCAGUAAUCAGUUGAAUGGACCGUGUCUGAAAAGUUGUACCUUUGGCUAGAGUCUUAUCUGUUGUUGAUUCAUUCAUAUCUAUCUUCAUGCGUUGUUUUAAUUUAGUUAAUUAGUUAUUUUUAUAAAAACCCCUCAUCUCUGGACUCUAAAAGAAAUAAAUUAUUUCUAGUUCCUGUGGAUUCGAUCCUACUCACCAUACAAUCCAACCUGCAAUUGUAUGAACCCCAAUCUCGCUUCCUAGUCCACCAUUUUUCUCUAGGUAAUAAUCUCCCUUCUAAUUUCUUCACAAAAUGCACCUUUCAUCACCUCCAAUAGCGUCGACAUGAUCUUUACCCCAGAAGACUAUUCACCGACUCUCAAUUGACGUUAGAAAAUCUAAGAGUAAUUCUACUUUACCCUAAGAUUGAUAUCAACAAGACAAGGACAAUUUAGAAUUAUUACACGCCUCUUCUUAAUAGGAAAAAGAAAUAGAGAAGAAAGUCAGGCCAGGUCUAAUUUCUUUUCAAAGGCAAUACAACAUUACGAAAUCAAGCAUUCAUUCAUACAAAUAUUUCAUAGUCACCGGUUUGCUGAGUAGAAAAAUUUAGACAAAAACUUAAUAUUAUAUUGUUUAAGAGUUAACAAUUUAGAGCUUAAUCUCCUUGUACUUUGGAGUUAACAAUUUAGAGCUUAAUCUCCUUGUACUUUGGACUAAACUUGAACGUGAAAGGAAAUCCCAAAACCAUAUUGGGCAUGAAUUCACACUUAAUAUACCCAAUAAAAGAUGGCGACUGGUGAAAGGCAGUGGAGACUGGUGGAGAGAUUUGAGGAAUAGAAGCAGACGGAAAAGCAACAAAUUUUUGCCGAAAAACGGUCACUUUCAUGGUUAAUUUUGCUACUCUCCAAUUGUACUUGACCAAUUACAACAAUUUCAUGGAGUUUGAUACGUGAAAAGAAUUUUUUAUAAAUUUUAUUUUGAUCCAUAAUGUUAUCUUUACAUAUAUAAAACAUUUUACAAUUUUGAUUUUGGCGCAGUUAACUUUUGGUAAACAAAAAUGCUCAUGUUUAAAAAACCGGAAAUAAAACAAAACAAGAAACAAAAGAAAUAAGAGGGUAGCAUAGACAUUUUGGAUUUUUCCGUUAAUUUGGAUGAUUUCCACCCACGUUCUAAUUUAAUCCAAAACACAAAGGAAUUACGUAGAGGUUUUAAAUAAUGAGGGAGCUUCAUGAUCGAACCCCAAACCACAAGGCGAUUUACUAUAUUUUACUCUUAAAUUUUGGUUUCAUCUCAUAGCAUACAAGAGUUCUAUUUCACUAUCUGUAGACAAAGACUUUCUAUGGUUGAUGUACCAUAGGAAAAAAUCUGCCUAUACAACGUGAUAGCAUUUUUUCAAAAACACAAGAUGGAAAAUUGCCCCCUUAAACGGGGAAAUUCAUGAUCUUUCCUCGAACAAAGAAUACUCACGCCUAUUCAAGAUGGAAAAUUGCCCCCUUAAACGUCUAUUUGUCAAUUCUUGAAAAAAGAAUACUCACGCCUAAAACACGGCCUCUUCAUCUGCAGAAUUCUAAAAAGUUAGGUAAACUCUAUAAACAAGUUGAUAGGUACAAUCGUACCCAAGAUCAAGUACAGAUAGUUGUACAUUCACUGCUGCAAUAACUAAUCUGAUGACUUACAAACAUAUCAUGGUCAAUCGUUGAAUGGUAAUGAGUCUUUUGUUAUGCAUUAGUAUUAGUGUGUACACUCUAAUAGAUUGAUACUUAUACUCUUUAAAUUAUCAUAAUAAUACCCUUAAUUAACUUUAACUCUUAAAAAGAAUACGUGUUAAUACACGAGAGUGUGUAACCUGAAUUGUUACUUAUACAUUAGUGUGUAAUAGAUAGGGAUGGCAAUGGGGGCGGGUGCCCGCAGGCAACCGCCCCGCGGGGGGCUCUCGGGGCGGGGAGGGGGGAAUUUUUUCCCCCCGUUUAGAAACGGGGCAGGGGACGGGGGAGUAUACCCCCGCCCCAUCCCCCGCAAAAAAAAUUAUAUAUAUAUAAUUAUAUAUAAUAUGUAAUUUAAUUAGUUAUAAACUUAUGAUAAUGAUAUUAUUAGUUAGAUGUAUUAUAUAAUGUAUAUUAGUGUAUGUAAUAUAAUUAAUAUUAUCAAUUAUACGAAUAAUUAGACAUGUCUACUAAUAGAAUUUAUUAAUUAGUUAUACUAAAUUUACUAAUACAUUUAUACUAAAUUUCUAAUUACAUUUAAUAGAAUAACACUUUUUUCUAAAAAAAAAAGCACAAACACAAUAAUGAAUUAGUGAUUGUAUUUUUACCAAAAAUGAAAACUUAACUAUUUUAGUUGCAUUUAUUUCAUCAUGUUGGAUUGUAUUCAAAUAAUUUUUGUUUGAUUGUUUUUAUGAGUUUCAAUUGUAAAAUUAAAAUGAAUAAUAACUUGAUGAAUAAUAAUGUCAAUCGUUGAAUGGUGUGUACACUCUAAUAUUAUGCAUUAGUAUUAGUGUGUACACUCUAAUAGAUUGAUACUUAUACUCUUUAAAUUAUCAUAAUAAUACCCUUAAUUAACUUUAACUCUUAAAAAGAAUACGUGUUAAUAACUCUUAACCUGAAUUGUUACUUAUACAUUAGUGUGAAAUAGAACGGCAAGCAUUGAGCAACUUAUAGGAGAAAUAGUCCUAUAAGCUGUUGGAUGACUAAUAUAGCUCUAGCUGUAAUGUUUUAAUUAAAUUACAUCACUAACGUUGGGAUGACUAAUGGUUUAAAAAUAAUUGAGUAAUUGGAAAAAAAAAAAGAGACUAAUUUUCAUUGAAACCCACCGACAAACUAAACGUGUCCAUGGCUUUUGAAUAGUGCAUUCAACGUUUAAUUGUAUAGUCCAGUUCAUUGCAGAUUACAUGGAGUAAAGAUUGUGCUCUUUCCUUUUUCACCCCUUUUGGAAUCGAUACUGUGGAGAAUUGGGUUUUUCCCUUCUUUUUUUCUUUUCUUUCUUUCUGUGCUUUGCAAAACAUAGGUAAAAUUAUGAAAUCCGAAGCAUUCUUUAAUUGGGAUUAAGUAUUGUUCUUGAAAUUAAAAAGAAGAAAGAAAGAACAACAAAAUUCCCUGAUUGGUUGCAUCGUGCUUCCAUAGAAGCUCUCUUAGUGUGAUACACUGCUUUCAAUCAGUUUAACAUGGAAAAAAGAAAGAGAUGAAAAGCAAAUUUGGUGGGGAUAAUUUCAGAAACCUCCCCUGAAGAUUUUGACUAUUCUACUGGUCUCCCUUCAGAUUUUAAAAAUUACACUAAUCUUCCUUGAAGUUAUAACAUUUAAAUUCAAUCAAUAAUUUAAAAAAUGAUAUUAUGAAAGAGAAAAUAAUAUGAUUUUAUCAUUGCCCCCCAUCUUACUACAUUAUUUAAUUAAUUUAAUAGCAACCCACACAUUAAAGAAAAAUAUAAAAUUUGUUAUUUAUCAUUAAAGAUCAAAUCGCUUAUAACAUCAAAUAAUAGUAUAUUAUUUAUAUUUUUCACUUAACAUAAUAUCCAAAUUACUCUUUUCAAUUACAUACUCAUUGUUAGACAAUCAACAACAAAUAACCAAAAAAUUUGCAACCAAAAUAUUACAAAAAAAAAUAAACUUUAACAUCAUAAAUAUUCUUAUCAACAUAUUAAAGUUAGUUACUGAAAUUUUUAUGGUGUUAAACUUCACUCUUUGUAAUAUUUUGGUUACAGAUUUUUUUUGAUUAUUUUUUAUUAAUUAUGUUUGAUGAUGGGUUUGUAAUUGAAAAGAAUAAUUUAAAACUUACAUUAAGUGAAAUAUAUAGAGUGAUAUACUAUUUUUUAUAACAUAUGUGAUUCAAUCCUUCUUGAUAGGAUUGGUAAUAGAGGUAGAGGGGGGAGUCGGCUGCAUCCGGUCUUCUUUUCAUAGAUAGUACAAUAUUGCGAAAUCAAUCGCAUUCACACAAUAAUAUUUCGAAGUCAAUGCAUGGCUAAGUUGCAUAAAAGUACGAACACUUGUUAUUAUAUAGCUUAAGAUUCAAAACUUUAGAGCAUAACCCUCCACCUAACACAAUUGAAUAAUGAAUAUUCACGUUUGUCAAAUCUGUCAAAGCACAGUUUGAGGACAACCCAUUCCAACCUGCAAAAGAUUUUUUACUUUUCUAAAGUUGUUGAGAGCUGUAAAAAGACCUACCAUGCUUACAUCCUCCGAGCCUUGGGAGUUAAAAAUGAAGGCACUGAGUGCUAUAAAAAGGGGGCUAGAGGCUGCCUAGAAGCAUAUCAGCCUAAAACAAGAAUUUGUUGUUAUGAUGGGAAGCAAAGCAAAAGCAAUGGGGUCUGGGCUGACUCCUCUUCUUGCCACUGUUUUAGUGGUAUUUGUUGCUCUUGGCUUGCCCUCAGAAACAGCAGCUGAUGAUCACUACAAGUAUUCAUCUCCUCCUCCUCCUUACCACUAUCCCUCACCACCGCCUCCAGUGCAUUUACCUCCACCAGUGUACAAAUACAAGUCCCCACCACCACCUCAUCAUGUUUACAAGUACAAAUCUCCACCACCCCCACCACCACACCCAGUUUACAAGUAUAAGUCACCACCACCACCUCCUCAUCCGGUACCACACCCAGUUUACAAGUAUAAGUCACCACCACCACCUCCUCAUCCGGUAUACAAGUAUAAGUCUCCUCCGCCACCACCACACCCAGUUUACAAGUAUAAGUCACCACCACCACCUCCUCAUCCGGUACCACACCCAGUUUACAAGUAUAAGUCUCCUCCGCCACCAGUUUACAAAUAUAAGUCUCCUCCACCACCACCUCCAGUGUACAAGUACAAGUCUCCACCACCACCAGUUUACAAGUACAAAUCACCACCACCUCCUCCCCCAGUUUACAAAUACAAGUCUCCACCACCACCAGUUUACCACUACAAGUCACCACCACCUCCUCACCCAGUUUACAAGUACAAAUCUCCUCCACCACCAAUUUACCACUACAAGUCACCACCACCUCCUCCCCCAGUUUACAAAUACAAGUCUCCACCUCCUCCUCACCACUACUAAGCAAUUGCUUCUGAGGUAAUAACACUUGUUCAAUAACACUUGAUAGCCAGCUGAAUAUUUGCAGGCAAAGGAGAAGGAAACCAGUGUUUGAGACCUUCUUGAAGAUGUAGAAGCAUAAGAAUUAAAGCCCAAUGUGAAGAUGAUGAUUUCAAGUUUUUCUACGUUACCAUUUCAAUAUCUAAAUUGGUUGUAGCGCCUUAGUUCCUUUGUUUAUGGGAUUUGUAUCGUUUUACGUACCAUGCAGUACAUGUCAUGUUUGUAAGGUUUUCUAUCCUGCCGGCAAACCGCAGGUUCCAUGUAAUAAAUCAAUACUAUUUAUAUUACGACACUUUUCUCUGUUUCUCUUAUAUUUUGUCUUUAAUAUUCUUAAUCAUAUUUUUAACAAAAAUAUUCAAACACUUCAGCAAUGGUUCACCUAGUUGAUCAUCGAAGCAGAGGCAAUUCCAAUUAUUUAUCAAUAAAUAGGAUAUAACUACCAAACAAGCGAUGGCAGUUAACCCCUCCUUACUGUGUCGGUGAUCAAGGUACGCCCGUUAAUCACUGCUCUAAUUGAGAAAUAAUCCUAAGUACGCCCGUAGAAUUUAAUUCCCCAAUUGCCUUACAUAUUAGAGGAGCCCUAUUCUAACCAAAUAACGCACUAUCAGGGUUAUUUUAGAUUAGCCCGCGUAUUCCCCUGACAUAAAUCUAAUCAUGCCAGUUGUCAUUAUUUUGAGGUAAUUAAACAAUUACGGAUUUAACACCUCAAUUGACAAUAGAUUAUUAAAUUAAUUAAUUAUUCGGAUCCAAGACAAUCAAUUAAUUAAACAACCAUAAGCACUACAAUCAGAGAAUAUGCAAAUACCAAUAAAUAAAUAAAAAAUAAAAUUAAAUCGAUCUCACAAUUUUUAGGCGAAUCAGAGCAUCCGUUGUCCCUUGACUAGAGCAAGGAAAUUAGUUCAUAUUUGAUGAACUAAACCCAUACAAAAGGGAAGCGAGAAAUGCAGCCAUUAUCCUUUGAAAUCUGGAAAAUUCAACUUGUCCGAAUAUCGAAUAGAUAGUAAUACUACAAAAGGUAAUUCAUAGCUUCCCUUUCGUCUGACACACAAGAAGAAAAAAAAGGGCUGCUAAUAACUAAAGGAGGAAAAGUCAAAGUCCUAAGCUAUGCUACAAGACGAAAAACUAAAGAAGACAAAAAGGCAGUGCUCAUUCCCUGCAAUCUCAAUUCCUAUUCUAUCUAAGUGCUCUCCAAUGUGCGGCGGCUCCCCUUCCGGAGAGGACGAAGUGGCACCCUUUUUUCCUGCGCAAUUUUCCUAUAUAAAGUAGUGCUCCUUGCAGCGGCUCCUGUGCGAAAAAAUGAAGACUUCGGCCCAAUUUGCCUAACAAGGGCUCACGUUUUGUUGUUCUAAAAAUGUCCCUAGGACAAACUCUAUCAUCUGAACUCUUUUCUUGCCAAAUUAGUACCUGUUAUUAUAUUUUCGUUCUACUCCCUGAAAUAAAUGCAAAAUAUCAAAAGUGAGUAGAAUCUAGCAAUUAAUCCACAUUAGGUCAGGUAAUAGGGAAAAUUAAUAAUAAAAUAAAUGAUAAAAUUGCAAUCUAUCACGGGACCACUGUGGUAAGGUGUGUUUCGCCUAUUAUAAGGAGUUCGGAGAGUUAGACGUGUUGGAGGCGGAGGCGCGGUCACUCCUGCACGCCCUCCAGCUGUGUGCAGAUCGCGAGGUACGGGCGUUGACUGUAGAAUCUGAUUCAAAGGUGCUUGUUCAACUAGUUUGCUCGGAUAUGAGGUCGAAGUGGCCGGUGUGUAUCGUAUUGCGGGAAAUAAGACAUUUGAUCCGGCGGAUGGGUGCAUCCCUUCAUCAUAUAUUCCGUGAGGCCAAUUCGGUGGCGGACGCAUUGGCUUCUCUGCAAUUGGGAGGGCAGCAGUACUACACCUCAGGCGUGGCGCUGCCUUUCAGGCCCAGAGGAGAGGCUCUGCUGGAUCGUCAAGGAGUACCUCGCAUCCGUGAGGCGCUCACUAAGGUUUGAUAGGCUAUGUCCUCCUUUCAAAAAACUUAUUUCAUCUACUCCUUGUAAUCAUUUUUCUUAUCAAUAAAUUGAGGCUUUUUAUUUAAAAAAAAACAUAUAAUUUAAGGCAAAAAUAUGAUCCUAGCGAGUAUCGCACUGAGACAUUAGGAAACAUCAUUAAAAGAGUAUUUCUUGAGUUAGUGCAACUAUUUCUUAGGGGAAUUUAUAGUUACAAAAUUCAAAAAUUUGAGAUUCUAUUACUGAUUAAUUAAGGGCGUUAUCACUAUUUUUCUUAUUAUCACCAUUAUUUACCCCACAUACUAUAAGUUUUUUUAGGGCACAGGAAAAGAGGUGGGCCGAUGUUUAGUUAUGUACAAAAGUUCAAAAUUUGUAGAUAACUUAUCAUGUGCCCUUAGAGCGUAGAAUACAGAAAAAAUAUCUUAAACUAUAACUAAUCCUAAUAUUUUUCUCUAUGAUAAACUAGCUCUUAUCCAUUUCUUUAGAUGAUGAAAGGAAAUAGUUAGUCACCUGUCCUCUAGUGAUUACAACAGCAUCAAAACAAAUUAGCACUCUUUUCCCGUAGUUUAAAAAUCCCUCAGCCACUAAGAUUUUGCAUGUCGAACGAAUUAAGGAACAUAGAAGGUUCGUGCUGCACCACAGUGUCCUUGUUGACGAUGCAAAGACAGAAAUGCAUCCGCGUAUACUUCCUUAAGCAUUUUGAUUACUUUAUGAUUCGAACUUUUCUUGUCUGACAGCUGGACUUAAUUGAAAAACACAAGUAACAAUAUUUCAAAGUUGAUUCGUCAAAGUUUACCCAAUUGGUGAAACUUUCUUCAUAGAGCUGACUUUGUAUUAGGUGACAAUGAUAUGGAAUUGAUGUCCUUCCCUUUUUCCUUUUUUUGUGUUGAAGACGCACAACGUUUUCAAUGGCAAAUUUAUAUGGGCUUUUCACGACAAAAUGUGUUCUGAAAAGUUCAUUCCAGAGGUUAAAAUUUUGUGUGUUAAAAAUUUGCUUCUCAGGACUUUGAUGGGAAAGUCUUGGUGUUUCCAAAAAGUUUAAGCAGGAUGCUUCUGGCUUUCUCUCCAUGUAUUUGUGAGUUAGAUCUAAAAUUAUCAGGGCUCCAGAGAUCUCUUGAAAUCGCAGCAUAUAUUGAAGUCUUUCCAGAAGGAGUCUUUUUUUUUUUUUUUAUGAAUUAUGAUAGAUAAUUAAUCUGACGGUGCAUAUAUAUAUAUAUGUGAUUUGCAGUAGGGUGUUUGACGAAAUGGUUAGGCUUCCUAAGUAAUGAUAGGAAUGCCAUUUGCAAAGAAGGACAGGGGGCUGGUGCUGUCAUAUUUUAUGCGAUUUGAUCCGUUGUUGUAUAAGUUUAAACUUUUGACGUGCAAUUGUGCUAUAAUAUUAUACUAAAUAUAUGUGUGAAAUAUUUUGUCUAUAUACAUCACUUUUAUCAUGAAUACAACAGCUGAGUAUAAUAAUAUAGUAUAAUGUAAUUGUACACCAAAUAAUGUAGCAAAUAUAACAAUUGAUCCGAAUUACACGGAACCAUAACAACAAGAUCACCGCCUCCCAAAUUUUACAAAAUUAGGUUUUUUUUUUUUCUCUUAGAUUAUUGAAAAUUUUCAAAAAUAAUCUACAUAAUUUAAGCUUUUGUCCUACAAAAAUUUGAAGAGAUUUUACAUUACAAGCUUAAGCUUAGAUAUAUUAAACUUUGCCCCCAAGAUUAAUUUUCCGUUUUUAUCUAUGAACCGAUCCAUAUAGCUAGUUAGACUGUAGUCCUCACAUUUGUGGGAUUUAACACCCAAGAUUCUCCUUCUUGGAAUGUAAAAUGUAGAUCUUCUAUGUUAAUAAUUCAAGACCCUACUGUCAUAAACGAAAUGACUGAUCAACUCCUGUAAACCUAAUUUGACAACAUUUAAAUGGAGAACUUUAGCUAAAAGAAUUAUGGUCAAGCUAAAGAAAAAGCCAGUUAUUUUCCAACAUAUGCAAUCAUUGAUCAGGAAAAAAAAAAAAAAGCAAAAAGACAUCUUCAAUCAUUUAAUAGCUCACAGUGCAAAUUAACCCCUAAGCGAAAACUGGUUGCUCUAGAAUCAAAAUUUUACCUUAGUUACCCAGGCAACUUUUUUGUUGCUUUUUUUUUUUUCUUUUCCUUUUUGGGUAUAUAUAUAGCUCCAGUUUUGCCCCCUCUGUCAAGCUUAUAUAAUUAUUAAGAUAAUAAAAGUGCCUUGAAUAGUAUUAAUAUAUCCAUUGACUUGAGCUGUCAUCGAUCGGUUUGGGCUACUUCGAUUCCAUGAGAACAAAUGGUAAUAAAAGUACUCAGAAAAUAGGGAGCCAUGAAACCCUUUUGUUCUAUUCAUUGCUAAGAUGCUUUUCUCUAUAAAGAGACUUCCUAACGAAAGUACUUUGUAGAUUUCUUUACUCCAAGUGGUGCAUGGAAAAUUAAAAUAUUCAAUUAUCAAAUAAAAUUCCCUUUUUUCGGUGUAGAUUUCAUCCAUCCAGCUGUUAACACAUUUUAUGUAUCCGAAUUAUAUAUUCUCUACCAAAUAUUGUAACUUUUCUGAGCAUCUUUACAUUUUUAUUCCCACCUAACAAAUUAGUUGUUGAGCAUCUUUACAUGCUAUCGGAUCACAAGUUAAUAAUCUUUUAAAGAACAUGUUAAAUUAAUUUAUUGGUAUGAAUAGUCAAAGAAGUAUAUUAAAGUUAGUAAUCUUUAAACACCACGAUGCAAUUAAUACUUUCAAGCUCAAGGUCUUUUUUUUUUUUUUUUUUGGUACUGUACUUCCUUGCUUUAUAGUAUGCACGUUUAUUUCUGUGGAUUGCUUAAGCUUAUAUUGUUAAUAAUUGGGCAUUUAACCAUAAAUUAUAAUGAUUAUGAAGUCAUAUAUAUAUAUAUAUAUAUAAGAAAAUUACCACAAUUAUUCAAUUUUUUUUGCAAAUUCAAAUUUUAUUAAUAAGAAAUAGGCAGUAAGCUUUUACAAACGGAAAAAAAAAAUCCUACAACAACUCUAGGACCUUUGAAAGAAAGAAAAAAAAAAGAAAAGAAAAGCUUAAGGACUCUACCUCAUAGAAGCUAAACAAUCCUACAAAUAAACUGCAAAAUAAAUCACAAUAACGCAAAAUUUUUGUCUUUCUUCCGUAUGAAAUGAAACUACGAAGUCAAGAAUUGACUCCUUUAACCGCUAUUGCCAGCGGGCUCCGUCAGCAAGAUACAACUUUGCAAUUUGAUUCAAUAGAAAUCCUCAAAUAGCUAUUUUGACAGGCAAAUUAAGCAUUAAUUUUGGUAUCCCUUCAUAAAAUACAAGAGUACUUUUGAUUAUAUCUAUAGAUCAACUUUCUAGGCUAUUUUGAUGUAUUAUAAGAAAAUCUGCCUCAACAAUUUUGAUAGCAUUUUUCCAAAAGCAGAAGAUGGAAAAUUGCCCAUUUGUACUGGGGAGUUCGUGAUCUUUUCCUCCUUCUAGUCUACUUACAAUUCUUGGAAAAAGGAAUACUCACAUCUCAAACAACUGCCUGUUCAUCUGCAAUGUCCUGCCGAAUUCUAGAAAGUUAGGUGGCAAUGCUAAUUACAUUUCAAAAUUGACUGCUGCGAUGACUAAUUCGAUGGCUUACUACAUGGUCAACGUUUGGAUCCCUUCCUGUCCUUUUUGGAUGCACAUUUUUUUUCUCUAGGCAAUAUAUAAUCUCCCAACUCAUUUCUUUACAAAUGCACCUUUAAUCACCACCAAAAGGUGUGGACAUGAUCUUUACCCUAGAAAACUAAUCACCGACAGGCAAAUUGACGUCAGAAAUACUAAGAGGAAUUCUAGUUUCCUUCGGGUUAAUGCCAUUUUGUACCCUUCAACUGUAACUCGAUUUCUAAACUAUAAUUUGUGACAUUAUAGUCCUUAAACUAUGAAACCCCUCUUACUUAAGUACAAUGGUUAAUACAAUACCCGUGACUAGACAAGCAACCAUAACAAAAAAAAAUCCAAAAUUAGAGAAAAGAAAGAAGUUUCGCGACCAAAGUAUGUAUCAAGGCAUAGUAUAGAAAUAAAAGUGUCCAAAUUAAGAGUUUAGGGAUAAAAGAGAUCAAGAUAUAGUUUAGGGAUUGAUUUGUCUCAAUUAGAGUUUUGAUGUCAACUAAGAAGAGAGAUAUAGUUGAAGGGUAGAAUAUAGAUAUAACAGUUCAAUGAUUGAUAUCAACGAGACAAUGACAACUUUGGAUUAUUACCAACCUCUUCUUGAUGGGAAAAGGAAAUAGAGAAGAAAGUCGGGCCUGGUCUAAGCCUGCUUCGGAGGCAAAACAACAUUAUGAAAUCACCGGCAUUCACACAAAUAUGUCAAAGUCACCGGCAUGCUAAGUUGCAUAAUUUAUACAAACACUGAAUAAUAUAUUGUUCUUAAAAUUUUUGUUUAAGAUUUAACAAUUAGAGCACGGUACACGAAUUAGCAAUAUUAAAUAAUGAAUGUUCACGAUUGAUAAAGUUAUCAAAGUACAGUUUGAGGACAACCCAUUCCAACGUGUACAAGAUGUUUAGCCUUUGAAAAGUUAAUUAGAGAAGGUGACGAGAUUUUACUAGGCUUAAAUCUUCUAGGCCUCGGAAGUAAAAAAUGAAGGCCUUUGAGUGCUAUAAAAAGGGGGCUAGAUGUUGCCUAGAAGCAUAUCAGCCUCAGACCACAUUUUGUAGCAAUGGGGAGCAAAGCAAAAGCAAUGGGGUCUAGGCUGACUCCUCUUCUUACCACCGUUUUAGUGGUAUUUGUUGCUCUUGGCUUGCCUUCAGAAACUGUGGCUGAUUACUACAAGUAUUCAUCUCCUCCUCCUCCUUACCAUUAUUCCUCACCACCACCUCCUGUGCAUUCACCUCCACCACCGCCAAUUUAUAAGUCACCCCCACCACCUUACCACUACUCCUCACCGCCACCUCCAGUGUAUUCAUCUCCACCACCACCUUCGCCAGUUUACAAGUCUCCGCCACCACCUUACCAUUAUUCGUCACCACCGCCUCCGGUGCAUUCACCUCCACCACCACCUGUUUACAAGUCACCUCCACCACCUUCGCCAGUUUACAAGUCUCCGCCACCACCUUACUAUUAUUCGUCACCACCGCCUCCGGUGCAUUCACCUCCACCACCACCGAUUUACGAGUCACCUCCACCACCUCCUCCAGUUUACAAGUCUCCGCCACCACCUUACCAUUAUUCCUCACCACCACCUCCAACGCAUUCACUCCCACCACCAGUUUACAAAUCACCGCCACCACCUCCUCCUAUGUAUAAGUCCCCUCCACCACCUUAUCAUUAUUCCUCACCACCACCUCCAGUGCAUUCACCCCCACUGCCACCAAUUUACAAGUCUCCGCCACCUCCAAUCUACAAGUAUAAGUCACCACCACCUCCUCCCCCAAUUUACAAGUCACCACCACCACCUCCUCCAGUAUAUAAGUCCCUACCCCCACCAGUGUAUAAGUACAAGUCUCCACCACCACCUCCUCCAGUAUACAAAUCACCUCCACCACCUCCUCCAGUUUACAAAUCUCUACCACCACCAAUUUAUAAAUACAAGUCUCCUCCACCACCUCCUCCGGUUUACAAUUCCCCACCACCACCAAUCUACAAGUCUCCACCUCCACCCUCCCAUUACUACUACAAUUCUCCUCCUCCUCCUCCUCAUCACUACUAAGCAAUUGUAUCCAAGUUUUUGAGGUAAUAAUGCUAAACCAAUAUAUUAACUUUCGCAUGAUAAACUUUAUCUCUAUCAAGACAAACUGCCAUGUGCAUCAAGCCAAAUACGUACACUUCGAUCCAUGAAAAUGACAAGUAGAAGGUUUUCUUAAGAACCAAGGAACAGCAUUAGUAUUCCCUCUGUUUCCAAAACUUGUGUAUUAAAUAGAUUAAUGAAUUGUUUAACAUGCUUAUCUACUUGAAAAUGCACAAUACCCAUAACCCACUGAAAUUUUUGCAGGUAAAGGGGAAGAGAAUCUGUGUUUGAGAGCUUCAUGAAGAUGUUGAAGAAUAAGAAUAAAAGCCCAAUGCGAGGAUGUUUUCAAGUUUUUCUAUGUUUCCACUUUAAUUUGUAAAUUGAAUUUUUCGACUUAAUUAAUUCCCUGUUUGUGGGGUACGUAUUGUUUUACGUACCAUGCCGUACAUGUUUGUAAGGAUUUCUAUCCUAUUGGCAAAAGUCGGUUCCAUACAAUUAAUCAAUUCAUUUCACUUCUAUUGGCUCUACUAUUUAUGCACGUUACGACAUUUUUUCUCUCUUUCCCUUAUAUUUUGUCUUUAAUAUUAUUGAGUCAAUAGUAAUACUGGGCCAUUUUUUUUAAAACUUAUACUAGUAUACAUAGGUAGUUUGGUCUAACGCCAAAUUCAUGUUUGUCUUUCUUUUAUUCCCUUUACAUUUCAAAGUAUACUAUAGUUUGUGAUCAUUGUGGUGAUGAUAUUACCAGCUGGUACUUAUAGUUUAAGGCAGAGACAUGAUAUUAACAACUAUCUCAUUGAAACAUAAGGAAAAAUCAUGACAAGUGUGAGUCUUGGUUAAUGCACAAUUUGUUAGUGGAAUUUAUAUUUAUAAAACUCAAAAAAAAAAUUUUGACAAUGCUAUUACUAAUUAAUUAAGGACUUUAUUGCUAUAAUUUAUCGCUUGCUAGUUUAAACUAUAAAUGAUCUCAAUACUUUUCUCCAUGAUGUCGAUUUCUUUAGAUACGAAAGGGAAAAAUUAGUGACAUAUCCCUUACUGAUUACAACAUCAGCAAAAAUUAGUUAUAAACUUUUCCGGUGGUUUUAAAUCCCCGGGCCCUAAGAUUUUUUGCUCAUCGAGUGAAUUAAGGAACAUAGGCAAUUCAUUUUGCAUACCAAGUCCUUGUUUAAGAUGCAAGUACUAAAAUGCAUCCACUUCAUUAAUUUGGGAAAUUGCCAUAGUUUUUUUAAGCAUUUUGAUUUUUUACAUGAUUUAAAAUUUUCUUAUUGGAUACAAUCACUUUGUAUCAAGAACACAUUUUCAAUCACCUUUUUUUAUCUUCUCAAUGAGAAAAUAAAAAUUUAUUCAUGCUUUUCUAACAUAUUCAAUCAUUGAUCUGAAAAUUAAAACAUUAAGAAAAGGACAUUUUCAAACAUUAAGAAGUAGUAUUUUAAAGACCAUGAUGAAAUUAAUACUUUCAAGGUCUCUAUUAGGAAGACUUCCUUUAUUAAUACUCUACUAGGCAGAGUUAUAUGCACGUUUACUGUUUUGGCCUUAAGUUGGGUGCAGAUGCUUAUAUUACAAAUAGAUGGUAUCAAAAAAUUGUUGUAUUCACGUCUGUUCUUUUUUUCUUCCUUAAGUUUUUUUCUUUAUUCUCGUGACUUCGCUAGUGAGGUAUAACUUCACAACUAGAGUCAAUAGAAAUCGUCAAAUGAUUUUUUGACAUCCAAAUUAAGCAAUAAAUUUUGUUUUCAUUUCAUAACAUAUAAUAGUACUACUUCAUGGGAGAUUUUAUAGUUUCUUUAGGGUAUCAUACCUACAAUUGAUAUUUAUCAUUGGAUAGUGAAAGAAGUGUUAAUGUCUCUAAGAUUAAAUAUUGUUAAAUAUUGAAAAUUUGAACUAUUUAUCUCUAUUGAGAGAUACAACUUAAAGAAUCCUACCCAAAAGAGACUAGAAUUUUCUCUGUUUUUCAUCAUCUGUAGACAUAAACUUUCCACGGUUGAUAGCAUUUUUCAUCAUCUAUAAGGAAAUUUUGCCUAUACAAUGUGAUAGCAUUUUUCAAAAAGACAAGAUGGAAAAUUGCCCCCCUUGAACGGAAAAUUGCCCCCUUGUCAAUUCUUUAAAAAAGAAUACCGUCCCGCAGAAUUCUAGAAAGUUAGGCAAAACUAGACAAGUUGACAGGUAUAAUCAGACCCAAGAUCAGGAACAAGCAGUUGCACAUUUCAAAAUUCGCUGCUGCAACAACUAAUUUGAUGACUUACAACACUAAAUGGUCAAACUUUGAAUGGCAAUGAAUCUUUUGUUGUACAUCAUGAUGUAAUUUUCAUGUUACAUAAUAGAUUGAUAUCUAUGUUCUUUAAAUUAUCAUAAUAAUUAAAUUUAACUGAAAAAAAGAACACAUAUCAAUACACAAAAGUGUGCAACGUGAAUGUUAUUUUAGUGUAUUGCAGAAGACCUAUAGUCUCUUCAUAUCUCUUCCUGCACGUAUCAAUUCGUUUCCUCUAGAUAAUAAUCUCCCAACUCAUUUAUUUACAAAUGCACCUUUUAUGUUUUAUUACCUCCAAAAGCCUAAAAAUCAAUUCACCGACUCGCAUUUGGUAUCAGAAAUUCUUAUUACGAAUUCUACUUUACUCAAAGAUUGACUGUUAAUAAUGAGACAACGACCAUUUUGUAUUAUUACACCGUCCUUCUUGAUAGGCAAAAGAAAUAGAGAGGAAAGCGGGUCCGUAUAUGGUCUUUUAUUCAUAGAUAAUACAACAUUACGCCAUCGAGCAUUCACACAAUAUUUCAAAGUCAUUGCAUGCCUAAGGCCUGCUUGAUAAUCUAAUUCCGUACUUAAAUUUAAUAAAUUCAAAUCUUAACACAUUCAAAUCGUUUGAUAACAAAAAAUUGAACAUCUAAAUUAAUUAAGUAACACUGAAUUUUCUAGGCAAAACUUGCUCCCAAAAUUAAGUGAUAAGUUAUUCACUUAUCACUGAAUAUGAUAUGUAUUCAAAUGUAUUAGAUUUAAUACUUAAUAAUUUAAUGAAUUCAAAUUUCAUAUUUCAUAUUUCAGUUUUAUCAAACACACCUUAAGUUGCAAAAUAAUACCAAAACUUGUUAUUACAUAGCUUGAGAUUCAAAAAUUUAGAGCAUAAUUCUCAACCAAACACAAUUGAAUAAUGAAUAUUCACGAGUGUCAAAUCUAUCAAAGUACAAUUUGAGGACAACCCAUUCAAACGCGUACACGAUUUUUAACUUUUCUAAAGUUGUUGAGAGCUGUUGAAAGAGAUUUACCAUGUUUACAUCUUCCAAGUCUUGGGAGUAAAAAAUGAAGCCACUGAGUGCUAUAAAAAGGGGGGUAGAGGCCACUUGAGAUCCUCGGUGACAUGUUUUCUAUGCCAAUCCAAUGCCACCAAUAGUGUUGCGCCAAGUGUCAUGUUAUUAUUUACACUUGUGUUAAACUAAGCCAAGUUGAAUUAUUAGAAAAUUAAAGUGUAAAUAAUAACAUGACACUUGGCGCAAUACUAUUGGUGACAUUGGGUUGGCAUAGAAAAUAUGUCACCGAGGAUCCCAAGUGGAUAGAUGCUGCCUAGAAGCAUAUCAGCCUAAAACAAGAAUUUGUAGUAACAAUGGGGAGCAAAGCAAAAGCAACGGGGUCUAGGCUGACUCCUCUUCUUACCACUGUUUUAGUGGUAUUUGUUGCCCUUGGCUUGCCCUUGGAAACUGCAGCUGAUUAUUACAAGUAUUCAUCUCCUCCUCCUCCUCCUUACCAGUAUUCCUCACCACCACCUCCAGUGUAUUCACCUCCACCAACCCCUGUUUAUAAGUUACCCCCACCAUCUCCUCUAGUUUACAAGUCCUCACCACCACCUUACCACUACUCACCACCUCCUGUGUAUUCACCUCCACCAUCACCAAUUUACAAGUCACUGCCACCACCCCCUCCAGUAUACAACUCCCCGCCUCCACCAGUGUACAAAUACAAGUCCCCACCACCACCUUCUCCAAUUUACAAAUCUCCACCGCCACCAGUUUACAAGUACAAGUCACCCCCACCACCUCCUCCGGUAUACAAGUCUCCUCCGCCACCUGUUUACGAGUACAAGUCUCCUCCACCACCUCCUCCAGUGUACAAGUCCCCACCACCUCCAGUUUACAAGUACAAGUCACCACCACCUCCUCCCCCGGUUUACCAAUCUCCUCCACCACCAGUUUACAAAUACAAGUCACCACCACCUCCUCCCCCAGUUUACCAGUCUCCACCUCCACCCUAUCAUCACUACUACGGUUCUCCUCCUCCUCACCACUACUAAGCAAGUGCAUCUAAGUUUUGAGGUAAUAAUACCGAUCCAAAACUUUAUCAACGCAAACUGCCAUGUAUAUCAUGCUAAGGACGUACACUUGAUCCAUGAAAAUGGCUAGUAGAAGAUUUUUUUUAAGAACCAGAGAAAUACAUUAUUUUUUCGCUCUGUUUUCAAGAAUUUGAGCAGUAUACAGAUUAAAGAGUGUUUUUUUUAAACUUGCUUAUCAACUUAGAAAUGCACAUAGCUGAAAGCCAACUGAAUAUUUGCAGGCAAAGGAGAAGGCAAUCGGUGUUUGAGACCUUCAUGAAGAUGUAGAAGAAUAAGAAUAAAAGCCCAAUGCGAGGAUGAUUUCAAGUUUCUACGUUACCAUUUCUACAUCUAAAUUGACUUUAGCUCCUGAGUUCCAUGUCUAUGGGGUUUGUACUGUUUUACGUACCAUGCAGUACAUGCUUGUAAGGUUUUCUGUCCUGUUGGCAAGCCGCAGGUCCAUAUAAUAAAUGAAUACUAUUUAUAUUACGACACUUUUCUCUCUUUCUCUUAUAUUUUGUCUUUAAUAUUGUUGAUCAUUUUUUUUUUUUAUCAAAAGUAUCAAAUGCUUAGGCAAUUUGGUCUAAUGCUAAUUGUUUUACAUUUAUUUUUCACCUACAUCCCUUUUCAACUCAAAGGAUGCUACAGUUUGUGAUCAUUGUUUAAGACCGAAGCAUGGUACUAAUAAAUAUCUCAUUGAAAGUCAAGGAAACUAACAUUAUGAAAAGUGUAAAUCUUGAUUUGUGAAACUAUUUAUUCGUGGAAUUUAGAGAUACAAAACUCAAAUUGUGACGGUGUUGUUGCUAAAUUAUUUUUUUUUUAUAAUAAAACACAGUUCAUUCAAGGAUUACUGGAAAUCGUCCAGCACAAUUGAGAUACAUUGUUGCCCAGGUGGCAGAUAAAUAUGCACUAAAAUUAUAGAUAUGCAAUUUAACAAAUACAUAAGAUUUGAGAAAUUAAGGACAAAUCUAAAAAGGACCAUAAAUUUGAAAAACAUUUCAUCCUAGAAUAAGUCGCUGCAACUCUCUUUGUGCAUGCUGUAAUCGUCAGAUCUACUAAUCAACAGUUGUAAGGUCCAGUAAAGAUGGUGAGAUCUGCCGAGAUUGAUCCAAAUCUGAAAUAUUCCCUCAGAUCUGCUAUCCAAUUGGUUCAAACUCAAUACUGAAAGUGAAAUCUGAUGAGAAGACUGAAAAAAUUGUAGAUCUAACAUAUAGAUCUAAAAAAACUCCAAGAUUUGAAAAAGUAAAGAAACAAAACUAAAUAAAACUCUCAUUAAGAUAGUUUAGGAGAGACUAAAACUCUCAAUAGGACACCCUAGGAGAGAAGAAAACUCUCACUAGGAUAACCUAUGAGAGACUUUAUUGAAUGAAAGGAAAAGCAAAGGACAAAGGAAGAAGAAGGGAGACCUUGGCUUAAGGCCAAGGUCUCCCUCCUAUGGAGGAGGAAGGGUAGAGGAGGAAGCCUAGAGAGAAGGAAGAGAAUCCCUCCGCUAGAGGGAAGGAAGAGCCUCUGAGAGGGUACCCGUGUUGUUGCUAAAUUAUUAAGGACAUUAUCACCAUUACUUUUCCCUUACUAGUUUCAACUGCAAUGAUCUCAAUCUUUUUGUGACUAAUUCUUUUCUUAAUAAUUUAUAAAUACAAAACUCACAAAGAAUAUGUGACUUAUUCUUUCCUUUCGUCUUCUAAAGAAAAUGCCAACUGUUAGUUUAUCAAGGGAAAAAGGAUCGACAUCAGUUGUUAUUGAAACUAGUAAGGAAUAAAUAAUGGUGAUAAUGUCCUUAAUAAUUUAACAACAGCACCAUCAGAAUUUGAGCUUUGUAUCUAUAAAUUCCACGAAUAAAUAGUUUCAUCAAAUCAAGAUUUACACUUUUCAUAAUGUUAAGUUUCCUUGACUUUCAAUGAGAUAUUUAUUAGUAUCAUGCUUCGGUCGUAAACAACGAUCACAAACGAUAGCAUCCUUUGAGUUGAAAAGGGUAGUGAAAAAGAGAAGUAAAAAAUACAAUUAGCAUUCCCUCAAAUUGUAGAAAGUUAGGUAGCAUUAUAGACAAGUUGAUAGCCGUAAUUAUACUAAAAAUCAGGCAAAAGCCAGCAAUUUUACAUUUCAAAAUUCACCUAUUCAAUAACUAAUUCGAUGGCUUGCUACAUGGUCAAAAUUCACCACAUAUCCCUUUCCUCAAUCAGGGGCUUCUACAAUUACCAGUUCCAAUUGUAUGGUAUAGUGUAAAUAUCAACAAAUUAGAUGUAGACACUAAUAUAAUAAAUAUGGAUGCUAAGGCAACAACAUACAAAAACAUAAUAAAUUUUGGCAUUCCUUAAAAAAUUACGUCCCCAAAUCAAUCUCAUACACCCAAUUUCUAAUUUAUUUAACUCAUUCCGUCUAUUAACUGCACCAUACAAUCCAACCUGCAAUUGCAUGAACCCCAAUCUCGCUUCCUAGUCCACCAUUUUUCUCUAGGUAAUAAUCUCCCUUCUAAUUUCUUCACAAAAUGCACCUUUCAUCACCUCCAAUAGCGUCGACAUGAUCUUUACCCUAGAAGACUAUUCACCGACUCCCAAUUGACGUCAGAAAAUCUAAGAGUAAUUCUACUUUACCCUAAGAUUGAUAUCAACUAGACAAUGACAAUUUAGAAUUAUUACACGCCUCUUCUUAAUAGGAAAAAGAAAUAGAGAAGAAAGUCAGGCCAGGUCUAAUUUCUUUUCGAAGGCAAUACAACAUUACGAAAUCAAGCAUUCAUUCAUACAAAUAUUUCAUAGUCACCGGUUUGCUGAGUAGAAAAGUUUAUACAAAAACUUAAUAUUAUAUUGUUUAAGAGUUAACAAUUUAGAGCUUAAUCUCCUUGUACUUUGGACUAAACUCGAACGUGAAAGGAAAUCCCAAAACCAUAUUGGGCAUGAAUUCACACUUAAAUAGACCCAAAAAAAGAUGGCGACUGGUGAAAGGCAGUGGAGACUGGUGGUGAGAUUUGAGGAAUAGAAGCAGACGGAAAAGCCACAAAUUUUUGCCGAAAGAGGGUCACUUUCAUGGUUAAUUUUGCUACUCUCUACUUGUACUUGACCAAUGACAGGUUGUCAGUCUGUGCAAUAAUAAAAACCUGUUCAAACUAAAAGUAAUUUCUGUAGAUAGUGGUAAGCAGGGUCGAAUCCACAGGGAUUAGGUGUAACUGUUUCUUUUCAAAUUCACAAUAACAAAGGGGGUGUUUUUAUGCAGAAUGUGACAAUCAAAGAAAUUCAAUUAAAAGUAAAAUAAUAAAAAUAAAAUAGCCAACUAGAAAUUAAAUAACAAUUUACUAAAAUCAAAUGAGUGAUAAUUAAGGAUCUAGCCAAGGAAUAACUUCAGCAGUGGUUCACCUAAUUGAUCAUUGGAACAAAGGCAAUUCCAAUUAUUUACUAAUAAAUAGGUUAUAACUGCCAAACAAGCGAUGACAGUCAAUCACUCCUUACUGUGUCGGUGAUUAAGGUACGCCCGUUAAUCACUGCCCUAAUUGAGAAAUAAUCUUAGGUACGCCCGUAAGAUUUAAUUUUCCAAUUGCCUUACAUAUUAGAGGAGUGUCAGGAACAAGGAAAUAGAAUGGGACGUCGUUUAAUGCAAAGGGUUGUGCGUUUAAGGCCUUAGAAGCAAUACUACGUCGUUCUAAUAACAUAGGCGGUGCUGGUGUGAUAGGCCAAGUUAGUUGAGGGUCAAUUACAUAAAUAGCCUUCUGUAACAGAUUUUUGGUUAUGUUUUUGAAUGAAAAGUAUCUCGCUGCUUUCUCUCUCUUGUCUGUUAUUUCCCUCCCUUUUCUUCUUUCUCUCUUCCCUCUUCUUAAUCUUGUUUCUUUCUUCUGAUUCUUCCCCCAAAUUCAAUACAAUUCCAGAAAUUAACCUGCAAGUCUGACAUUUGGUAUCAGAGCGGUCGAUUCUUGGCCGCGAAGGUAUCAGAAAUGGCUGAGAGCACGCGAUUCAGGACACUGGAGGAGCAACUCAAGAAGCAGGAGAAUCGGUUGCAAGAACUGGCGGAAUCCAUGGCUGCACUGCAGAGUACGAGUUCCGAGGAGUUGCGGCAUAAGCUACAGGCGGAAAUGGAGCAGAACAAUGCAAAAUUGGACGCGGUGGUGGGAAGUCUGGACCAGAAGUUCAAUAAAAUGGAACAGAGACUCAGUACAGUGUUGAAGCUGCUGAUGAAGGAGAAAGGUCUCCCUGAUGUCGAAGGAGGAAUUUCUGAUCCAAUCUUGCCGACUCCUCCAUCUCAUCUGAGGUUAGCAUCCUCAGUCGAAGGGAUUGGGCACCAACAAGAGUACAGAGGUAGGCAAUUCACUCCUAAUGUACCUCGAUUAGAACUGCCAAUGUUUAACUCUGGAAACCCUAGGGAAUGGACCAGGAAAUGCCAGAAAUAUUUUUUGAACUAUCAGAUAGCAGAGAGUCAAAAGGUAGAGGUAGCAGAGAUGUUUUUGGAAGGUAGAGCUGACAAUUGGUUUCAAGGAGUGAAAUUGGUGAGGCCAGGGUUGUCUUGGGGGGAAUUUAGUGAACUUUUGUGUGAAAGAUUUUCUGGAAGUAGUUCUCGUGACAUUGUGGAGGAAUUUAACAAGUUACAGCAGAAAGGAACUGUUGAGGAAUAUGAGGAGAAAUUUGAAGAACUAAAAGCUCUAAUGCUGAUGAAAACCCCCAGGUUGGAUGAACUUUACUUUGUUUCCAGUUUUAUUAGUGGCCUCAGGGAAGAAAUUAGACCUAUGGUGAAGAUGUUUAAGCCUCAAACACUGAUGAAGGCCUUUGAAGUUGCGGAGUUGCAGGAGUGUUCCCUGGAAAUCCAAUCGAAACAAAACAGAACUUCAAGGAGGACAGCAAUGGAACCCAAGUUUGGAAUGUAUAAGGGCACUACGAGUGAUUAGGGUCGCCAAAAUUCAUAUAAGUUGCCUGGAGUCACUCCUGUCUCCAGGAGGACUAAUGCAGUACACAAGGAAUUUAGUAAGAUAUCAGCGGAGGAAAUGCAGUAUAAGCGUAAGCACAGCCUGUGCUAUAGGUGUGGAGAGAAGUUUGGAAUAGGUCAUCAGUGUAAGAAAGGAAGUCUGAACUGUGUGAGCACUGAGGAAGAGGAGGACACUGAAUUUGAGGAUGCGGAAGGGGAACAGGAUGAGUUAACAGGAAGGGUCGGGGAACUUGCAGAAGUCUCUUUGAAUGCUUUAUCUGGUGCCAUAAGGAGGAAAUCCAUCCUGUUGAUAGGGAACUUAGGGGGGCUUCCAGUCAAAAUUUUGGUGGACACAGGCAGUUCUAACAGCUUCAUUCACCACAGGAUUGUCAACCUACUGCAUCUACCAUAUCAGGCAGUCAGUCCAUUUACUGUGACUCUAGCAGAUGGAACUGACAUUACCAGUGGAGCCAUCAGUCCCAGCGUGUCUUGGUUAAUUCAGGACUAUCAAUUCCAAUUUGACUUAAAAGUAAUGGAAUUAGGGGGAUGGGAUAUAAUUCUGGGGGUGGACUGGAUGUGCCAGUAUAGUCCCAUUACAUUUGAUUUCCACUCUCUUAGCAUUGCCCUUAGUGAUAGGGGUUCUUUACUACACCUCCAAGGACUUGUGAAGCAACCUACUAUGGAACUGGUGAGGGGCAGGGAUCUCAGCUCGUUUAUACAGGAGAAGCAAAGAAACUGUGCAGCCAUGCAUGCUGAUAGGGCCAGGGAAACAGGAGAGCAGCUUCCAAAAGCUAUAGAAAGGAUCCUGGAACAGCACUCUCAGGUUUUCUCCACCCCAACAGGAUUACCCCCAGAGAGGGAAUUGGACCAUCAGAUCAACCUCAAACCAGGAGCUGAACCCUUCAAGCUCAAACCUUACAGGUACCCCCACUCACAUAAAGCAGAAAUUGAAAAAAAAGUUGCUGAGAUGCUCACUAAUGGAAUUGUUAUACAUAGCACAAGCCCCUAUGCCUCCCCUGUAUUGUUAGUAAAGAAAAAGGAUAACUCCUGGAGAUUAUGCAUAGAUUACAGGAAGCUGAACGAGCUGACUAUAAAGGAUAAGUUCCCUAUUCCCAACAUAGAUGAACUAUUGGAUGAAUUACAUGGAACCAGAUACAUGUCCAAACUGGAUCUCAGAGCUGGUUACCAUCAGUUGAGGGUGAAAGCUGUUGAUACCCCUAAGACUGCCUUCCAGACACACCAUGGCCACUUUGAAUUCUUAGUGAUGCCUUUUGGACUCACAAACGCGCCAGCUACAUUUCAGUCCUUGAUGAACAGAAUAUUUCAGCCAUAUCUCAGAAAGUUUGUCCUAGUCUUCUUUGACUACAUAUUAGUGUACAGCCCCACACUAGAGAUGCAUGCACAGCAUCUACAGAUUGUGCUCAAUAUUUUAGAAGAAAAUCAGCUGUAUUACAAGAGGUCAAAGUGCUCUUUUGCCCAGUCCUCAAUUGAAUACUUGGGGCACGUGAUCUCAGAGGCAGGAGUGAGUAUGGAUGUGGCUAAGGUGGAGUGUAUCAAGUCCUGGUCUGUUCCUAGUACAGUCAAGGAGCUGAGAGGGUUUUUGGGAUUAAUUGGUUACUACAGGAGAUUCAUUAAAGGCUAUGGAGUGAUUAGCAAACCCUUGACUGUAUUGUUGAAAAAGGAAGGUUUUGCAUGGAACCAUGAAGCUCAAAUGGCCUUUGAAGAUUUGAAAAAGGUUAUGACCACAGCCCCAGUGCUGAGCAUGCCUAAUUUCGAACUUCCUUUUGUCAUAGAGACUGAUGCCUGUGGAAUAGGUAUUGGAGCAGUGUUGAUGCAGCAAGGACAUCCUAUUGCUUUCCUUAGCAAGGCAUUAUCAGUUCAGAAUUUGGGGUUAUCAGUCUAUGAAAAAGAGCUUUUUGCCUUAGUGCUAGCUGUAACUAAGUGGAGGCAUUACCUGGUGGGUCAUCACUUCAUUAUCAGGACAGAUCACCAAGCUCUCAAACAUUUGAUAGAGCAAAGGCUUACUCAUCCACUCCAGCACAAGUGGCUAACUAAGCUACUUGGUUUGGACUAUGAAAUACAGUAUAAAAAGGGUGCAGACAAUGGGGUGGCAGACGCCCUCUCCAGGAGAAGGAUUGAGGGAAACACUGUUGACUGUGGAGAGACUGGGCAUCAGACCUGCGCCAUAACCUCAGCUCAGCCUAGUUGGAUGCAGGAAAUGCUAGAAAGCUACAUUGGAGAUGCAGAGGCUCAACAGAAGUUAUCUGAGCUAUUGCUGGAUCCCAAUGCAGAUCCAGAUUAUCAGUUAAAGAAUGGGAUGCUCAAGUUUAAAGGGCGGCUGUACAUAGGAUCUGCUAACAACAUUAGGACCAAGGUGGUCAGAGCAUUGCAUGACUCAGCCCUUGGGGGGCACUCAGGUCCUGGAAUCCGUAAGGAUGUCCUUCAAUAUGUGAGAUCUUGUGAUGUGUGUCAAAGGAACAAACAUGAAAAUGUUCCUUAUCCUGGGUUGCUGCAACCAAUUCCUGUACCUCAGCAGGCUUGGUCACACCUCACCAUGGAUUUUAUUGAGCAACUACCCCCAUCCCAUGGAUUUGAUACCAUUUUGGUGGUGGUGGAUAGGUUAACCAAGUUCAGCCACUUCAUUCGACUCACUCACCCUUUUUCUGCACAGCAGGUAGCACAGCUUUUCCUUGACAACAUAUACAAGCUGCAUGGACUUCCUGAGACCAUUAUAACUGACAGGGACAUAAUCUUUCUUAGUAAGUUUUGGCAAGAGUUAUUUGGUAUGGUAGGGGUAAAGCUGCACUACAGUUCAUCGUAUCACCCUCAAUCAGAUGGUCAAAGUGAAAGGGUCAAUCAGUGUUUGGAAAACUAUCUCAGGUGUAUGUGCAGUGAGCAUCCUUCUCACUGGAGCAGUUGGCUUCCUACAGCUGAGUUAUGGUACAACACUAACUUCCAUACUAGCUUGCAGGUGACACCAUUCGAAGCACUAUACGGGUAUAAACCAAAUCACCUUCCCUUAGGACCUUUUCAUGAUAGCCUGGUACCUGCUGCUGGUAACAUGGUGCAGACUAGGCUCCAAAUUCUAUCCCUCAUCAAAGAGAAUCUAGCCACCGCCCAGAAUCGAAUGAAAAUGUUUACUGAUAAGCACAGGACUGAACGUGUCUUCCAAGUGGGGGAUUGGGUAUUUCUCAAGCUGCAACCUUACAGGCAACAAUCAGUGGCCUUACGGAAGAAUUUGAAGUUGGCUGCCAAAUACUUUGGACCUUUCCAGAUCCUUGCGAGAGUAGGGGAAGUCGCCUACAGACUUAAGUUGCCAGAGGGAGCUCGAGUUCAUUCCGUGUUCCAUGUGUCCUUACUUAAAAGGAAAGUGGGAGUUACACAGCAGGUAAAGCCCAGCUUGCCAGAAGUAGACGCAUCAGACCAAUGUUUGCUGAAGCCAGAGAAGAUUCUCCAGAGGCGUGUUAUCAUACGAGCUGCCAAACCAAUCAUCCAGUACCUGGUGAAGUGGAACAACUUACCAGAAUCCGAAGCAUCAUGGGAGGAUAAAAGCUUCAUUGACAGACAAUUUCCGGAAUUUCAAGCUUGAGGACAAGCUUUGCUUAAGGGGAAGAGAUUGUCAGGAACAAGGAAAUAGAAUGGGACGUCGUUUAAUGCAAAGGGUUGUGCGUUUAAGGCCUUAGAAGCAAUACUACGUCAUUCUAAUAACAUAGGCGGUGCUGGUGUGAUAGGCCAAGUUAGUUGAGGGUCAAUUACAUAAAUAGCCUUCUGUAACAGAUUUUUGGUUAUGUUUUUGAAUGAAAAGUAUCUCGCUGCUUUCUCUCUCUUGUCUGUUAUUUCCCUCCCUUUUCUUCUUUCUCUCUUCCCUCUUCUUAAUCUUGUUUCUUUCUUCUGAUUCUUCCCCCAAAUUCAAUACAAUUCCAGAAAUUAACCUGCAGAUCUGACAAGGAGCCCUAUUCUAACCAAAUAACACACUACCAGGGUUAUUUUAGGUUAGCCCGCGUAUUCCCCUGACAUGAAUCCAAUCAUGCCAGUUAUCACUAUUUUGAAACAAUUAAACAAUUACGGAUUUAACGUCCCAAUUGACAAUAGAUUAUCAAAUUAACUAAUUAUCCGGAUCCAAAACAAUCAAUUAAUUAAAUAAUCAUAAGCACUGUAAUCAGGGAAUAUUUGAAUACCAAUAAAUAAAAAGAAAGGACAAAAUUAAAUCGAUUUCACAAUUUUUAAACGAACCACAACCUCAGUUGUUCCUCGGCUAGAUUGAGAAAAUUAGCUCAUGUUCGAUGCGAAAAAUCCACAAGAAAUUGUUAAGAGAGCCGCGGCCAUUGUCCCUUGAAAUUGGGGAAAUUCAAUUCGGUUGAACUACGAAAGAAAAGUAAGCUACAGAGAGUUGCCGAUUGGGUUUUGCUUGUCCCUAACAUGCGAGGGAGCAAAGCCACGAAAGGACGACAAAGGUCAAAAAGAAAGGCUACAGAGCAUGUUCCAGGUCUUUUUGUGCUCUCCACAUCCGAGCCAACGAAAAGAAAUAAAAAACUACCAGGAGCUAAAGGAAAACCGCAAGAAAAGUCAAAGGCUAAAAAAACUUCCUAGUGCUUGUUCUCUGCUUAUCUCUUUAUCUAAUUCUAAGUCCCCGAUUUUUUGCUCCGUGCGGCGGCUCCCCCGGAGAGAAAGGAUUGCAUCCGCUGCCCUCUUCCACCAAUUACCAAAAUGGGCACACCGCUUCUUUUUCAAAAAUGCUCCUGGAUAAACUCUAUCAUCUGGACUUUUUUUCUGUCAAAUUGACAUUUAUUAUUAUAUUUUCGUUCUACUCCCUGAAAUAAAUGUAAAAUAUUAAAAAUGAGUAGAAUCCGACAAUUAAUUCACAUCAGGUCAGAUAAUAAAGAAAAUUAAUAAUAAAAUAAAUAAAUAAAUUGCAACCUAUCAACCAAAUACAACAAUUUCAUGGAGUUUGAUACACAAGCCCAAAUACACGAGAGUGUGUAACCUGAAUUGUUACUUAUACAUUAGUGUGUAAUAGAACGGCAAGCAUUAUGGUGGUCAUUGAGCAACUUGUAGGAGAAAUAGUCCUAUAAGCUGUUCAAUGACCAAUCACAACUUGCUAAUUGGAUGACUAAUAUAGCUCUAGCUGUAAUGUUUUAAUUAAAUUCCAUCACUAACGUUGGGAUGACUUUUUAAUCAAAAAAAAAAAAGCCUUAGUUCAAGCUUUUCCCCUUAUUGUGCAUUUUUUAAAACAUUUGAUAGGCACUGCAAAUCUGUCAUUUUGGACAUUUUAUUAUUAACUAACAAUGAAAGCCGUGGACAUCAACCCAUAUCCAACAAAAUAUUAAAUUAAUAUUAGAAAAAAUUAUUAAGUAAUUGGAAAAAAAAAGAAGAGGCUAAUUUUCAUUGAAACCCACCGACAAACUAUACGCUGCUUUCAAUCAGUUUUAACACGGGAAAAAGAAAAGGCAUGAAAAGCAAAAUUUGUGGGGAUAAUUUCGGAAACCUCCCAUGAAGUUUUUGACUAUUUUACUGGCCUCCCUUCAGAUUUUAAAAAUUGGACUAAUCUUCCUUAAAGUUAAUUAUCUUGUAACAUUUAGAUCCGAUCAAUAAUUUAAAAAAUAAUAUUAUGAGAGAGAAAAUAAUAUGAUUUUAUUAUUGCCCCCAUCUCACCACAUUAUUUAAUUAAUUUAAUAGCAACCCACACAUUAAAGAAAAUGACAGGUCGUCAACCUGUGCAAUAAUAAAAUUAAACCUAAUUGCCAGUUAAAAUGACCAAAACCCAAUUCCAAGUACUGGAGCAGGGACUCUAGGUGUGCAAUGGGUUACUUGAUUCACCCUGUUCCCGAAGAGUUUGCUUGAUCCGAUAUACCCGAAUGGAAUGGUUAUUCCUUUUCACAAAUGAUUAGGAAUUUGUAGACAGGGCAAGUAGGGUCGUAUCCACAGAGACUGGGUAUAUUUGUUUCUUAAGAAAUCCAAAGUAACACAGGGGGUGAUUUUGUAGGAACGACGAUAAUUAAAUAAAUUCAAAUGAGAAAGUAAAAAUAAAUAAUUAACUAGAAAUUAAACCACAAUUUACUGAACUCAGGAUAACAAUAGUUAAAGGCCUCAAUUAAUUAAAAUAAGGAAACAAUCAAAAAUAAAAUAAAGUAGGUAAUUAAAAGUCAAAUGGCAAUCCACUACAAUCAAGGAAAUAUUAACUAAAGAUCUAGCCAAGAAAUAACUUCAGCAAUGGUUCACCUAAUCGAUCAUUGAUGCAAAGCAAUCCCAAUUAUUUACUAAUAAAUAGGUUAUAACUACCAAACAAGCGAUGGCAGUCAACCCCUCCUUACUGUGUCGGUGAUCAAGGUACGCCCGUUAAUCACUGCUCUAAUUGAGAAAUAAUCCUAGGUACGCCCGUAGAAUUUAAUUCCCCAACUGCCUUACGUAUUAGAGGAGCCCUAUUCUACCCAAAUAACACACUACCAGGGUUAUUUUAGAUUAGCCCGCGUAUCCCCCUGACACGAAUCUAAUCGUGCCAGUUGUCACUAAUUUGAGGUAAUUAAACAAUUACGGAUUCAAUACCCCAAUUGACAAUAGAUUAUCAAACCAAUGAAUUAUCCGGAUCCAAGACAAUCAACUAAUUAAAUAAUCAUAAGCACUGCAACCAAGGAAUAUGCGAAUACCAAUAAAUAAAGGAAAAGAUAAAAUUAAAUCGAUCUCACAAUUUACAGGUGACCCAAAGCAUCAGUCGUUUCUUGACUAGAACGAGGGGGUUAGCUCAUAUUGGAUGAACUAAGCCCGCGGGAAAUUCCAGCAAAAGUCACGGCCGUUGUAUGCAUUUCAAGAGCCGCAAUUCGUCAAACACUUGGAAAGCGAAUGUAAGGCACGGGUAACAAUUGAAACUUUCUAAUUGUUCCUAGCAUUCGUAAAGCAAAUUCACUCCAGAAGUACAGUGAGGAAAAGUCAAAGAAAGUGGGCUUCAAUUCCUUGCUCCUGACAUGCGUGGAGACAAGCCAAUGCAAGACUACAAUAAACUAACAAGGAAAAGUCAAGAAUUGGAGCUAAGCUCCCCUGCCAUGCGCAGGAAUCCCAAAAGUAAAAAGUAAAGCUUCAAAGAAAAGUCAACAAUUCUUCCUAAGCUACAGACGGAAGAUCCAGCACAAAAGCCAGCUCCCUUUUUGAUCCCUUUUUCCCCCUUCUUAUUGCGGCGGCUCACCAGGAGAGGAGAGCCCUCCGUCCGUCCUUUCUUCCGGAAAUUACCAAAAUGGGCAUGACAUCUUCUCUUCCAAAAGUGCCCCUGGGACAAGCUUUCUCAUCUGAAUUCUUUUUUUUUCCAAUUUGGCACCUGUUAUCAUAUUUAUAUUCUACUCCCUGAAAUAAACGUCAAAUACUAAAAGUGAGUAGAAUCCAGCAAAUAAAUCCACAUCAAGUCAGGUAAUAGGAGGAAUUAAUAAUAAAAUAAAUGAAUAAAUUGCACCCUAUCAAUUCCCUCCACACCUAAACCAUGCUUGUCCUCAAGCAUAAGAAAAGUAAACGAACACCAAAAUUCGACGAUAGCCAUUGCCCAAUCUCCUAUAUUGCCAAGACAUUCAAGAGAAAAACACAUAUCGAGCAUUGGUGAUUAGAAUCCCAGAAGCAUCCCCCCGGUUAGCCUCUAACCCCCAGAUUCCUUCAAUUUCCAACUUAACUACUCUAAGAAAGAGGAAUGGCACACAACAUUUAUCAGCUAGUGGUCCGAAUAUUCACACAAGUCUUCAUAUCCAAUCCAUAAACCGGCAAGCUUCCCUAUUAUUUAGUCUCUCUUUUUUUCCGUUUUUUUUCAUUUUCAUUCUUCCCCUCUUUUUUUUUUUUUUUUAAAGCAGUAGCAAUCAACACAAAAGACUUAGUCGUUAGCCGUCAGGGCCUUUUGAUGCGAACUCCAACAUUUUUAGAAGGAGGAGCCCGGUUACUCAGCUCCUACCGCUAUACGACCACGCACUCAUAUAAAAUACCACCUUUUGACGCGAGAAUCGACACUUUUAGGUGCCGAUCCCCGGUUACUCAGUAGUAACUUAAUAGCGGAGCACAGUCAAGCUUAUUCUCAGCCAAACAAUGCACAAACGCAAAAUAACAGCACUAACAAUCAAACAUAGGAGCAGCUCGCCUCAUUAUUGUCAAACAUGGAGAACUGGAGUCAAUAUUGGACCAGUUCACAUUAAAAGGCCAUAUUCAUUCCCUACGCCUAGAAAAGUUAACAAAGAAAUCGAAAGAGUCAAACAGUUAAAUAUUCACCAAGGGGAUAUUCAGGACCCAACCACACUAACCCGAUACAUUUUGUAUUUUAAAAACUUGGCAAAAGUAGAUUUGGAGUCAAUGAGUCCACAUCUCAAUUUUAGCCUUCACAUGAAAGGCAAUCACCAAGAAGAAAGAACGGAAAAAUAAGCAACUAGAAAUGAGACUACGAAAAACUACUAAAACUAAAAACUCACUUUUUUUCUUUUUCUCUUUUUUUUUCUUUUUGAAUUUUUUUUUCAUUUUUAUUUUUUUUUAUUUUUUUUAUUUUUUAAACAUUAACUAUAAACAUUAACUACUAAAAACUAAAAACUAAAACUACUAAAAACUAAAAACACUAAAAACUGCUAAAAUGAAAAGCUGAAAACUGAAAACUACUAAAAACGGAGCACACUAGCAUAACUUUAGAUCCCCCCCACACCUAUAGGACACAUUGUCCUCAAUGUGACAAAUAAGAACCAAAAGUGAAGCACAAGUGAGAGGGGAAUCAGCCAAACUUCCCUGAAAUCGGGUCACAGCGGAGGGCGAGGUGGAAAUGGAGGUGCAAAGCCUGUAUGCAUCAGGAACUGUGCCAAAUUCUGUGCUAUGCCGGCGACAUUGGCGUCGACGUUGGUCAUCCGGGCCUGCAAAUCCUGAACCAGCUCCCUGAGAUGCUGCCAAUCAUCGGUCCCAGGUGGUGGAGGUGGCGCAGAAGUAGAGGUAGACGGCCCAGCAGUGUCCGCGGCCGACCCAGGGAAUGAAGAUGGCCCUGCCCGGGCCGAAUGGUGUGCACCCGGGGCUCGAGGUGGUCCCGGACGGGUAAACUGGUGAAAACCAUCUGGCAGACGCUCGACGACCCCCAUUUUCUCUAAGCAAACUACGUCCAAGUGCUCCAUCUCAAAUGCCAAAUGGAGGUCGUGGUCAUCCAGGUUAAGAACUCCCAACUGGGUCGCCAAGUGAGUGAUGUAGGACCCAAGGAUCAGUGGUUUGUUCUUCUUGGUCAAGACCGUCUUGAACUGUGCGGCCAACCAACAUCCCAAGUUCACCUUGAUAUUGUUCUUCAUACUCCAGAGAAAGAAGAAUUCGGGCCGAGAGAGUAUACCGGAGCUGUCCUUGCGCCCCGAGUAGCUAUAAGCUAAGAAUCGCUGAACAUAGCGGGCGCUAGGGUCCUUAAGAAAGGAGCUCCUGGACCGGGAAGGAUCGUAGCGUUGCCUAUCGACGGACAUGUCCUCCCAUACAUCAUGGUAGUGGGAGAGGAAAGGCUCUACGUAGUCACAGGCACUCUCCGCAUACUCCCUAGUCUCAGCAUACUCUCUAGUGAUAAACCCAAAUGCCAGAUUGAAUUGAGUAAUGGAGAAAUUGAAUUCUCGACCCAUGAGCCGGAAAUGAAUGACAUUCGGUGUUUCACCCGUGUAUCUCGUAGGUAAUUCGAACUCAAAGGUGGAGUAAAACUCCCGGAUCAGCUCAACAAAAGCGGGACAAGAAAUAUGGAAAUAUGGGCGCCACCCAAUGGCUGUGAACAUUUGCUCAACCUCCUCCCGUAUACCCAGGGCAGUUAGAGAGAGUCUAUGACAAGACUUACAGGAUAUUAUACGCCUCUCGCAGACCUUAGCGUACCUCUGCCGAUCGGCGGGUCUGGUAAAUGUUAAGUGCCCCCCAAAAUGAACAGGUGCAUCUACCUGAGCACCCCUAUCCCUACCCAAACGGGUUCGAACACUAGAAGAGGAGGGUAGGUUGGUAGGUGAGUUGACAGGAAUAGAGGCUUGUGGAGGGGGUUGAGACUGAGAGGUCCUAGACCUAGAGGAGGAUUUCGGUCUCACCAUUCCCCCCAAAGUAAGUUCAAGGCAACAGAAAAUCCGACAAGUAUAGAAACCAGCAAUUGACAAAGCAAAAAUCUCCCAGUAGUAACCCAGCCAAUAGCAAACAAAAGAGUUCCAGCAAGUAAUCAACAAGCAAUUCAGAAAUAUCUCAACUAAAAUCUCAAGAGAAACCCCAGCGAGUUAUCCAGCAAUUCAAGCAAUAUCCCCAAGCAAUGUGGUGGUCAAAAUGUCAUCUCCAAAUUGAACAAAUAAUCAGAGCAUUGCAACACAUUGAAAAUCUCAAUAAACGGCUCCAGUUGGCCAAGAAAAAUUGCUAACUCAUACUCAGCAAUAGUAGUGCAGCAAAGGGACAGUAACCACGCAAUAAAAACACUUAGCUUGCACUCAAAUGGUCACCCCAAAUAACAACCCAGUAUGAAACCCGCAGGCAGAGUAUUCCUCAAACCGUUAGCCUAAACCCAGUCAACAACCACGGCCAGAAAUAACCCCAUAAAUAGUGCAAUGAGUAAUCCCCAGCAACAUAAUCAGGUGUAAUCAACUGGAGCAAGCAAUUUACAUGGCAUAGAAACCUCCCAAUCAAACAAGUGCAUUAUUCUAGCGCACCCCAAAAUUCCAAGAAAUGGCUCCAGUUGGCCAAUUAAUUUCACAAUGUCACCCAACUCAGGAGAAAUAGCAAUUCCACACAAAAAUAGUCAAACCAGUACCACUGGCGAAAAAUCUUUCAAAUAUGCACAAUUUGCUACCAAAUAUCACCGGCUAACACUGAAAAAUUGAGGGCAAGUGUCAAAUACCUCCACAGGGACUACCCCAGGCGGCAGACAGAGAAGCGGCGUUGAAGCUGGUGGUCGAGCGGGGCGGCGCUCGCGUCGGCGUGCGCAGCGGCGACGGCGCGCGAGGAUGGAGUUUCGGGAGGUUGCGUGCGGGCUUGGCUGAAGACGCGGCGCGCGCUAGGGCUUCGCUGCGGCAGGCGUGCAGCAGGGGAGAAGAAAGAAAAGAGAAAGAAAGAAAGAAAAAGAAAGGAAAGAAAGAACAGAAAAGAAGGAAAAGAAAAAGGAAUUUUUCUUUUUUUUCUUUUUCUUUAGGCUACGGUUUAGAGGACAAAUUUUUCUUCUUCUUGUUUUCUACUUUUUUAUUUUUUUAUUUUUUAGUUUUUAAUUUAUUACUAUUAUUAUCAUAUUUAAUUGAGGAAAAAAAAUGUUUUUUUUUAAAUCCCUACCUUUCCCACGAACGUGACGCGGGCACGUCAAGAGGGCAAGAGAGCUCCCAGAAGUUUCAGAAUUUUCUGAUCGUAAGCGUCCUGCACAUCACCACGCGGGCACGUCAUGAGGACAGGAGAGCUCCCAGAAGUUCAGAAUUUUCUGAUCGUGAGCGCCCUGCACGUCACCACGCGGGCACGUCAUGAGGCCAGGAGAGCUCCCAGAAGUUUGAAGUUUCUGAUUCCUGCCCGUCAUCACGCGGGCGCGUCAUGACUGAAGGUCACCUACAAAUCAGCAAAAACGAAAACUAACACCCAAAAUCAGUCAAAUUCAGGGAAAGCAGAUUUAAACUAUGCUACAAAACCAACAAACAAUUAAAAGAAAUAAUUAGGUUGCCUCCCAAUGAGCGCCUUUCUUUAAUGUCUUUGGCUAGACAUGGUAAAGUGUCACUGAUUAGGACACGGUGGUGCGUCAAGCCUUAUUGUCUCCACCUCUCUACCUGAAAAUCCUUCGUAAUAAUAUUUGAGACGGUGUCCAUUCACCACAAAUUUGUUGUCUGUCUUAGCACUCUGGAUCUCAACUGCACCAUAGGGAAAAACAUGAGUAACAAUGAAAGGUCCAAUCCAACGGGAACGUAGCUUACCUGGGAAUAGCUUGAGCCUGGAUUGGUACAGGAGGACCUUCUGACCAACUUCAAAUGUUUUUCUUGAAAUUUGUUGGUCAUGAAAUGCCCGGCUUUUCUCCUUAUAUAUCAAGGCGUUUUCGUAUGCUUCGUUCCGGAUCUCCUCCAAUUCUUGCAAAUCCAACUUCCGUUGAGCACCGGCCUCCUCUAAAUUCAUAUUGCAGUGCUUUAUCGCCCAAAAAGCCUUGUGCUCGAACUCCACUGGAAGGUGACACGGCUUCCCAAAUACCAACCUGUACGGUGACAUCCCAAUAGGAGUCUUGUACGCCGUCCGAUAGGCCCAGAGUGCGUCUUCCAACCUUUGGCUCCAGUCUUUUCUAUCAGGGCGCACCAUUUUCUCUAAAAUGGACUUAAUCUCCCGAUUCGACACCUCCGCUUGACCAUUGGUCUGAGGGUGGUAUGACGUUGAGACCCUGUGGAGUACACCAUACUUGCGAAACAACGCAGCUAUGGUUUUGUUGCAAAAGUACGUUCCCCUAUCACUGACAAUAGCUCUAGGCAUUCCAAACCGCACAAAGAUAUUAGACCUGAUAAAAUCUGCAACUACUCUCGAAUCAUUAGUUCGAGUGGCCUUAGCCUCCACCCAUUUAGACACAUAAUCAACUGCCAGCAAAAUAUAUAAAAAACCAAAUGAAGUAGGAAAAGGCCCCAUGAAAUCUAUACCCCAGACAUCAAAAAUUUCAACAAAAAUCAACGGGACCUGGGGCAUUUGAUCUCUACGGGCUAUAUUACCUACCAUUUGACAGCGAUCACAUGACUUACAAAACACAUAGGCAUCUCUAAACAAUGAAGGCCAAUAAAAUCCACUUUCUAAAACCUUAUGAGCAGUUCUCUUAGGUCCAAAAUGACCUCCACAGGCAAAAGUAUGACAAAAAGCUAAAAUUGAUUGAAAUUCCAUUUCACUUACACAUCUCCUCAUCACUUGAUCGGCACACCUCUUCCAUAGGUACGGGUCAUCCCAGAUAAAAUACUUGGCAUCGCUCUUCAAUUUAUCCCUCUUCGAUUUCGGCCAACCUGCAGGAAAAUUACCAGUUACCAAAUAAUUGACCAAAUCAGCAUACCAAGGCAACUGAGAAUUUAAGAAAAAUAGGUAUUCUUCGGGGAAUGCAUCCUUCAAUGGCUCGCUAUCCUCUUCAACUAGUAUGCGACUCAAAUGGUCCGCUACUAGAUUUUCUGAGCCUUUUUUGUCCCUUAUCUCCAAGUCAAAUUCCUGUAGGAGCAGUAUCCACCGUAUGAGCCUCGGUUUUGCAUCUUUCUUGGUCAUCAGGUACCUCAAUGCUGCAUGAUCAGAAAAUACAAUCACUUUAGCACCUAACAAGUAUGACCUAAAUUUUUCCAAAGCAAAAAUAACUGCCAGAAGCUCCUUCUCAGUGGUGGAAUAAUUCAACUGGGCUCCAUUCAAGGCCCGGGAUGCGUAAUAGAUGACAUGAGCCGCCUUGCCUAUUCUUUGCCCCAGUACAGCCCCAACAGCGUGAUCACUGGCAUCGCACAUGAUCUCAAAUGGCAAAUUCCAAUCGGGGGGUUGGAUGAUUGGGGGUGAAGUCAGCAAUUCCUUCAGCUUGUUAAAGGCUCUCUCACACUUAUCAUCAAAUUCGAAGGCUACAUCUUUUUGUAGGAGUUGGAACAACGGGGCUCCAAUCUUUGAAAAAUCCUUGAUGAACCUUCGAUAAAAACCUGCAUGUCCAAGAAAAGAGCGCACCUCCCGCACACUCGCGGGGUAAGGUAAUGCAGAAAUAAUGUCUAUUUUAGCCUUGUCAACUUCUAUGCCCUUAGACGAUACAAUAUGACCCAGGACUAUUCCGUGCUCAACCAUAAAAUGACAUUUUUCCCAAUUAAGCACAAGAUUAGUCUCUAUACACCUGAUCAGGAUUAAUUUCAGGUUAUCUAGACAAGUAUCAAAACUAUCACCAUACACACUGAAAUCAUCCAUGAAAACUUCUAUUAUUUUCUCAACAUACUCGGAAAAGAUGCUUACCAUACAUCUUUGGAAAGUCGCAGGUGCAUUGCACAACCCAAAUGGCAUUCGUCUGUAGGCAAAGGUCCCGAACGGGCACGUGAAGGUUGUCUUCUCUUGAUCCUCCGGGGCAAUUGCUAUCUGAAAGUAUCCUGAAAAUCCAUCCAAAAAGCAAUAAUAAGCCCUACCAGCUAAACGUUCAACCAUUUGGUCAAUGAAAGGGAGAGGGAAAUGGUCCUUUUUGGUGACGGCGUUUAGCCUACGGUAAUCUAUACAUUGCCUCCAUCCAGUGGGUUUGCGCACUGGCACGAGCUCACCAGUUUGGUUGGCCUCUACCGUCACUCCUGCAUUCUUUGGGACUACCUGGACCGGACUCACCCAAGGGCUAUCAGAUAUUGCAAAAAUGAUGCCCACAUCUAGCAAUUUUAGAAUCUCUUUCUUUACGACUUCCAUCAUGAGGGGAUUGAGCCUUCUUUGAGCCUGCCUAACAGGUUUGGCAUCGUCUUCCAGCCUAAUCCGGUGCAUACAAAUGGCCGGGCUGAUCCCCUUAAUGUCUGCGAUUGUCCAGCCUAUUGCCUCUUUAUGCUCCCGAAGGACCCGGAUCAAUUUCUCUUCCUGGGUCUUUGACAGUGCCGAUGAGAUAAUCACUGGGAGUGUCUCAUUAUCACCUAGGUAUGCGUAUUUCAGGUGCUCUGGUAGAGGUUUCAACUCCAGUACAGGUGCCUGCACCACAGAUGGCAAUACCCUCUGGUGAGCCUUGGGAGUAAAAAUAGGUAAGACUUCAUACCUUUUCGUGGUGGUCUGCAACGAGUGUAAUGCACCUAUUGUGCAUUUUAAAUCCUCGCUCCACUCCACCUCAGGAGUUGUCUCCAACUCGAGGUGCUUGGUUAAAGCCACCUCCAGCUCAUCCCUGCCAUCAGUUUCAAACACUUCCUGCACUACAGGGUCAAUAGCACUCACAGAAAAAACUGAGCUAAAGUUGGAGUUAGAGGGGUACUUCAUAGUAUCAAAAAUAUUAAAAUGCACAAUUUACCCAUCAAACUCCAUGGACAAGGUACCCUUAUUAACAUCAAUUUUCGUCUGCGCAGUGCUCAUAAAAGGUCUACCCAAUAACAAAGGUGAGGGAUCAGGGGAGUGAUCAUCAUCCAUAUCUAGUACAUAAAAAUCAGCUGGAAACACCAAAUCAUUAACCUUUACCAACACAUCUUCAAUCAACCCAUCAGGAUAUGCAUUAGUUCGGUCAGCUAAUUGAAUAAUUAUUCCAGUUUCUUUUAAUGGACCUAGUUUCAAAGAAGCAUAGAUAGAUUUAGGCAUGACAUUAAUUGAUGCUCCCAGAUCCAGCAUGGCCCUUCUGAUCACAGUAUUACCUAUCUUACAGGGAAUAGUAAACAUACCUGGGUCCCCGCACUUUGGUGGGAGCUUUCUCUGCAGGACCGCAGACACAUUUUCUCCAACUAUGACCCGUUCAUCUCCCCUCAACCGCCUUCGGUUGACACACAAGUCCCUUAGGAACUUGGCAUAUUUUGGUACUUGUUUGAUGGCGUCUAAGAGGGGGAUAUUUAUCUCAACCUUGCGAAAAACCUCCAAGAUCUCCUUCUCCUUAUCCUGCUUCUUCGAUUUUUCCAACCUGCUAGGAAAAGGAGGCGGGUUAGUUUUAACUGUAAUUAUUGGGUCAGGAAGUACCUCUGGAUCUGCACCAUUGCUGUCCUCCCUUUCGAGCUCAUUUUCGAUCUUCUCUUCAUCCUUGUCCUUGGGAAUCACAGGUUCAGGCCCCUGAAUUUCUUUCCCACUCCUUAGGAUCAUUGCGCUCACGUUCUUCGGAUUCAACUCCGGUUGAGAUGGCAGCUUCCCUUGGUUCUGGGACUCCCAACGGUUCAUUCUGGUGGCCAAUUGACCUAUCUGAUUCCUUAUGUCCUGCAUUUCGGAGUCCGUCUUUUGCUGAUUUUGCAUAAUAGCUGCCUCCGUCCUUUGCUGAUUCUGCGCCAUGGUUGUCAUCAUUUGUUUCAGCAUCUCAUCCGUAGAUGAACCAGAUUGAGGGAGCGGAGGUGGUCGGGGUUGGUAUUGCUGCUGGUACCCUGGUGGCUUAUUUGGCACAAAGUUAGACUGCCUGUUUGGCGUGAAGUUGGAUUGCCUAUUUCCACCAUAACUGAGGUUGGGAUGAUCUCUCCACCCGGGGUUGUAGGUGCUUGAGUAAGGGUCGUACUGCUUCCUUGGCGCGGGCGCGUGGUCAGCCAUGUUCACCUGUUCCGCAGUUUCUUCCUGAAUCAUUGGGCACAUGUCUGCAGAGUGACCUAUACCAGUGCAAAUCCCGCAUACCCUGGCUUGUGAUGCAUUUCUCACAGCCUAUUGCCUAACGAACGCAGUCAACUCAUUUAGCUGCUGCUGCACAGAGGGUGUCUCUAUCUCAUUCACCCUACGUAUUGGGACAUCCUAUCUUGUACUGAAUUGCUGUGAAUUCUCUGCCAUCCCCUCUAUUAACUCCCGUGCUUCCUGAGGGGUUUUGUUCACCAGUGCCCCUCCACUUGCAGCAUCAAUGAUGCUCCUGUCUCUAAAAAUGAGCCCCUCAUAGAAAUAUUGUAUGAUCAACUGCUCACUUAUUUGGUGAUGGGGGCACCUGCGCAACAAGCUCUUAUACCGUUCCCAAUACUCGUAAAGUGACUCCUCGGGAUGCUGCUUGAUCCCACAAAUUUCUUUCCUUAGACUCGCAGCCCUGGACGCAGGAAAAUAUUUAUCCAGAAAUUUUUUCUUCAAUUGGUCCCACGUGGUGAUGCUACCUGGUGACAGGUAGUACAGCCAGUCCUUCGCAGAAUCUUUCAAGGAGAAGGGGAAUGCCCUCAUUUUUAUCUGCUCUUCUGUGAUUCCCGGGGGUUUCAUACUGUUGCAAACGACAUCAAACUCCUGCAGAUGCUUAUACGGCUCUUCACCUGGUAAACCAUGAAAAGAGAGUAAAAGCUGAAUCAGACCAGAUUUUAGUUCAAAUGGAAUGUUGUCAUUUAAAGCUGGGAAAGUAAUGCAUAACGGCUGCUGAGUUAAAUCAGGAGCAGCCAACUCCCUUAAUGUUUAUGCAUUAGCCAUGGUGCCUUCCUGCUGGUCAGAGUCACUCGAAGUGUUACCAAACGAAUCUGUUGGUUCAACUUCUGACUCGGGUCUUUGAGAUGUAGCACUAGAGUGCUCUUCUCUGAGCUGUCUGGUUUCCUUUCUCGUUCUACGCGCGGUCUUCUCUACCUCAGGAUCAAAAACCAAAUCACCUGUGCGACAAGAUCGAGGCAUACACUAGAAGAAAACCAGAAAAUUAGGACAAAAUUGAAUUUAAGAAGAAACAAAUAAUAACGCCAGUCCCCGGCAACGGCGCCAAAAAUUGACAGGUCGUCAACCUGUGCAAUAAUAAAAUUAAACCUAAUUGCCAGUUAAAAUGACCAAAACCCAAUUCCAAGUACUGGAGCAGGGACUCUAGGUGUGCAAUGGGUUACUUGAUUCACCCUGUUCCCGAAGAGUUUGCUUGAUCCGAUAUACCCGAAUGGAAUGGUUAUUCCUUUUCACAAAUGAUUAGGAAUUUGUAGACAGGGCAAGUAGGGUCGUAUCCACAGAGACUGGGUAUAUUUGUUUCUUAAGAAAUCCAAAGUAACACAGGGGGUGAUUUUGUAGGAACGACGAUAAUUAAAUAAAUUCAAAUGAGAAAGUAAAAAUAAAUAAUUAACUAGAAAUUAAACCACAAUUUACUGAACUCAGGAUAACAAUAGUUAAAGGCCUCAAUUAAUUAAAAUAAGGAAACAAUCAAAAAUAAAAUAAAGUAGGUAAUUAAAAGUCAAAUGGCAAUCCACUACAAUCAAGGAAAUAUUAACUAAAGAUCUAGCCAAGAAAUAACUUCAGCAAUGGUUCACCUAAUCGAUCAUUGAUGCAAAGCAAUCCCAAUUAUUUACUAAUAAAUAGGUUAUAACUACCAAACAAGCGAUGGCAGUCAACCCCUCCUUACUGUGUCGGUGAUCAAGGUACGCCCGUUAAUCACUGCUCUAAUUGAGAAAUAAUCCUAGGUACGCCCGUAGAAUUUAAUUCCCCAACUGCCUUACGUAUUAGAGGAGCCCUAUUCUACCCAAAUAACACACUACCAGGGUUAUUUUAGAUUAGCCCGCGUAUCCCCCUGACACGAAUCUAAUCGUGCCAGUUGUCACUAAUUUGAGGUAAUUAAACAAUUACGGAUUCAAUACCCCAAUUGACAAUAGAUUAUCAAACCAAUGAAUUAUCCGGAUCCAAGACAAUCAACUAAUUAAAUAAUCAUAAGCACUGCAACCAAGGAAUAUGCGAAUACCAAUAAAUAAAGGAAAAGAUAAAAUUAAAUCGAUCUCACAAUUUACAGGUGAUCCAAAGCAUCAGUCGUUUCUUGACUAGAACGAGGGGGUUAGCUCAUAUUGGAUGAACUAAGCCCGCGGGAAAUUCCAGCAAAAGUCACGGCCGUUGUAUGCAUUUCAAGAGCCGCAAUUCGUCAAACACUUGGAAAGCGAAUGUAAGGCACGGGUAACAAUUGAAGCUUUCUAAUUGUUCCUAGCAUUCGUAAAGCAAAUUCACUCCAGAAGUACAGUGAGGAAAAGUCAAAGAAAGUGGGCUUCAAUUCCUUGCUCCUGACAUGCGUGGAGACAAGCCAAUGCAAGACUACAAUAAACUAACAAGGAAAAGUCAAGAAUUGGAGCUAAGCUCCCCUGCCAUGCGCAGGAAUCCGAAAAGUAAAAAGUAAAGCUUCAAAGAAAAGUCAACAAUUCUUCCUAAGCUACAGACGGAAGAUCCAGCACAAAAGCCAGCUCCCUUUUUUAUCCCUUUUUCCCCCUUCUUAUUGCGGCGGCUCACCAGGAGAGGAGAGCCCUCCGUCCGUCCUUUCUUCCGAAAAUUACCAAAAUGGGCAUGACAUCUUCUCUUCCAAAAGUGCCCCUGGGACAAGCUUUCUCAUCUGAAUUCUUUUUUUUUCCAAUUUGGCACCUGUUAUCAUAUUUAUAUUCUACUCCCUGAAAUAAACGUCAAAUACUAAAAGUGAGUAGAAUCCAGCAAAUAAAUCCACAUCAAGUCAGGUAAUAGGAGGAAUUAAUAAUAAAAUAAAUGAAUAAAUUGCACCCUAUCAGAAAAAUGCAAAAAUUUGUUAUUUAUCAUUAAGGAUCAUAUCGCAUAUAACAUCAAAAAAUAGUAUAUUAUUUAUAUCUUUCACUUAAUAUAAUAUCCAAAUUACUCUUUUCAGUUACAUACCCAUUGUUAGACAAAAUCAACAACAAAUAACCAAAAAAUUUGCAACCAAAAUAUUACCAAAAAAAUAAACUUUAACAUCAUAAAUAUUUUUAUCAACAUAUUAAAGUUAGUUAUUGAAAUUUUUAUGGUGUUAAACUUCACUCUUAGCAAUAUUUUGGUUACAGAUUUUUUUGAUUAUUUAUUGUUGAUCGUGUUUGACAAUGGAUUUGUAACUGAAAAGAAUAAUUUGAAUCUUACAUUAAGUGAAAUAUAUAAAAUAUUAUACUAUUUUUUAUGGCAUAUGUGAUUCUUUUUUUUUUUUUUAUCAGAACGGCAACAUUGUAUUAAUAGUAAACCAAUUACAGUAUAGGUGGGCAACCGCCCUCACAAUCUGCCUGGACUUGUUCCAGCAGCCAAACUGGGAAGUUUUCCUUCCAUUCAGUAUUUUGUUCCAAAGUAAUAGCUACUUUAGCUAGUUUAUGGCUAACAAAGUUGUUCACCCUAUUUGCAAAGGUAAAACAACAUUCAUCAAAUUUUAUUCAUGUACAAUUGUUGCUAUCACCACGUCCUCCUCCUCCUCCUCACUGCACACUACUUGACUACCACCCUUCGCCAACCUUGCUGUUGCAUGUGCAACUAUCAUGGCCUCUCUUAGCGCCUUUGCUUCUUCGACCUUUGGACUGGCACAGCUAAAAUUUGGAACAGCCCAGGCCCACCCGCAAUCUUCCCAACCAAUCCCUGGCCACCCUUUUCCCACCCAGCUUCUAUGGCAUGUGUGAUUCAAUCCUUCUUGAUAGGAUUGGUAAUAGAGGCAGAGGGGGGAGCCGGCUGCAUCCGGUCUACUUUUCAUAGAUAGUACAAUAUUGCGAAAUCGAUCGCAUUCACACAAGAAUAUUUCGAAGUCAUUGCAUCGCUAAGUUGCAAAAAAGUACAAACACUUGUUAUUAUAUAGCUUAAGAUUCAAAACUUUAGAGCACAACCCUCCACCUAACACAAUUGAAUAAUGAAUAUUCACGAUUGUCAAAUCUGUCAAAGCACAGUUUGAGGACAACCCAUUCCAACCUGCAAAAGAUUUUUGACUUUUUUAAAGUUGUUGAGAGCUGUAAAAAGACUUACCAUGCUUACAUCUUCCGAGCCUUGGGAGUUAAAAAUGAAGGCACUGAGUGCUAUAAAAAGGGGGCUAGAGGCUGCCUAGAAGCAUAUCAGCCUAAAACAAGAAUUUGUAGUUAUGAUGGGAAGCAAAGCAAAAGCAAUGGGGUCUGGGCUGACUCCUCUUCUUACCACUGUUUUAGUGGUAUUUGUUGCUCUUGGCUUGCCCUCAGAAACUGCAGCUGAUGAUCACUACAAGUAUUCAUCUCCUCCUCCUCCUUACCACUAUCCCUCACCACCACCUCCAGUGCAUUUACCUCCACCAGUGUACAAAUACAAGUCCCCACCACCACCUCAUCAUGUUUACAAGUACAAAUCUCCACCACCCCCACCACCACACCCAGUUUACAAGUAUAAGUCGCCACCACCACCUCCUCAUCCGGUAUACAAGUACAAGUCUCCUCCGCCACCUCCUCAUCCGGUACCACACCCAGUUUACAAGUAUAAGUCACCACCACCACCUCCUCAUCCGGUACCACACCCAGUUUACAAGUAUAAGUCUCCUCCGCCACCAGUUUACAAAUAUAAGUCUCCUCCACCACCACCUCCAGUGUACAAAUACAAGUCUCCACCACCACCAGUUUACCACUACAAGUCUCCACCACCUCCUCCCCCAGUUUACAAAUACAAGUCUCCACCACCACCACCACCAGUUUACCACUACAAGUCACCACCACCUCCUCCCCCAGUUUACAAAUACAAGUCUCCACCACCUCCUCACCACUACUAAGCAAUUGCUUCUGAGGUAAUAACACUUGUUCAAUAUACCCACUUCUGCAUGAUAAAGCAUAUCUCUAUCAACACAAACUGUCAUGUCUAUCAUGCUAAGUGCCUUCACUUCAUCCACCAAAAUGACUGCUAGAAAAUUUUUUUUAUGUUACCAAAGAAAGGCAUCAUUUUUUCCCUCUGUUAUCAAGAACUUGUACAGUAUAUAGAUUAAAGAGUAUUUUUUUAACUAGCUUAUCAACUGAGAAAUGCAUAUAGCUGAUAGCCAGCUGAAUAUUUGCAGGCAAAGGAGAAGGAAACCAGUGUUUGAGACCUUCUUGAAGAUGUAGAAGCAUAAGAAUUAAAGCCCAAUGUGAAGAUGAUGAUUUCAAGUUUUUCUACGUUACCAUUUCUUUAUCUAAAUUGGUUGUAGCGCCUUAGUUCCUUUGUUUAUGGGAUUUGUAUCGUUUUACGUACCAUGCAGUACAUGUCAUGUUUGUAAGGUUUUCUAUCCUGCCGGCAAACCGCAGGUUCCAUGUAAUAAAUCAAUACUAUUUAUAUUACGACACUUUUCUCUGUUUCUCUUAUAUUUUGUCGUCUUUAAUAUUCUUAAUCAUAUUUUUAACAAAAAUAUUCAAACACUUAGGCAAUCUGGUCUAAUGCUAAUUGUAUGUUUUACUUUUCUUUUUCACCUGCUCCCCUUUUCAACUCAAAAGGAUGCAAUAGUUUGUGAUCACUGUUGAAGACGGAAGCAUGAUACUAAUGAAUAUAUCAUUGAAACUCAAGGAAACUAACAUUAUGAAAAGUGUAAAUCUUGAUUUGAUGCAACUAUUUAUUCGUGGAAUCUAUAGUUACAAAACUCAAACUCUGACUGCGCCAUUGAUAAAUUAUUAAUGACGCUAUCAUCAUUAUUUAUCCCCAACUAGUUUCGACUACAACUGAACCCAAUAUUUUCCCCAUGAUAAAAGUUUUUUACUAUUUUACUGGCCUCUCUUCAAAUUUUAAAAAUUACACUAAUCUUCAUUGAGAUUAAUUAUCUUGUAGCAUUUAAGUCCAAUUAAUAAUUAAAAAAUAAUAUUAUGAGAGAGAAAAUAAUAUAAUUUUAUCAUUGCCCCCCAUCUUGCUAUAUUAUUUAAUUAAUUUAAUAGCAACCCACACAUUAAAGAAAAAUACUAAAAUUUGCUGCUUUUCAUUAAAGAUCAAAUUGCAUAUGCCAUAAAACAUAGUAUAUCAUUCUAUAUGUUUCACUUAAUGUAAGAUCCCAAUUGUUCUUUUCAAUUACAAACCCAUUGUCAAACAUGAUCAAUAACAAAUAACCAAAAAAUUUGCAACCAAAAUAUUACAAAAAAAAACUUUAACAUCAUAAAUAUUCUUACCACCUCUAGUGCAUUCACCCUCAUAAAAUAAUUCAAGACCCUACUGUCAUAAAAUGACUGAUCAACUCCUGUAAACCUAAUUUGACAACAUUUAAAUGGAGAACUUUAGCUAAAAGAAUUAUGGUCAAGCUAAAGAAAAAACCAGUUAUUUUCCAACAUAUGCAAUCAUUGAUCAGGGAAAAAAAAAAGAAGCAAAAAGACAUCUUCAAUCAUUUAAUAGCUUACAGGGCAAAUUAACCCCUAAGCGAAAACUGGUUGCUCUAGAAUCAAAAUUUUACUUUAGUUACCCAGGCAACUUUUUUUGUUGCCUUUUCUUUUUCUUUUUUGGGUAUAUAUAUAGCUCCAGUUUUGCCCCCUCUGUCAAGCUUAUAUAAUUAUUAAGAUAAUAAAAGUGCCUUUAAUAGUAUUAAUAUAUCCAUUGACUUGAGCUGUCAUCGAUCGGUUUGGGCUACUUCGAUUCCAUGAGAACAAAUGGUAAUAAAAGUACUCAGAAAAUGGGGAGUCAUGAAACCCUUUUGUUCUAUUCAUUGCUAAGAUGCUUUUCUCUAUAAAGACACUUCCUAACGAAAAUACUUUGUAGAUUUCUUUACUCCAAGUGGUGCAUGGAAAAUUAAUAUUUUCAAUUAUCAAAUAAAAUUCCCUUUUUUCGGUGUAGAUUUCAUCCAUUCAGCUGUUAACACUCCGAAUUGACUAAUCUUUUCGUUUCCAUUUUCCAACUUGCGAAUACGGCAUCUUACAUAUUGUCUGCUGAAUAUGAAUACAUAUCCCUUUUCUGAGCAGGUGCAGAGUCAUUAUCAUUUUUAUUCCCACCUAACAAAUUAGUUAAUAAUCUUUUAAAGAACAUGUUAAAUUAAUUUAUUGGUAUGAAUAGUAGUCAAAGAAGUAUGUUAAAGUUAGUAAUCUUUAAAAUAAUAUGUUAAAAUUAUUCGUACAAAUUAGCCAGAGAAGUAGCAUAAACACCGCGAUGCAAUUAAUACUUUCAAUCUCAAGGUCUCUAUUAUGGAAAUUUGCAUCGGUCAACAUACACAAAGCAUUAUUGUAUGCACGUCUCUCUAUUAUGGAAAUUUGCAUAGGUCAAUAUACACUUGGCAUAGUUGCAUGCACGUCCAAUUUUUUUUUAUUUUUAUUUUUGGUAUUUUACUUCCUGCCUUAAGUUGCCUGCAGAUGUUUGUAUUACAAAUAUAUGGUAUACUAAAUAUAUAGUAUGCACAUUAAUUUCUUUGGGUUGCUUAAGGGUAUAUUGUUAAUAAUAGGGGGUUUAACCAUAAAUUAUAACAAUGAUGAAGUAAUAUAUAUUAGAAAAUUAACACAAUUAUGAUUUUUUUUUUUGUAAAAUUCAAAUUUUAUUAAUAAGAAAUGAAAUAGGCAGUAAGCAUUUACAAACCGAAAACAAAAUCCUACAACAACUCUAGGACUCUACACCUUAUUAAAAAAAAACAUUUUGAUAGCGUUUUUCCAAAAGCAGAAGAUGGAAAAUUGCCCAUUUGUACUGGGGAGUUCGUGAUCUUUUCCUCAUUCUAGUCUACUUACAAUUCUUGGAAAAAGGAAUACUCACAUCUCAAACAACAGCCUGUUCAUCUGCAGUGUCCUGCCGAAUUCUAGAAAGUUUGGUGGCAAUGUUAAUUACAUUUCAAAAUUGACUGCUGCGAUAACUAAUUCGAUGGCUUACUACAUGGUCAACGUUUGGAUCUCUUCCUGUCCUUUUUGGAUGCACAUUUUUUUUCUCUAGGUAAUAUAUAAUCUCCCAACUCAUUUCUUUACAAAUGCACCUUUAAUCACCACCAAAAGGUGUGGACAUGAUCUUUACCCUAGAAAACUAUUCACCGACAGGCAAAUUGACGUCAGAAAUACUAAGAGGAAUUCUAGUUUCCUUCGGGUUAAUGCCAUUUUGUACCCUUCAACUGUAACUCAAUUUCUAAGCUGUAAUUUGUGACAUUAUAGUCCUUAAACUAUGAAACCCUUUCUUAUUUAAUUACAAUGGUUAAUACAAUGCCCGUGACUAGACAAGUAUGAAGCAACCAUAACAAAAAAAAAAUCCAAAAUUAGAGAAAAGAAAGAAGUUGCGACCAAAGUAUGUAUCAAGGCAUAGUAUAGAAAUAAAAGUGUCAAAAUUAAGAGUUUAGGGAUAAAAAAGAAUCAAAAUAUAGUUUAGGAAUUGAUUUGUCUCAAUUAGAGUUUAGAUGUCAACUAAGAAGAGAGAUAUAGUUGAAGGGUAGAAUAUAGAUAUAACAGUUCAAUGAUUGAUAUCAACGAGACAAUGACAACUUUGGAUUAUUACCAACCUCUUCUUGAUGGAAAAGGAAAUAGAGAAGAAAGUCGGGCCUGGUCUAAGCCUGUUUCGGAGGCAAAACAACAUUAUGAAAUCACCGGCAUUCACACAAAUAUGUCAAAGUCACCGGCAUGCUAAGUUGCAAAAUUUAUACAAACACUGAAUAUUAUAUUCUUCUCAAAAUUUUUGUUUAAGAUUUAACAAUUAGAGCACGGUACACGAAUUAGCAAUAUUAAAUAAUGAAUGUUCACGAUUGAUAAAGUUAUCAAAGUACAGUUUGAGGACAACCCAUUCCAACGUGUACAAGAUGUUUAGCCUUUGAAAAGUUAAUUAGAGAAGGUGACGAGAUUUUACUAGGCUUACAACUUCUAGGCCUUGGGAGUAAAAAGUGAAGACACUGAGUGCUAUAAAAAGGGGGCUAGAUGUUGCCUAGAAGCAUAUCAGCCUCGGACCACAUUUUGUAGCAAUGGGGAGCAAAGCAAAAGCAAUGGGGUCUAGGCUGACUCCUCUUUUUACCACCGUUUUAGUGGUAUUUGUUGCACUUGGCUUGCCUUCAGAAACUGCAGCUGAUUACGACAAGUAUUCACCUCCUCCUCCUCCUUACCAUUAUUACUCACCACCACCUCUUGUGCAUUCACCUCCACCACCGCCAGUUUAUAAGUCACCCCCACCACCUUAUCACUACUUCUCACCACCACCUCCAGUGUAUCCAUCUCCACCACCAUCUGUUUACAAGUCACCUCCACCACCUUCGCCAGUAUACAAGUCCCCACCACCACCUUAUCAAUAUUCCUCACCACCACCUCCAGUGCAUUCACCUCCACCACCACCGAUUUAUAAGUCACCUCCACCACCUCCUCCAGUUUACAAGUCCCCGCCACCACCUUACCAUUAUUCCGCACCAUCACCUCCAGUGCAUUCACCUCCACCACCACCGAUUUACAAGUCACCUCCACCACCUCCUCCAGUUUACAAGUCUCCAUCACCACCUUACCAUUAUUCCUCACCACCACCUCCAGUGCAUUCACCCCUACCACCACCGGUUUACAAGUCUCUGCCACCACCUUACCAUUAUUCCUCACCACCACCUCCUAUGCAUGCACCUCCACCACCAAUAUACAAGUCACCUCCACCACCUCCUCCAGUUUACAAGUCUCCACCACCACCUUACCAUUAUUCCUCACCACCACCUCCAGUGCAUUCACCCCUACCACCACCAGUUUACAAGUCUCCGCCACCACCUUACCAUUAUUCCUCACCACCACCUCCUGUGCAUGCACUGCCACCACCAAUUUACAAGUCACCUCCACCACCUCCUCCAGUUUACAAGUCCCCACCACCACCUUACCAUUAUUCCUCACCACUACCUCCAGUGCAUUCACCUCCACCACCACCGAUUUACAAGUCACCUUCACCACCUCCUCCAGUUUACAAGUCUUCACCACCACCUUACCAUUAUUCCUCACCACCACCACUCUUCAAUUUGGAUGUAAUUCAAUUUUCCUUGUAAUCGGUGGCCCUCCUUCGGAAUCCAAAUAGUCAUUGAGUGCAGCCUUCUUUCUUUAUUUUUUACUCAUUUUCACCUCAUAAAUUGCUUUCAUCCCCUAAAACUUGUUCGCUGGAAUUUUGAAUUUACCCAUACAACUAAACUCAGAAAAUUCUUACACAAAGGGAUUAGUAGCAUGAAUAGCAAACACAGAAUAAGAGAUAACAGUAUGUUUUAUUGUAUUAAAAAUAUUAAAGUGGAUUAUUUCUCCAUCGAAUUCCAUUGUGAGAGUAUCGUUACUAACAUCAAUCUUAGUUUGAGCAGUACUCAAGAAUGACCUUCCUAAUAUAAUGGGUGAUGGAUUUGGGACACUUUCAUCAUCCAUAUAAAACACAUAAAAAUCAACAGAAAAAAUUAAUCCAUCUACUUGAACUAAAAACAUCCUCAACUACCCCAUUUAGAUAAGCAAAUAUACGAUCAGCCAAUUGAAUUAUUAUCCCUAUUUCUUUUAAAUGUUCUAAAUUUAGGGAAUCAUAAAUUGAUUUAGACAUCACAUUAAUAGAAAUCUUUAAAUCUAUCAUGGCAUUUUUUAUAUUAGAAUGUCCAAUCUUACAUGAGAUAGUAAACAUACCUAGAUUCUCGCAUUUAGGUGGUAGUUUCCUUUGUAAAAUUGCUGAAACGUUCUCAUCUACCACAAUAUGCUUGUCCUCCUCAAUUUCUUCUUGUUGACACACAAGUUUUUCAAGCAUUUAACGUAUUUUGGAACUUAUUUGAUUUGCGUCCAACAAAGGGAUAUUGAUUGCCACCUUGCGAAAAUCUCUAAAAUCUCCUUUUCUUUAUCUUGUUUCUUUGAUUUCUCUAACCUGCUUGGAAAAGGUGGUGAGUUAGUUCCAACUCUAAUUAUAGAAUCAACAAUUACCUUUGGAUUCACAUUUCUCAUUCCUUCCUCCUCAAGCUCUUUGUCGAUUCGAUCUUCAUUUUUAUCCUUUGGAAUCACAACUUCGGAUCCCUGAAUUUUCUUCUCGCUCCUUAAGGUCAUUACACUUACAUUCUUCAGGUUCAGUUCAGGUUGAGACGACAAUUUUUCAUAGAUUUGGGAUUCCAGGCGGUUGAUUGCUAUUACCAUCUGACUCAUCUGACUCUGCAGUGCUUGCACCUGUCCCAAUUGAUUCCUCAUACUUUGCAAGUCAAAAUCCAUCUUUUGUUGAUUAGCAAUUAAUUGCUUCAUUAUCUCUUCUAUAGAUGGACUUGAGUUUGAAAGAGGUGGUGGCGGGCGAGACUGAUACUGUUAUUGAUACCCUUGCUAUCUAUUUGGUGCAAAAUCUGGCUACCUAUUUCCUCCAUAGCUGAGGUUGGGAUGAUCUCUCCAACCAAUAUUGUACGUAUUCGUGUACGAGUCGUAUGGUUUUCUUGGCACGGCGCGUGACCAGCCAUGUUCACUUGCUCCGUACUUUUCUCUUGAAUCAUUGAGCACAUCUCUGUAGAAUGACCCAUAGCAGUGCAGAUCCCACACAUCUUGACUCGUGAUGCAUUUCCUAUAGCUAAUUGCCUAACAAAGGAUGUUAAUUCGGUCAACUGCUGUUGGAUAGAAUAUGUUUCUACCUCAUUUACUUUGCGUGUUGGGGCAUCCUCCCUCGUACCAAACUGUUGCGAAUUUUCCGCCAUUCCUUCAACUAGCUCCCACGCUUCUCGAGAAGUCUUGUUCACCAAUGCCCUUCUACUUGCAGCAUCAAUUAUACUCCUGUCUCUAAAACGCAGCCCCUCGCAAAAAUAUUGGAUGAGCAAUUGCUCACUUAUUUGGUGUUGAGGGAACUUGAUGCAUAACUUCUUGAAUCGCUCCCAAUAAUCAUAAAGCGACUCUCCUGGAUGCUACUUGAUACCGUAUAUCUCCUUCCUUAGACUUGCAGCUCGAGAUGCAAGAAAAUAUUUGUCCAAGAACUUUUUCUUCAGCUGAUCCCACGUGGUGAUGCUACCUGGUGGUAGAUAGCACAGCCAGUCUUUUGCGGAGUCCUUCAAGGAGAAGGGAAAUGCCCUCAUUUUUAUCUAUUUUUCUGUAAUUCUCGGAGGUUUUAUGCUGUUGCAAACGACAUCAAACUCUUGCAAGUGCUUAUACGGUUCCUCACCUGGUAAACCAUAGAAAGAUGGCAAGAGAUGAAUUAGACCAGAUUUUAACUCAAAUGAAGUGUUAUCAUUUAAAAAUAGAAAAGUAACUGAGAUGCAGCACUGGAAUGUUCUUCUCGAAAUUGUCUGGUCUCUUUCUUUGUUCUACGCGUAGUCUUCUCUACCUUAGGAUCAAAAAUUAAUUUACCUGUACGAGAAGAACGAGGCAUACACUAGAAAAACACUAGAAAAUUAGAACAAAAAUGAACAUAAAAAGAAACAAAUAAACCAACGUCAGUCCCCAGCAACGGCGCUAAAAAUUGACAAGUUGUCGAUGCCUGUGCAAUAAUAAAAAUAAACCUAGUUACCAAUUAAAAUAAUCAGAGCCUAAUUCUGAGUACUAGAGCAGGGACUAUAGGUGUGCAAUGGGUUACUUGAUUCACCCUAUUCCUGAAGUUUGCUUAACCCGAUAUACCAGAAUGAGAUUGCUUAUUCAAAAGGAAUUAUUGAUUUGUAAACAGGGCAAGUAGGGUCGUAUCAUCAGGGAUUGAAAAAAUUUGUUUCUUUUCAAAUCCACAGUAACAAGGGGAUGUUUUUGUAUAAAUGAUAACAAUCUAAGGAGUGCAAAUAGAAAUAAAUAGAUAACUAGAAAUUAAAUGACAAUUCACUAAAAUUAGAGUAAUAAUAAUUAAAGGUCUAGCUAAGAAAUAACUUCAGCAAUGGUUCACCUAAUUGAUCAUCGACGCAAAGGCAAUUCCAAUUAUUUACUAAUAAAUAGGUUAUAACUGCAAAACAAGCAAUGACAGUCAACCCCUCCUUACUGUCGGUCGGUGAUUAAGGUACGCCCAAUCACUGCUCUAGUUGAGAAAUAAUUUUAGGGACGCUCGUAAGAUUUAAUUUUCCAAUUGCCUUACGUAUUAGAGGAGCCAUAAUCUAACCAAAUAACGCUACCAGGAUUAUUUUAAAUUAACCCGUGUAUUCCCUUGAUACAAAUUCAAUCAUGUCAGUUGUCACUAUUUCAAGGUAAUGAAACAAUUACGGAUUUAAUAUCCUAAUUGACAAUAGGUUACUAAAUCAAUUCACUAUUUCGAUCCAAGAUAAUCAAUCAAUUUAACAACUAAUAGCACUGCAAUCGGAGAAUAUGUAAAUACCAAUAAAUAAGAGGAAAAGAUAAAAUUAAAUCGAUCUCACAAUUUUUAAACAAAUCAAAGUAUCCGUUGUUUCUUGACUAGAAAAGAAAAUUUAGUUCAUUCCUAAUGUGAAAGACCCACGUGAGAAUUCAAAAAUAAUAUUCACGGAUAUUGUCUUGAUUCAAUAGAUUCAAUUGCGUUGGAAUAAGGAUAAAAAGCCAAACUAUAGAGAGUGAUUCAAUGUUUUGUUUCGUUUGCAUUUUUUCUACACAUAUGGAAGAAGAAAAACAACUAAAGGACGAAAAAAAAAAGUCAAAGAAAGGCACCCAAAGUAGUGCUUGGUCUCUACCAUCCUAUUUCCUAUCUAAUUACUACUUCCCUUCUGCGGCUGCCUAGAGGAAGAAAGAGAAAGCAGACUUCAGGUCUUGUUCCAUCUCCUCCCUUUUCGGCAAUUCCCCAAAAGUAGAAAAGUUCCUCCGUUUACCAAAAUGCCCCUGGAAUGAGGACUGCUACUUGAACUCAUUUUCUUGAUAACUGUCAAAUUAGCACUUGUUAUGGUAUUUGCGUCUACUUCCUGUAAUAAAUGUAAAUUGCCAAAAGUGAGUAAACUGAUAAUUAAUUUACAUCAGGUCAGGUAAUAGGAAAAAUUAAUUAUAAAAUAAAUGAUAAAAUUGCAACCUAUCACUUAGAAUAACCAGAAAUAAAACAAAACAAGAAAUGAAAGAAAUAAGAGGGUAGCAUAGACAUUUUGGAUUUUUCUGUUAAUUUGGAUGAUUUCCACCUACGGUCUAAUUUAAUCCAAAACACAAAUGGAUUAUGUGGAGAUUUUUAAACAAUGAGGGAGUAUCGUGACCGAAUCCCAAACCACAAAGGGGAUUUACUAUAUUUUACUCUUAAAUUUUGGUUUCAUCUCAUAGCAUACAAGAGUACUAUUUCACUGUCUGUCGACCAGGGAGGAGGGUUGGGUUGGGUGGUACGGGGGAGGGAGUCUAAGUAAGAGGUCUCAGGUUCGAAUCCUCCUGUUUAUACUAAAAAAAAAAAUUUACUAUCUGUCGACAAAGAUUUUCUAUGGUUGAUGUACCAUAGGAAAAAUCUGCCUAUACAAUUAUUUGGAAAAAUUAUCCAUCCAAACAUAGUCACGAUAGCAUUUUUUCAAAAACACUAGAUGCAAAAUUGUCCCCUUAAACGUGGAAAUUCAUGAUCUUUCCUCGACUAGUCUACUUGUCAAUUUUUGAAAAAAGAAUACUCACGCCAAAAACACGGCCUCUUCAUCUGCAGAAUUCUAAAAAGUUACGUAAACUCUAUAAACAAGUUGAUAGGUACAAUCGUACCCAAGAUCAAGUACAGAUAGUUGUACAUUCACUGCUGCAAUAACUAAUCUGAUGACUUACAAACACAUCAUGGUCAAUCGUUGAAUGGUAAUGAGUCUUUUGUUAUGCAUUAGUAUUAGUGUGUACACUCUAAUAGAUUGAUACUUAUACUCUUUAAAUUAUCAUAAUAAUACCCUUAAUUAACUUUAACCCUUAAAAAGAAUACGUGUUAAUACACGAGAGUGUGUAACCUGAAUUGUUACUUAUACAUUAGUGUGUAAUAGAACGGCAAGCAUUAUGGUGGUCAUUGAGCAACUUAUAGGAGAAAUAGUCCUAUAAGCUGUUCAAUGACCAAUCACAACUUGCUAAUUGGAUGACUAAUAUAGCUCUAGCUGUAAUGUUUUAAUUAAAUUCCACACUAACGUUGGGAUGACUUUUUAAUCAAAAAAAAAAAAGCCUUAGUUCAAGCUUUUCCCCUUAUUGUGCAUUUUUUAAAACAUUUGAUAGGCACUGCAAAUCUGUCAUUUUGGACAUUUUAUUAUUAACUAACAAUGAAAGCCGUGGACAUCAACCCAUAUCCAACAAAAUAUUAAAUUAAUAUUAGAAAAAUUAUUAAGUAAUUGGAAAAAAAAAAGAAGAGGCUAAUUUUCAUUGAAACCCACCGACAAACUAUCCGUGUCCAUAGCUUUUGAAUAGUGCAUUCAACGUUUAAUUGUAUGGUCCAGUUCAUUGCCGAUUACAUGGAGUAAAGAUUGUGCUCUUUCCUUUUUCACCCCUUUUGGAAUCGAUACUGUGGAGAAUUGGGUUUUUCCCUCCUUUUUUUCUUUUCUUUCCUUCUGUGCUUUGCAAAACAUACGUAAAAAUAUGAAAUCCGAAGCAUUCUUUAAUUGGGAUUAAGUAUUGUUGUUGAAAUUAAAAAGAAGAAAGAAAGAACAACAAAAAUCCCAAUCUGGGUUGAUUGUUGAGCUCUAGAUUGGCUGCAUCGUGCUUCCAUAGAAGUUCUCUUAGUGUGAUACGCUGCUUUCAAUCAGUUUUAAUAUUUAAGUAGAGUGCAAAAUAACUUUACUAUUUAAUGGGUUAUAAUGCACCAUUUGGUACCUCUCACCCACCUAUGAUUUGAUUUACUACUGGCAUGGUAAUGGACAGAGUUGGGGGAGCAGGAGGAGGGAGAUGGCGGUACCAGUCCGUCAACCACAGCACACCCUCCCUCGGACUUUGCGUGGUAGCGAAGUGGAGGCAGAUCGAGCACACAUGCACUAACGCCUUAAGUAUGUACAAUAUAUGUAUGCCAAAAGCAUAGCCAAGCCUACCAGCGCAUUUCAAUAAUAUAACCCGGAAAUUAAGGGCAUUGAAUUAAGUACGAUGAAUCAUAUUGGUGCACAAUUACAGUUUGAAGCUACCGAUUCGAGUAAAUUUAAGCGUAAGCACAAUCAAUCGCCAGUCAAAUGCUGAAAUAUGCAUAUGCAUGGAUGAAUGUAUGGGUUUCUUAGUUCCAGACCAAAGGCCAACAAUAAGGGAAGGAAGGACAGUUCUCAUUUUUAGCACGGACAAGGAGAUGAAGAAAAGUGUAUGUAGCUUGAGACAGAACAAUGGCAUGUGACCGCUCCUGAGACCACAUAACGUGGGGUGGGGAUGGGACGGCCAAGAAUGAAGAUGCCUGUCGGUCUCUCCGUGCUGCUACCAUAUGAAUCCCCCGUUAACCAAUUCAAGAUAAGCCUGAAGUUCUUUUCAUCCCCAAACCCUGUCCCAUCUGUGUAAAUCCAACAUCAUCAUUUACGACCUGCAACUCAGGUUAAGCAUGUUCUAUUGAGAUUCAGACACCACCCUUCAAAAGAUAUACUACUGUGAAACCAGCAGCUUAAUAUCAUUGUAUAAAAAAAAAAAAAAAAGAAAGAAGAAAAGACAUGAAAAGCAAAUUUUGUGGGGAUAAUUUCAAAAUCUCUCCUAAAGUUUUUUACUAUUUUACUGGCCUCCUUUCAAAUUUUAAAAAUUACACCAGUCUUCCUUGAGAUUAUUUAUCUUGUAACAUUGAGGUCCAAUCAAUAAUUAAAAAAUGAUAUUAUGAGAGAGAAAAAAAAUAAACUUUAACAUCAUAAAUAUUCUUAUCAACAUAUUAAAGUUAGUUACUGAAAUUUUUAUGGUGUUAAACUUCACUCUUUGUAAUAUUUUAGUUACAGAUUUUUUGAUUACUUGUUGUUGAUUUUUUUUUUUUUAGUGUAAACAGGAGGACUCGAACCUAAGACCUCUCACUUACACUCCCUCCCCCCGUACCACCCCAACCCAACCCAACCCUCCCCUCGUUGUUGAUCAUGUUUGACAAUGGAUUUGUAAUUGAAAAGAACAAUUUGGAUCUUACAUUGAGUGAAAUAUAUAGAAUGAUAUACUAUUUUUUAUGGCAUAUGUGAUUCAAUCCUUGAUGAUAAAAGCAAAUUCAAGUGUUUUCUUUAAUGUUUGUGCUGAUAUUAGAUUAAUUAAAUAAUUUAGUAGAUGAAGGAAAAUGGUGAAAUCAUAUUAUCUUCUCUUUCCUAAUAUCACUAUUUAAUUAUUGAUUGAACUUAGAUAUUACAAAUAAUAAAUCUCAAGGGAGAUUAGUAUAAUUUUCAAAUUUUGGAGAGAAGCUAAUGAAAUAGUCAAAAACCUUAAGGGAGGUUUACAAAAUUAUCCCAAAUUUGUGGGAAUUAGAAUAAUUGUACUGGACGGCACUGCCGCAACAGAGGGAAAGAGGAGGAGGUGCAGUUAACUUUUUGUUGUUUGAAAUCCUUGGUGAAAUAUUACAGAAAGACAGAUAAAACAGUUAGUACAUAGAUGUAUAUGACAGGGAAAAUGGUACGUCUGUUAAUCACAUUUGAAACACUUUCAUUGGUGAAUGACGAAAACUAUCAGGCUUGCCCAAUAGUUGAUCAUUGACCAAGACAAAUCUUGCCAUGCUAGAGGUACCAUCUUUUCGUACCUCUUUAGUGCACAGGACAUUCCUUUGUUUCAUCUAGCUAAUAAUCUACCAACUCAUUUCUUUGCAAAUGCACCUUUUAUGGUCACGUCUACGAAAGCUUUACAGGAUCUUUACCCAAAAAAUCAAUUCACCGACUCGCAUUUGAUGUCAAAAUUUCUUUACUUUACUCCAAGAUUGACUGUUAAUAAUAAUGCCACUUUGAAUUAUCACACCAUCCUUCUUGAUAGGAUUUGUGCUAGAGGUAGGGAGGGAGUCGCUGCAGCCGGUCUUCUCUUCAUAGACAGUACAAUAUUGCGAAAUCGAUCGCAUUCACGCAAUAUUAUAUUUCCAAGUCGUUGCAUGGGUAAGCUGCCAAAAAGUACGAACACAUGUUAUUAUAUAGCUUAAGAUUCAAAACUUUCGAGCAUAACCCUCCACCUAACACAAUUGAAUAAUGGAUAUUCACGAUUGUCAAAUCUGUCAAAGUACAGUUUGAGGACAACCCAUUCCAACCUGCAAAAGGUUUUUUUACUUUUCUAAAGUUGUUGAGAGCUGUUAAAAGAUUUACCAUGCUUACAUCUUCCGAGCCUUGGGAGUUAAAAAUGAAGGCACUGAGUGCUAUAAAAAGGGAAUAGAGGCUGCCUAGAAGCAUACCAGCCUAAAACAAGGAUUUGUAGUUAUGAUGGGAAGCAAAGCAAAAGCAAUGGGGUCUGGGCUGACUCCUCUUCUUGCCACUGUUUUAGUGGUGUUUGUUGCUCUUGGCUUGCCCUCAGAAACUGCAGCUGAUGAUCACUACAAGUAUUCAUCUCCUCCUCCUCCUUACACUAUCCCUCACCACCACCUCCAGUGCAUAUACCUCCACCUCAUCCUGUUUACAAGUACAAAUCUCCACCACCCCCACCACCACACCCAGUUUACAAGUAUAAGUCACCACCACCACCUCCUCAUCCGGUACCACACCCAGUUCCUCAUCCGGUGCCACACCCAGUUCCUCAUCCGGUGCCACACCCAGUUUACAAGUAUAAGUCACCACCACCACCUCCUCAUCCGGUACCACACCCAGUUCCUCAUCCGGUACCCACACCCAGUUUACAAGUAUAAGUCACACCACCACCUCCUCAUCCGGUACCACACCCAGUUUACAAGUAUAAGUCACCACCACCACCUCCUCAUCCGGUAUACAAGUAUAAGUCUCUCCGCCACCAACACCCAGUUUACAAGUAUAAGUCACCACCACCACCUCCUCAUCCGGUGCCACACCCAGUUUACCACUACAAGUCACCACCACCACCUCCUCAUCCGGUACCACACCAGUUUACCAUACAAGUCACCACCAAUCCUCACCCAGUUUACAAAUACGAGUCUCCACCACCUCCAGUUUAUAAGUACAAGUCACCACCACCUCCUCCACCAGUUUACAAGUAUAAAUCUCCUCCACCACCACCACCAGUUUACCACUACAAGUCUCCACCACCUCCUCCCCCAGUUUACAAAUACAAGUCUCCACCACCUCCUCACCACUACUAAGCAAUUGCUUCUGAGGUAAUAACACUUGUUCAAUAUACCCACUUCUGCAUGAUAAAGCAUAUCUCUAUCAACACAAACUGUCAUGUCUAUCAUGCUAAGUGCCUUCACUUCAUCCACCAAAAUGACUGCUAGAAAAUUUUUUUUAUGUUACCAAAGAAAGGCAUCAUUUUUUCCCUCUGUUAUCAAGAACUUGUACAGUAUAUAGAUUAAAGAGUUUUUAUUUUAACUAGCUUAUCAACUUAGAAAUGCAUAUAGCUGAUAACCAGCUGAAUAUUUGCAGGCAAAGGAGAAGGAAACCAUGUUUGAGACCUUCUUGAAGAUGUAGAAGCAUAAGAAUAAAAGCCCAAUGUGAAGAUGAUGAUUUCAAGUUUUUCUACGUUACCAUUUCUUUAUCUAAAUUGGUUGUAGCGCCCAAGUUCCUUUGUUUAUGGGAUUUGUAUCGUUUUACGUACCAUGCAGUACAUGUCAUGUUUGUAAGGUUUUCUAUCCUGCCGGCAAACCGCAGGUUCCAUGUGAUAAAUGAAUACUAUUUAUGUUACGACACUUUUCUCUGUUUCUCUUAUAUUUUGUCUUUAAUAUUCUUAAUCAUAUUUUUAACAAAAAUAUUCAAACA